rnacentral:lncRNA from 1 species
CUUUUCCCUCUUUUUUUAAGACCCAGUUUUGAUCUCGGUUUAUAAUUUCUCCCAGAAGCUACACUUUCUUACAAAAACAGAUUUCUGUCCUUUUAAAGGAAUAGUAAAACAGCAAGUGUGACUACAAAGUGUGGGAAAAUAUUGCCCCUUCGUUUCCUCAUCUCUCCCCACCCCCCUUGCCUUCUUUUUUGGCACAGGAUUGACAUGGGACCUAGCAUGGUUAUUAUUCCCAGGACAAGCCGGACCAUUUGCAGUUGUGCUGCGUGACCUGCAUCGAUGUCAGUGGAAGCCACAGAAAGGUAAGGCAAUGGCAAGCAGCUUUCUAUUAAUGUAUGUUGUGCGGAAGGAUCGGGUGUAGCAUGGCCACGUUUCUAAAGGCGCAGGACUUCCGUUGCUUUAGGGCUCUGGAAGCAGGACAACAUUCUGCAGGCACAGCGGUGCAUCUCUGCAACACUCCCUUGGGAGAAGCUACACCUGCUAGGCUAUUGCUGAAAAGUUUUUAGAAGAGCCCCAACCCUGUCCUGGUUGCUUUUAGCUAGACAGUAUUUGCUCUAGGCGAUGAUUAUUAUCUGUCUGCUGUGUGGUGAGCUAGCCAUUAAAAAAAAUAAAGGCCCUGGUAUUUACUGAAACAAUAGAGCGAGGAAAAGACUCGAGCGAGGAUUUUGACUGACUGGUGCUAUUGUUGUUCUCUCCUGCUCUUUGAGGAGCUAAAGCAUGGUCUGAAUAUGGUUCUUGGGCGGUUUCCCAUCCAGAUAGUUUGUGGAGUCUGACCGGCCUAACUUGCACCGUGAGCCCUCAGACAGUUGUUAUCUUUCCUGAACUUAUGAGGCUGAGCAAGAGAGAGAAUCGACUGUCUUGCAUGGGAGCAGGGAGACCAUAGCAGUGGGUACCAAGGUGAUCCAUGGCAGCACCUACAGUUAAAAGGAUCAGGUAGCUGUAGCAGAUGAUGGGGAAUGACCUCCUCUCUGAAACCCUGGAGAGCAUCCUAAUUUUUAUAGACAUUUUGGUGCCUGAGACGAACCACAAAAUGGCGCCUCCUCCUCACCAGGGAAGAAGUGGUAAGUGAACAAGAGGGAUUAACGAUCUACAUUGGGAUAUGUUUCCCCUGUGGAUCCUGCCACCUGAGGCAGUCGUCUCACAUUGCCUCAUGGGUGGGCCGGCCCUGGCUGGGGUUUUCACAGUGACAUUGGUAGCGGCAGGGAAGGGGAACCCAACAGGGCUGCUUUGAGCCAGAGUGAUUGGACAGGACUGAAGGUGGUCACAGGGUCCACCAGUUAACUCCUGCUUAAGAUUUCACCAACUGUUAUUUUAACUUGGUAGUGUCAUGAUGUGUUAAAAAACCCCACUGUUGGGCCAGCCCUUGUUCCGGGCACCAAAAUAAGUCCCAGAAAUUUGCUUCCUACAAGAUGCUUUCAGAUAGAAAGGGACACUCUGGUGUAAAAAGGAAAGGUGACAAAAAAGCUAUGAAUAGCUUCGAGAUCAGAGGUGCACAGGAGGUGUAUCUUUAAAGAGGGGUGUAUCUUUUUAAGGCUGCAAUCCUGUGCACAUUUGUCUGGGAGUGAUGUGAUGGUAGGUUCUCAAUGCACACUGGCGUGGGGUUUCCUUUGUGCUUUGUCCAGAAGCUGUAGUUAGUGAAGCAGAAUGGAAGUCCGAUCUUUUGCUACCCUGUACAGAUCUAACCUCAAAACUCCUUCACGAACUGAGAGCAGUUAAGACUCUGUCAGCACCCUGCUCAAAGAUCCAACAGCCUGUGACUGGGCCAAAUUCAAGAUGUUACAAUUAGUGUAACAGGUGCUUAUAUAGGCUUGGGAGCUAUUUAUUUAAAGGAAUGCCUUGCCCUGUGUGUGCCACCCAACCUGGAGAAGGGGCAGUGUUACAAGGGCCAUAUAAUGUUCCCGUAUUUGCGAGAAAUCAAGCUUUUCACAUGACAGCCCCAAUUUUUUUGGAACUUCCUGCCUAUUGACAUCAUGCAGGCCCCUUCAUUGUACUGUUUUUGACUUCUACUGUUUUUGUUUUUUUGUAUAGGCCAGCCUGCCCAGACAAGGGAUUUUCUUGUGUACAUUUGUAUUUAAAUCGGUUGAUUUUAUACAUAUUCUGAUAAUUUUUAUUAUGUCUAUAUUUUAAAAUCGCUAUUUUAAACGAAUACUUUAUACUACUUUAUGUAAACUGCUGAGAGAUUAUUUUUCUGCUUUAGCUGUUGCUUGGUAGCAUUCAAAGACAGUCCUGAGGUAUUUGUCACCCUGACAAGCUGAGGCAUGCUGGUUCAGAUGACCCUUACUUGUGGUUUGUUGGUUUACCAGAACUUCCUUGACCAGCCUUUGUUGGGUAGCAAACAUACACAGGCAUAGCUAACUAUCUAAACUUAACCCGAGUGUAGAGAAAGUCUUUAAAAUUUUAUUUUCUUAUUCAAAUUCGUGUAAGGACAGUUGUGUCCAGUCUAUCUGUGUUUCAUGAGAGAGUUUCAAGCACACUCCGGAAAUUAGGUUUGCCACAAUUGAAGUGGUUUUGAGUGCUCUGCUGCCUGGCGCAACAAAUACACUUUCUGUAACAACUUUUUGUGCUUAGUAAAGUCAUAGGGGAAAGUUUGGGAUGGUCAAAUGAUUAACAGGAAAACACACAAACAAAUCAGGAUGACAGCUUAAUGAGCAGGUCAUCUGUAGGAACCCAAAAUCUUUGCAUUUGUAACUCUUUGGUUUCGGACAACAUUUUUAGCUUUUUGUCCUUGCUCUUGGAUUGAAUUGUUCAUUCUGUGGCUCUGUCUGCACCAUACAUUUAAAACAGUAUCAUACCACUUCAGACAGCAAUGGCUGUCAUGAAAGAAUCCUGGGAAAUGUAGUUUAUUAAGGGUGCUGAGAGUUGUUGAGAGAUCCCUGUUCCCCUCACAGAGCUACAGUUCUCAGGGCGGUUUAACAAUCAACGCCCAGGGAAAUCUGUGCAUUAUAGCUCUGUGAGGGGAUUAGGGGUCUCCUAACAACUUGAGAGUCCCAUGGACUGCAAGAAGAUCAAACCUAUCCAUUCUUAAGGAAAUCAGCCCUGAGUGCUCACUGGAAGGACAGAUCGUGAAGCUGAGGCUCCAAUACUUUGGCCACCUCAUGAGAAGAGAAGACUCCCUGGAAAAGACCCUGAUGUUGGGAAAGACGGAGGAAGAAGAAGAAGAAGAGUUUGGAUUUGAUAUCCCGCCUUUCACUCCCUUUAAGGAGUCUCAAAGCGGCUAACAUUCUCCUUUCCCUUCCCCCCCCACAACAAACACUCUGUGAGGUGAGUGAGGCUGAGAACCUUCAGAGAAGUGUGACUAGCCCAAGGUCACCCAGCAGCUGCAUGUGGAGGAGCGGAGACGCGAACCCGGUUCUCCGGAUUACGGGACUACUGCUCUUAACCACUACACCACACUGGCUCUCGGGCACAAGGAGAAGGGGACAACAGAGGACGAGAUGGUUGGACAGUGUUCUCGAAGCUACCAACAUGAGUUUGACCAAACUGUGGAAGACAGGAGUGCCUGCCGUGCUCUGGUCCAUGGGGUCACGAAGAGUCGAACACGACUAAACAACAACAACUUACAGCACCCUUACCAAACUGCACUCGCUUACCAGGAUUAUUUGGGGGAAGCCAUGCCUGUUUAAAGUGGCACGGCAAUGUGCUAUGUGUGUAGUGCGGAGGGGGCCAAGGAGACAAAGGACCAAACUACGCAUUAUAUGCAAGCGCAUGUGUGUAAACUCUAAAUAGCUUCAGUAGUGCAUUGUGGCUUUUGGGUGGCCCUGUGAGCAACAGAUGACGAGUGGGAGGGCACAAUCCGCCGCGUCUCCUGAUCUACCACCUCAGCCUUAACAUGGCUUGUUGCAACUUACAACAGGACCACCCCUCUUAAUUUGUUACCUGUGUUGCUCUGUUUGGGGCUCUGGGUGAGGACUGUCCUGUUCUCUUGUAGUGGCACUUAAUUGGUUUUUGGAUUCCUUGCAUUCCACCCCUCCCUUUUAACUGGAACUGAAUUUUAGUACUGGCUGUUGUUUUAUUUUCACCAGCUGCUUCUAGUUGUUAAUGGAUUGUUUGUUGCUACUAGAGUUUUUGGUUUUUAAUGUACUGUGCCUGCUAUCGUUAGCUAUCCCGAGACAUGUCCUUAUGACAUUGCCCUGGAAUUGCUGUGGUACAGAAGCUUCAGCUAGGAGGAUUUACAACCUGUAUUAGACGGACAAGAUAGAGGCUGUGGGAGAGGUCAGAAACUGACCAGGAGUGGUGGGGGAAUCAGGGCAGGGGGGAUCCAGCACUGGCAUUUCCUGCAGCAAUUAUGUGUGAUAUAUGAACAAUGCACAUGCCUCCUUCACCUUCACCUGGGAGCUCUGAGCAGCUGUGGGUUCCUAAUAUAUAAUCAUUGGCCUGUUGAGGCAGAACACUGGUAUUACACUGGUGAGGUCCUGCUGUGAUCAAGAUGGAUCAGAAAGAUCUUGCUAAAGAAGUGGGUCGUGAAAAAACUCUUUGAGAACACAGAGGGCUUGUCCACUCCAGAGCAUAAUGUGGAGUUGAAAUUGCUCAUCCCGUGUUCUUAUUAAGUUUUUGCCGUCCACGUGAUCUGCAUUGCAAAGAACUGCAGUCACACACAUUUCCCCCCCUGAUCUCAGAUUUCCCCAAUUUGGGAACAAUCCGAUUAGUUGUUGAAAAAACUGAGCUCGCUCUGUUGCACUUAGGUAGUGGUAUGCUAUGCAGUGGACAUGAAAUAUACUCGGAGUCCUGUAGUGAUUUCAUGCUCUUUAUUGCAGCUUGUAAAACAGUGAUUGAAUUGCCCCCCAAACCUCAGGCUUUUAUACACAUUAUUUACACAAUGAGUCCUGUCUGAUUGGCUGAUUCUGCUUCCCUCCUGGAGCCUGAUUGGUCUUUUCCUGCAAGCCAAUCAGUUGUUGCAUUCUAGGAUCCUACUUGCCUGUUGUUCUAGGAUCCAAGCUUAGUACAUAACAUUUCCCUGUAGGUGGAGCAAUCCCUUGGGAAGGCGCAGUCCGCUACUGACCACUUUAGCAGCCCUUAUUCUGAUCUGAGCUUUCACCGAAUAUUGCUGACACAUUUUCAAGGAUGUGAUUGCAAUCAUAGAGAAAAAUCGGGGAUGGUGGUAAGUGAUCCUUGGCUGUCAAAUGCAAAUAGACACUUUGAGGAAAGGUGACUAAUUCCAGAGUCUUUUUAGUGUCUGCUCAGGGUUGGCAGUCUUUUACACACAACUUGCCUACAAAAGCGUUCUUCCGUUUUAUUUCAGUAUCUUCUCCCAUUUAUUGCUUUGACGUUGCUAGUUUUUCAGUUUGAGCUGUUGACAUAUAAAUUGGAUGGGGGAAUAAAAGAUGGCACCACACAUUUAAAAGUGCACCCACUGAACGUCGAGCAUCUUCUGUAAUUCCUGACUCUUGUGUGUGUGGUGUGUCUGCCUGCAAAUCCUCUCCAAACAUAUUAUUCCUUGUGGGAUGAAAUUACUUCCUUUAGCAUUGGGGGGGGGGGGAGGAUUCUAACUGAGUUGGAAAGCGCUUUCCUCCCACGGCAUGGACUUCUUCCUGGAAUAAAUUUGAGAUACAGUGAUCUUGAGAAGUUGACUAGUCAUACUCUGAAGUAUGAAGAGAAUGUAAGAGAGGAAGUGGUGGUUGGUGAGUCAGCAUGAGUAAUCUGGUUACAGUGAACAUGAAGACUGGAGUUGAGUUUUCUCCCCUGUUAAUCAUUUCAUUAUUAAUAUUUUUAAAAUGCAAGGAAAUAAGUGAUAUUAUUCCUUUGCUGCUAGCAGUUGCUUUUCAUCAAUCCUUCACAAAGUGGUACCAUCUCUAGAUCAGUUUCAAUCACCUUCUUUCAAAGAACAUGGAGAGAAGAAAAGAGAGGAAAGAAAGAAAGAGAAUGGUAAGCAGCUUUCUUUUCUAUCAUUGCCCAAUUUAGCAGGCUAUGUGGCUUAAGGAUAUACUGGCACCUUAAGAUUUAGCUGCUCUUCCCAGCAUGGUUCAGAAUCCAGUGCAUUCUCAUGUGCAAAGGGUGGCCUUCUGUUGUACAGCAGUUUUCUGACAAUUGAAUUCUCAGUGUUUUACCUUCCCUAAUUAAUCUGCUUUAGCUUUAGAAUCUUACCUAGCUGAGAAAGAGUCUUGCAGACAAAUUGGGAGUGUUGCAGACAGACUGAACACUGAGCAGUGAAGUGGUGCAGAGAACUGACAGUCCUUGGAAAUGGACUUCAGAAUACAGUGCUGGUUGUUGCACAGACCUGCAAAUCAGGAUGUCUCUGAUUUUUGUGGAGAGCCCCUUAUAAUGCUGGAAAAAAACUUUUUUCUUUUCCAUUGCUCUUUUUGUAGCACUAUGCCACAAAUCCAGUGUGCCCUUCCUUAAAUAUACACUUACAGAUCAAGGUCUUCAGCUUCUGUGAGAAGGUGAUGUGAAUAGCUUGUUGCUAUGUUGGGCUGACUACCCGUGACAACCAUCUAAAACUUAGUACCUGAAAAAUUCAGCAUGCAAAAUGCCAAUAAUUCGGGUUAAUGGAAAUGAUUCCGAUGGAUUUGGUGCCAUUGCAGUACUGUAGUUUAUUUUACUUUCAGUGUAUGUCAAUGUGCUGCAAGCUAGGUUUGGGCAUUUGACAAUUCAAAUAACAUUUGGCCAAGUCACUAAGUCAAAUGUUGGCCAAUAAUGUGCAAGCAUUUUUUGAAGCAUUAACCUAAUGUUAGGAGAUAAUUAAUUGUAAAAUUGUGUUAAUUACCAAAAAACCCUCAGUUGCUCCAAUAAUAGUCAGAUUACCUGUUUAGAGGUUUUCAGGUGUCGAAAGUGCAGCCCCUCACAGGAGCUCUGCAGAGCAGCCUACUAGAUCUCAUGCAGGAUCUACUUCCAGGUUCCGCAGCGAGAAGAAUGGUGACAGGGUCAGCCCUAGGCAGCGGCCUUUGCUCUUGCUGACGUCUUCUUUUCCUGUUUGGGAUGGUUGCAAAUGUAGCAGGCAGACAACAAAAGAAGCUUUGUUGUGCUUCUUGGCUUGACCCCUAACACUGCUGUAGUGUUAGGAGGCAAACAACCUUUAGUCUUCCUAUAUAACACUAUAGCGAAUUCUGUUUUAAGAUGUAAGCUGCUAUCUGCAAUGCGGCAUUUAUUUAUCUGAUGCAUUUUUGCACCUACUUGACAGUCAGAAAGGCUCCUGGAGAGCCUUACAUGCAAUCAGUAAAGAAAGGAAAAAAGGAAAGAAAGACAGCCCUUGUCUUUACCAUCUAAAAGAUGCAAUAAUUAAAAAGAAAGAAAGAAAGAAAGUUGGUGAGGAAAGAGGAAAAAAGAGAACUGGGCACCUAUUCUUCAAUAGUAGUUCUGAUCAUGACCAGCUGGAAAGAGAAGCAGUUUCAGGGAGAGGAUGGGGCAAACGUGGCUGGGCUUCCAGCUAAGCCCAUGGGGUGGCCUUGCUUUCCAUCUCACCCGUUGCUGCAACCUGAUGGAAUAGCAUGAAUGCUACCUAGUGAUGGGUGUUAGUGUGUCUCUCUCUGUGUGUAGGCAUAGGCUUGAUGCAACUUGUCUUUCAGCAGAGCCGAUGGAAUGAGUUUGCCAUUGUUUGACAACAUGUGGCUGCAGUCACAGUCUAGGUGGUCAAUAGCAGCGGCGUAGCUAGCUGCUCAGGUACGGGGGCGUGUCCUGCAGCCAGGGGCGGGGCGAUCCACCUGUGGGGGUGGGGCGAGUCUCCCUGACGCUUGGAGCCUCUAUGCUGCCUCCCCCUCAGCUGUAGGGUGGCUGAGGGAGAGGCAGUAGGCAGAUGCAAGUCCCACGCUGCCGUUUCAGGCAGCACGGAACCUGCAGGCACCUAAGCCACCACGUCACUCCUAAAAAGUUUCAUGAGCCCAUUUAAAAAAAACAACCCCAAAACUCAUUUUGUCACUCCUCCCCCUCAGUGAUGACACCCAGGGCAGACUGCACCCCCUGCACCCCCUUCUUCCACCACUGGUCAAUGGAUAAUAUUUUGACCAGCCCAUUAACUUGAGGGACAACUCUGCUUCCAACCCAUGGGUCAUGGGCACCUUAGUAAGGCCACAUUGUCAUUGCAACAGGCACUGUGGGUGUUUUCUCCAAUACAAACAGAUGGCCAACCACCUAGCUUUGUCUGCUUCACAAUUCUUCACCCAAAUGCCUAUUUUUCACCCCGUUUCCAAAUGGGAGUUGAAGGGGGGAAAUGAACACACACACACCCCAAUUUUGAGCACCCAGACCCAUCAGUUCCACAGUUCCACACUGUGUCUUCUGGAGGUUUAGCGGUUUGUUUUCCUCCUUGCCAAGUAGGUAGGCUUUGUAGCAAUUCUAAAUUGGCGAGUCCAGCCCUAAUUGCAACAGCAGUUCAAUAACAUUUUUAUUUGUAUUUGGGUGGCUCCUAAAAUGCUGUCAAUUCUGCCUUUAUAAAAUGGAAGUUCUUGCCAUAUGCUUCCUUGACCUGAGCAAUUAUUUCUCAGGAUGCUUUGAAUGAUGCAAUUUCCUCCAGCAAUAUCACUUAAUUCCUGUUGCUCUCUGGGACCAGAAGUAAACCCAGUUAAGAGGAAAUUGCCUUUAAGGGGACAUUUUGAGGUAAGAAUUGGUGGGUGUGGGAAGAGUUAACCUUCGCACUCACCAGUUCCCAUCUGCAAUUCUCAUCUCAAGGUUACCUUUGUGUAACCUUGAUAAACACAGUAGUUUUGGGAACAUGUGUUUGCAGACGUAGACGUGUUCGUUCCUUGUGCAGCUGUGUUUGUGGAAGCUCCAGCCAUUUCAGACGGAAUAUGCACAGAACUAUCAAUAGGACUGUAGUUUUAACAAGGCAUUAAACCCAACUUUAGCAAAGCCUGAGACAGGGGUCCUACAUCAGCCCUGGGGCACAUUUUGGCCACAAAAUGCCAAUUUCCCAGAAGAAAAACUAUGAUUCACAGGAACUCCACAACAACAGGCAAAACACGCACACAAACACCAAAACAAAUAAAGCACAGAACCCCCCACCCACCCAAUAAAGCAGGUCACACCCUCCACAAAUAGGCAUCCCUCCAAAAAAGGCCAAAAAACCUCAUGGAAAAAAUUGAGACAGACUAGGCCUUAAGGUAUCCUGGUGUCCAUGGGCACCAUGGAAAAAAGAAUCUUCUUUAAAUCUCUUUUAGAUCAAGAGACAAAUAGGAAGUUUCAAAGCUAUGAAGUAAAGGUUAGGUUCUGUGUGGAAAAUCUUUGUACAGUGGUACCUCUGGCUAAGAACUUAAUUUGUUCUGGAGGUCCAUUCUUAACCUGAAACUGUUCUUAACCUGAGGUACCACUUUAGCUAAUGGGGCCUCCUGCUGCCGCCGUGCCGCUGCCGCGCAAUUUCUGUUCUCAUCCUGAGGUAAAGUUCUUAACCCGAGGUACUACUUCCGGGUUAGUGGAGUCUGUAACCUGAAGCGUUUGUAACCUGAAGCGUUUUUAAUCCGAGGUACCACUGUAAAUGAAGCUUAAGGAAUCUACCUUUUUUUCCUUUUUUUGCUUAUUUACAAGAUUUACAUAUCUUCAUUUCAAAAUUCAACUGCCAGACUUCAGGUGCGGGAAACUGAAUCUGUUUUGUUCAGUAGCAGAAGCGGGGUGAGGUGGCAACACUUUCUUGACCUCCCUGCAGUAGCGUCAGUGCUACACACCAAGAGGGACAGUUGGGGGAGCAAGGUGGCGAGGAGGUCAGUUCUGCACCAUCUUGCAAUGCAUAUGGGCUCUGCUGGUAUGUUUGCACAGUGCUGACCUUCAUGCCACCUUGUCCAUCCUCUCAGUACUCAUCGGAAACUCCACAGCCAAGAGGUCAGGAAAGCGCCCACUGCCCCAUCUGCUACUACAUAAAAAGGAAAAACCAAAUCCAUGUGAGAUGGUGGAUGCCUUAGAGGGGAACCUUUUCAUCUUCUGAGGGCUGCAUUCCCUCAGUGUCAGCGUGUUGAGGGCUGCAAUGCAGGUGAUGGGUGGAGCAGGAGCUAAAAGUACCUAUCUCUUCUCUCCCUCUUUUUGCGUUCUCCUUUGUUCUCUUUCCCUCUCCCUUCACAGCAGGCUAUCAGGGGAAGCACACCUGGCUCUUUCCAGAGGUCUGAGCUGAUUGUAUACAGAGGGCUAGCCUUCUCCUUCCACCACUACAGUAUUUUCUGCUCUCCCCUCUCACUAUUUCCCCCCCUCCUAGGGUGGUGCAGUGGUUAGAGCAGGGGUUGUCAACCUGGUCCCUACCACCCACUAGUGGGCGUUUCAUGAUUCUAGGUGGGCAGUAGGGGGUUCUACAGCACAAGCUGAAUCCUCCUUCCAUCAAUCACUGGUGGGCGGUGAGGAAAUUUCACCAUCAAGAAAGAUGCAUUAGUGGGUGGUAGGUAUAAAAAACCCAUGACUACCCAUGGGUUAGAGUGUCAGACUAGGACCUCAGAGACCAGGGUUCAAAUCUCCUACCAGCCACUGAGCUAGGGGACCUUGGGCCAGUCCACCUAACCUACCUCAUAGGGUCGUUGUGAUGAUACAACGGGGAAGGGGAGGAUCUUGUAACGCCAGUCUGAGCUCCUUGGAGGAAAGGUGAGACCUAAAAAGAAAGAAAGAAAGAAAGAAAGAAAGAAAGAAAGAAAGAUCCGUCUCCCCUCACCAUUUCAUGAGUCUGCUCUUGGGCCACAGGUUCCCCACCCCUCCCUUAAGGAGACAUGGACGUUACCAGAUGAGACGAAAUGCAGUCCAGCUUUUUAUGUGCAUUGGGUGAGAUAGAGGGAGCAGGUAAGGACUUCCCUAACUUAUCAGUCACGCAUAAUGUUGGUUUGCAGCGGCGUCUUGCUGCUAAAGUUGCAUGCAGCUCACUUUGGAUUGGAUUAAUUGUCUAGACGUGAGCACAGGAUAGGCCUUUGUUGAGACUCCCAACUACUUUUGUGAGGCGAGAAUAUUCUCUGCUAGAAAAUUCUCCGGAGAAAAUAUUCUCCACAAACUGUAAAUUCUGUGUCAUCUACACAGCUGCUUUAAAUGUACACACCUCAUUAAUCGAGAAUAUUCUCCAAAAGAUUAUUCUCAAGAAUUUAACAUCACUACUCCCAGCUCAAGAUUCAGGUAGGUAGCCGUGUUGGUCUGAUGCAGUUGAAAUAUAUAAAAGAAUAAAAAAAAUUGUCCAGCAGCACCUUAGAGACCAACUAAGUUUGUUCUUGGUAUAAGCUAUCUGAAGAAGUGUGCAUGCACACGAAAGCUUAUGAUGUGAGCUGUAGUCAAUGACAAGUGGAGAGCCCCAGGUUCCUCACCCACGGUGUAGGGAGAAGCGUAGCAAUAAAUGACUGACCCAGAAAUGAUUGCAACCUCAGCUUCAGAAAUGUAUAGCCUCAUCCGCAAGUGAAGACAAGAGUGCAUAAAAAUUACAAUGUCAUUGUAGAUGAAAGCAGAAUUUGAAAGGUGCUGAUUAUCUCACUUCUUACUCACCGCUUUGGUGCCCUUUUCUCUGCUGGAAUUUCUUUCUGUGUAUUUUCAAGUGGAUGUUGCUUACGGUAAAUGAAACUGGGUCUACAUUGUUGAGAUUCACGAGAAGAGACUUCUUCUUUUUGUCGGUGAACUCCCAGUGACCUAAUUUUGGGGUAGGGGGAGUGCUUUGCUGUCGCCUACAUACAGUCACUCUAGUGUGUCAACUUUUGGGGUUAAAAUUAGUAAGCAGCCAUGCUCUUUAAAAUCAGCUUAUCGCUGACAAUGAGCAGUUGAAUUUGCCUCCUUACAAGAGAAAAGGUGCCAUGCUGUGUAGUUUUUUGAAACAAUGCAAUGUAAGGAGAGAAUUAGAUAUUGUGGUGGCAUGAGCAAUAUGUCAGAAUGCAGAUCAUGUCAAAUUCUAGUAAUGAAUUGAGUGUGUGGGGGGGUAACUUUAAAGUCAGGUGGACUGAUUUAAAUCAAUGAUGGCUUAAAUAAGCAAGAAAGGGGCAUAUUUUUUCAUGUAUAGUUUGUAACAGUGAUGGUACAAAUCUGCCCAUUAGACCAUGUUAAUUUUCAAAUAAAUGGAGUACAGUAUUUGCACUAUAUAUAGGCAUAAAGGUAAAGGUAAAGGACCCCUGAUAGUUAAGUCCAGUCGCAGACUCUGGGGUUGUGGCAGUCAUCUCGUUUCUUGGCGGAGGGAGCCGACAUUUAUCCACAGACAGCUUCUGGGUCAUGUGGCCAGCAUAACUAAGACGCCCCUGGCGAAACCAGAGCAGCGCACAGAAACGCCGUUUACCUUCCCGCCAGAGCGGUACCUAUUUAUCUGGGAGCCAGUGUGGUGUAGUGGUUAAGAGCGGUAGUCUUGUAAUCUGGGGAACCAGGUUCGUGUCUCCACUCCUCCACAUGCAGCUGCUGGGUGACCUUGGGCCAGUCACACUUCUUUGAAGUCUCUCAGCCCCACUCACCUCACAGAAUGUUUGUUGUGGGGGAGGAAGGGAAAGGAGAAUGUUAGCCGCUUUGAGACUCCUUCGGGUAGUGAUAAAGCGAGAUAUCAAAUCCAAACUCUUCUCUUCUUCUUCUAUCUACUUGCACUUUGACGUGCUUUUGAACUGCUAGGUUGGCAGGAGCUGGGACAGAGCAAUGGGAGCUCACCCCAUCACGGGGAUUUGAACCGCCGACCUUCUGAUCAGCAAGUCCUAGGCUCUGUGGUUUAACCCACAGUGCCACCUGCAUCCCAUAUAUAUAGGGAUAUGUUUUAUAAAUAAAUUAUGGUGUUGUUGUUUUUCAAAAAAACUGCUAAAUUACCGGUAAUUAAUAACUUUAGUAAAAGGUUUUUAUAUACAUACAUACAUACAUACAUACAUACAUACAUUGGGGGGAGGGGUAUCCCUGCAGGUUUGUUAUUGUUUUCAAGGCAUUUUCUAAGGUUUUGUCUUUUCAAAGUGUAAUCAAGUUAUGCUAUAUGGGCUAUGAAGGGUAUUUCGAGAAAUUGUUAGCAAAAAUGUGUAUAUUAGUCGAAACGGCAUACAAAAAUGUAUUUAUCAGGAGGUAUUCACAUUAAAUGCUGAUGAAUUUUCAUGCAGAUUCCCCGCCCCCCCCGCCCCCAAUUCACAAAUUGUGGUGGAAAUGUGGAGAACUGAAUUUAUGUUGGGUUGGGAGAAAUGAGAAAAGGAAAAACAAACCUGACCAAUUUUGCCAUCCCUAUCCUCUGCCCAGUUCUGCAUAUACAGACCCUCCAAGUGUCCCUAUUUUCCAGGGACAUCCCUGAUUUAGAGAAGCAGUCCCAGUUUCUGAUUUGAUCCUGGAAUGUUCCAUUUUUACUUAGGACAUCCCUAUUUUCGUUGGUGAAAUGUUGGAGGGUACGGAGGUAUCCGACCCCUGAGCUGUCUGAAUGAAAUUCCGUAUACAGAAGGUUUAUUAAAAUUUCCCAUUUUCUGUGGUUUGUUUUUUAUGUACACCAUGUAGAAAUGCAAAUACCAUAAUUAAGCAGCAUACAGAUGUCACGAAUAAGCAAAACAAAAGGGUAAAUGAUGGCAUAAACUGACCUGAAAUUGACUUAACAUACUGCAUGUACUUAAGGGCUUAUUAACAAGAAGCCACAAUGCUAUUUAGUGAACGUAUUUUUCUGUGGUGAAUCUAUGGUAGCUACUAUGACAAGACAUUUCACCAGUAAAAGAGCAGAUAGGUCUCUUGUCAAUGUUAUUGAUAAAACUAACACAACUCACGAGACCGUAAAGUACAAAUUCAUUUACAGAACUGAGGGAAGAUGAAACACUCAAGUGAGAAUGGACAUCAUGUUUUGAAAGUAAAAAAUUACCAGUCUUCAGUCAGAAAUGCCCUUUGGGGGCUAUGCCACAAGACACGAAUGCAUGAUAUGACUAGUUUUCUCACCAUUUACUAUCACCGAGACAAAAGCUUUCUUUUUAGUGCCUUGGAUCAGGAAAUUUGUAUGAUCCUCUUCUCAAAUCUUAGGCUUACGAAUUAGCUUUCUUUUAUUACAUUUAUCCCACACUUUCCCAAAUCGCUCUGAGUCCCAGCUUAUCUCUCAUACAAGCAGUUUAGAGGGACAAAACUGCUUCACUUCAACAGAAGAGCUGUAUCGUGUCCCUGCAUGUCACUACCUCGGCAUUAUUUUGUAAUUUUCGCAGGUGCAAUGGAGCACAGGUCCAGUGGAGGGGGAGCACAGGUCCAAGGCUAUUUUUCACUGCUGGAGCAAUGACAGCAUCUGGGGUUUUUUUUUUGGGGGGGGGGGUUAAAAUGGCGACAGGGGUAAGUCCAGUUGGGUGCAUUGAGACUCCUGACACUGCUUCGAUACCCUCCUACGUUUUCUCACCCAGAUUCACCGGCUUCUCUCUUCUGCCACUGUGGCUAGACCUCAGCCUUCUGAGCCUCCUUGCAGCCUCCUCGCCACGUCUGCCAGAAGUGGCACAUCUCCUUCCGGGAAGUGUAUUUCCUGGAUGUUCUGUGCACACUUCCGGAAGCGUGGCGGAGGCAGAAGCUGCUAUGGCGAAGGCAAGACAACAGAAGCAGGACAUCUGGGAUUUCAAACAAAAGCCGGGGAGGCUUCUGUAAAUCCAGGAUGUCCCGCUCACAGCAGGACUUCUGGGUGCUAUGUGCUUGGCUGCUCUUUAAGUGGCCCAAGAGUGGCGCUGGCAGAAGUGCAGUGAUUGGGUGCUGGACCCCACACUUUGGUUUCUCUAUAAUGUAAGGCCUUGCAUGCCCAUGGCAUUGCAUUGUGCAGAAUGAAGAUGGCUGGCCUCACACGUUUCUUCUGUGAUGAGAUACUGGGCUGCAUAUGUGUACUUACUUGGGGGGGAUGUGUGAGCCCUGCAUUUUUUAUUUUUAUUAAAGAUUUUCUUGAUUUACAAAAGUGUGUACAAUGUCUCUCUCUCGUAUUCCACCCCCCCCAUGUAACAUUUUACAAAUCAGUUUCAUUUGUUGAGACAUUGGGAAGAAAAGGGGGAAAGAGGUGGAGGGGGGAAGAUGGGUGUGGGUGGGGUCGGGUGGCGACGUUUCUGUUUUACUUACUAUAUGUAGGGUUUGGUGUCAGCAUUGCUUUUGCAGGUUCUCUGCUGUUCGCUUGUGUUCCUUUGGUGGUGAGAGGUUGGGGUUGGCCUAGGGUGUGGUUAUUCAUUUGUGGUUGGCUGUGGUGGUCUUUGUUUUCAUGUGUGAGUGGGGUGGGUGGGUGUUUUGCAUCAGGUUAGCCAUAUUGAUUUGUAUGCUGUUGGUGGAUUUUUGUCGUCUUGUUGGUGAGCCCCACAUUUUGGCUUUGCAGAGAAUUGUGACAAUGGAAAAUAUGCUGCUGGCACUUCUUAUUCUUUAUCUGCAUUUACCUUCACAUUGGAUGAGGUCUUUACUAUGGCUCCUAUGUUGGGAAACUGUGUAUGUGCAGCUACUCACACAGAGUCAAUUAAGGUUUGGCAGACAGCCAGAAGGCAAUCUGAAGGAGUAAGUCUGCCUGGUGAUAACAGAGACAUGGAUUGGUCUAUCCUGUCUUGGAUUGGUCCUAUCCUCCCUGAUUGGUCUAUCCUGUCUGCAGCCAAGUCGCCAAUUGCUUCCGUGGAUUCUGCGUUAACUCUGCUAGGUCUGGCUAAGGUCCUGCAACUAGUCAGAAAGUUGCGAAACACCAAAUAGGUUUUACCAAUAUCCUACACCUAUACCGAAACCUGAAACAUUGGAGUCCUUUGCUUCUCCUAGUAAUAGCCACAGAUUUUAUGGGCUACGUACUACCCUGAGGGCAAAUAUCAUUCUGAGGUGCCACUGUCAUCACCAACCUUCUCUCCGCAGUACCUUACAUAGGUUCUACCCUUGUCAAGUGGGUAUGAGGCGGGUUUGCAGUAGAUAGUGCAACCUUAACUCGAUUCUUUACCGAGUUCUUUACUCUUUACUCGAUUCUUUACACUUUGUACUCCCCUUUAUUAUUAUGGGUACCUCCAUAGUCUACUUACUCUUCCUCCAUGAAACAGGCUCAAACAACCCUGCAGGUCUUAACUCUAAUACAGAUAAAAUUCCAUUUCACCCCUACUAUUCCUACAAAUAGGGAUGCGGGUGGCGCUGUGGGUUAAACCACAGAGCCUAGGACUUGCCGAUCAGAAGGUCGGCGGUUCGAAUCCCCACGACGGGGUGAGCUCCCGUUGCUCAGUCCCUACUCCUGCCAACCUAGCAGUCCGAAAGCACGUCAAAGUGCAAGUAGAUAAAUAGGUACUGCUCCGGCGGGAAGGUAAAUGGUGUUUCCAUGCGCUGCUCUGGUUCGCCAGAAGCGGCUUAAGUCAUGCUGGCCACAUGACCUGGAAGCUGUAUGCCGGCUCCCUCGACCAAUAAAGCGAGAUGAGCGCUGCAACCCCACAGUCGGCCACGACUGGACCUAAUGGUCAGGGGUCCCUUUACCUUUAUUCCUACAAAGACCUUUUAGGUGCUUUAAUAAUAUUGUCAUGCCUCCUCUUUCUAACUAUUUUUUUCACCAAAACUUCUAGGAGACCCAGAAAACUUCUCCCCUGCAAACAUUCAAAGUGGCCUGGGGGCAUAUAGAAAACAAGUUCUGGGGUUGAAACUUGUUUUGAAGAAAGGGAGAGGACUUGAAAACUGCCAUUUAUUGCAGUUUAGCAUUGGCCUUAUUAAACAGGGCCUAGCCUUGAAAAAUAUUUCACACCCACUAAUAUAUAUUUUUUACAGUUUGUCGGUCUCUUUCACUGACAGCUUCUGUGGGUGCACUCCUAUCUUGCUCUUGUUCACAUCGUUUCAGAAAAUAUCUACUAUUUAGGAUUCCACAGGGAGGGUGUGCUUAUAUUUCACAACCUCUGAUAUUUAUGCUGAGAUCAUGCAAUGCAGUCUUCUUCCGGAGGGAGCCCUUUCCAUUACUGUCAGAUUGCCCAGGAGAUAUGAGUUGCUGGAUGACUUGCAACUGCUUGCAACUAAAAGGACUUUAGCAGCAGCAGCAGCAACAACAACAACAACAAAAAAGCAAUCAUUUGCUUAUGACGCUGCAUUUAAUUGUAUCACCUGCACUUGAAUAUGCUCUGCUUGUCAAAUUGUCAUCCUCAUCUAAAUUGCACGGUGAGAAAGUUGAGUAAACAUUUUGUCAGCUGGAUUUUCACUCCGCUACUCAGUUGCACGACGGCAGACAAAAUGUUUUCAACAUUGUUAGAGCACAAAGGAAUAUAAUUAAGCACAGCACAUUAACACCGCAAUGUGUGCUUUUAUUAUCCUUUGUUCGGCGUGUCUUUUCACUUUGCCAUCUGUCUUGCUGAAGCUAACUUUCAGUUUAAUUAAACUCUUUCAGAUCUUACAAGGUGCAGCAAUAAGACUAGCAGUGGGUGUGUUUAACAGUCUUAUGCUGGGCUCUUGGAGUUGCUGUGGACGUCAGCAACUGCUUGAAAAAUUUGCCAAGGAUUUUCAGGAUUUGUUCAGGCAAAAAUGGACUGAUUUUAUUGAUCAUUGCAAGAGAUGCAAGUGGCUGCCCAGCGCAUGUUAGGGAUUCUUAGUGUUCUGCUAUGUUAAUUCUGAGUGGCUUUCUGCCCUGUUAUAUCAAGGAAGGUCCAUUACACAAAAGUUAUAAGCAUGAUCUCAACCUGACUAACUGUUAAGAUACCCGUUAUUCUAUUUUCUACUUUGUUCAAGCUUGCAGUAUAAAUGGAUUUAUUUUAUUUUUUUUAAAAAAAACCUUUAAGAAACGAAUUCUUCAAGCAUUCCUACACAGGAUACAGCCACCAGGAAUUUAAAUAUGUGAGCUGGGUCACUAGCUUUUGACUGGGCUGAAUUCCCAUGAGGUUGGUCUGAUCCUGCCUGUAACCCAGAAAGAUUCUUUUUUUAAAAAUAAUCCUGGACCAUUUCAUACUGAACCAUGACAUAGCCAGUAGUUUUAAUGAUUGCUUUUUGUGAUUACUCUUAACGUUUAAUGUUGUUUUUGAUGUUUUCCUAUUUUUUUUGAAUAUGUAUUGUUGUACAUUCCCCUUAUUUUUUAUGAUUCUUUUUUUUUAAAGGAGAAAAAAAGAAAUUGUGAUUCAGUUCCACUAUCAGUGGUCUGAAUUACCCCUAUUGAAAUGAAUUGGAAAGGGAAACAACCAAAUGUAUAUGAUAACUGGGUUCCAUUCUAUCACCAGCAGCUUCUUAAAUAGGGUAGAGAAAACUGAAGCAUUUUUUGUGUGUGUCCUAAAGUUAUUUUGCCACUUCAAGAUCACUUGAAGCUUUCCUUUGUUUUUUUAAUAUGUUUAUUUGUUCAUGUACAAAAAUAAAUAAAUAAAGGGAUUGCAGGGUCUGUUUGGCCCCAGGAAUAAAUUUUACCUGAAGAGUUUAUUAUUCUGCUCCAUGUUGCUAUUUAUUCCUCUUAUCAUUGAUGGUUUGCUUUGCAUAUGGGAUGACGUAAUACCCUGCUACUGUACCUUUGAGGUCUUAGUAAUGGUUGUUACGCUACAAUAAUAAGAAAAAAGAGGGGGGAUUUGUUCCAAGUUUGCACACUUUCAUAGUGCGAACUAUUUGUUUUAGUUUUUUUUCUUAUUUGUGAUUUUCUUUUGGAGGAAAAAGAAAAACUUGCUUCUGAGGUACAUUGGACCCUUUCCAUUAUUUAGUAUAAAUCCACCAUUUCAGCUUGGUACAUGUUGGCUUCUGUUUUUCUUUAACAUUAUGGAGCCUGUGUACCCUGCUUUUUUUGUUUUGUUUCCCACUACGUUUUGGAAUAUGAUACCAAUAAAAUCUGCUUAUGUGAAGUUGGAAUCAUUUUGAAAUCAGUUGUUUUUAUUUUUAGCUAGGGCUUUAAAAGGGGGCCGUUUGAACCGUGAGUGAAUCUGUCAUUUUUGGUUUCUCUUAAUUUUUCAUUUUUCCUAUUUUCAUUUUUCAAAUCAAUUUUAUUAAGAGUUUUCAACGUAUCCUAAAAACAAUAAUAAAACUAAAAAAUGAAAGAAAACAAGAAAGAGAAAGAAAACAAGGAAGAUAGAUAAAAUAAAACAACAACAAUAAUCCUAAUAAAAUACAAAAUUAUAUAGAAAUAAAUAUAUCUCCCUCUAUCACCGUUUUAUAUUAAUCUUCAAUCCACAUACAGAUAUUUUAAUCCUUCCAGCUCCCACCUGGAAGAGCUUCCAUUUUCCUCAAUCUCACACCCUGAGGAAAACCACUCUCGCCUGCAUCUGACUCUGGUCUCUCCCUCUUCUAUCCAGUCUUAAACUCAGUUCUUCACAUUUCUACAUUAGUUUGUGAAUUUCUUAAGUGCUCGUGAAAAUUAUCAGCAUUCUGGUGUUAAUUUUUCCUUAAUAUACACUUCCUGACCUACUUUAGCUUGGGGUUUCUUUUAGUGCAUUUGUUAGGAAUCAGCAUAUAUAUAUAUGAUAUAUAUAUGAUCACAUAUAUAUAUAUGAUAUGAUCACAUAUAUAUAUAUGAUAUUAUAUAUAUAUAUAUAUAUAUAUAUAUAUAUAUAUUAUAUAAUAUAUAUAUUGAUACAGAGGUACCACUGUAUAUAUAAUAUCUAGUUGUUAACUGGGCAUGCUCAGUCUCUACAGGUAGAAGAAAUUAUACGUAACACUUGCAUGGCCAUCUUGACUGUGGGUCCUGCAGAACUUCCUGCCUGCUUUGUUGGCCUUUUCCCAUCUGGCCUGGAAGGGCCUGGUCCCCACAGAUUUCUGCUACAAAAGCUACUGCUAGAGACCAUCUUACCCACAAGUCCAGAAAAAUAGGCUGCUCAGGAUGCCUAGAGACCAUCAAAGUGGGGCAGGAAUUAAGGGCUUCUGUUUGGGCCAAGAUUUAAUUUUGAUGCUGUGUUGUUUUUGCUGUUUUGUAUUCUGCUGUUAGUCCUUAUAUUAUUAAUUAUAAAGGGGCUGUUUAAUUUAAUGAAGGAGGUGCUUUCGUUUACUUAAUGAUUAAAUAAGUGUUAUGUUUUGUGCCUCGUGAAUUACGUAUUUUUUUCUGUUGUGAGCCACCUUGAGCAUGGCUUACUAUGGAAAAGCGGUAUACAAAUCAGUGGUAAUGAUGAUGGCAUUUGUGAUCAUUUAAUAAUUCUCUUUCUUUCUUUCUUUCUUUCUUUCUUUUGUAAAAAAGCACCAAAUAUUUAUUUAUAUGAGGACCUCCGAUCCAAGUUUCUUACAGGCUCGUAUCUGUUUAUCUUCAUUGUGGCAAUGCAGAUGUUCUGGAUCACUCACUUGGCUCAAAGUCCACAAUUCUAUGGUUAUCUCUCUCUCUCUUUGAGACCUGCACAGUUCUUUCUGUGUACAUUUCAUACGUGAUGGGAUGGUUGGAUUCAGAGCCUUUUUGGUGGUGGCUCCUUAUGUUGGGGAGGUUCACCUGCAAAGAUUUUAGAGAAAUCACAGGCUUUUAAAGAACUUUUAGAAACUUUGAAUUUACUUUUUAAUGUUGAGACUGCUGUUGCCAUUCUUUCUUGUUGGUUUCUACUGCUGUUCUGCUUUAGUUUUGGAUACUGAAGGUGCAGAAUAUAAACGGUGCGAGUGAGCGAAUAAGAAAAUAAAUGGUGUGAAAUUGGGUGCGUCAUGGAAGUGUAAGCAAAGUGAAGCUUUGGUGCAUCAAAAUAAACAUCUUUUGGAAUCUCAAGCAUUCUUAUUUUAAGGUCUUCAUAGAAAUGUCCUGCUCUUCUGCUCUUUCAUGAUUUUUAAUUCUGCCAACAGCCUAAAUUUCAGCAGACUCAAAUAAAUUUUGCUACUUCAAGUGCAAAGAGUUUAGAAGCCAAGAAUAAAGGGUUUUGUGUGUUUAUGUGUGUGAGGUUUUUUUUGUUUUUGUAGCAUACACCUUUGCUUCAUGGUGAGUUAUUUAUCUUGGACAGAAAUGCGGCAGCUGUUAUAGGUCAAAAUCAUCGUAAUGAGUUAAUGAUCUUCUCCGCUUUUUGGCUGCUGAGAAAAAAACUCGGUUCCCUCUGAAAUUUUGUACUUGAGCUCCCUGGCUACCAGGAAUGAGGUUGAAGUGUUUUGUUUUGUUGCAGCAGUAGAACAAAGUCAUUAAGCUAGUCGCCAUUCAUCACAUCUUGUGGCUGUCAAUUCCUUAAGUUAAAUAUGCAAUGGUUUCCUUUCCUUAGCCAUCCUAAAACAGCCCAAUAAAACACAGUCAUGCACGUGUUUUAAUUCAUAUGUUAAAUUGUAUUUGUUAAAUUUAUAUCCCAUCCUUCUUCCAAAGGACUCCACGGUAACAUGAUCAUGUGAAAUAGUGUUCACUUGCUCCAGUUUGGAGACGGAGUAGCGAUUAAUCUAUUAUUUUAGAAAUAAUAGCAUAGGGUUUUAAUGAAUGUGGGUCUCCUUUAGGUCAGGAGUUGGCAACUUUAAGUAUAUGGGGACUCCCAGGCUGUCACUGUUUUGGGGCAGGAUUCAAUCACAAACUUGCAAAUUUAGGUUGUGCAAUGAAAGCUGAACAGAGCUCUUGUACAACAACAAACCCAUUGACUUUUUACAGUAAGGAAAGUGACAGGACAGUUUGAGAUAACAGUUGCUUGAUGUAAUGGCCUAGAAUCUGCCCUGAAAACAAACUGAUAAGUAGCUGGCAUUAUCUAAACUCUGUGCAAAGUUUGUGCAAACAAAUGAGGAUGAACGCUCAACAAACAGGUCAUCUGGAAUCGGCCUGAGCCUCUGGGGAUUCAAGAGGUCAGGUGGCUGGCUGUAGUUGUCAUUUCAGCUGCGUAGGCUUCACCGUGGAGCAGGAAAUUCCACACAGAUUCCUGUAAGACAUCAGGAAGUCUUUGAGUGAAUGUGUUACUAUAACAUUUUCCUGUUGUCCGUGAGAGUGGGUGGGGUAGUCAGCGUAGUGCCCUCCAAAUGUCUGUUUCCACCAACUACCAGCAGGCUCAACCGGCAGAAAUGUUGUUGGUCAGGGAUAAUGGAAGCUGUAUUCUGGCAGAAUCUGGAGAGCACCCACAUUGGCUACCGCUGUGUUGCUUUAUACUGAGAGCGGCUCUUACUUCCCUAUAUGGGGGACAAUGGGCAUUUUAACAUUGAAGCUAGGUCACUGAAGACAUCUCUUUCUGUGCAGUACUUGAAUAGGUCCAUGAAUGGUCUUUUGUAUACUACAUCUUGAUUUAUUUUGCAGCAACGUUCUCAUAAAUCAGUUGAGGCCAAUGAACGUGCCCUUAGGCAGCAAGACGUCAAAAAUAUAGACCAGUUGGGGGGAAAACAGCUGCACUUUUCCUAGAUUUUCAAUUUCAGGCUGUAGAUAACGAGUUGCUGCUGGAAUGAAAAUAAAUGACAAAAGUGGAGGAGACCUGGGUUGUAUGAGUAAAUGCUUGUGACUACCUAAAGCAGAGUUUCCCAGAAUUGGGUCCCCAGCUGGUUUUGGACUACAAUUCCCAUCACCCCUGAUCACUGGUCCUGCCAGCUAGGGAUGAUGGGAAUUGUAGUCCAAAAACAGCUGGAGACCCAAGUUUGGGAAGCACUGUCCUAGAGGGUUCCACUCCCCCCCCCAUUGGCAUUUUGUAUUAUGCGGUCUUGAGUAAUAGCACCAUUUUAGCAUUUGUAGAUAAACCAGUUCCCCACAGCACCAUUUUAGCAUUUGUAAAUGGACCACAAGAUGUAGUGAUGGCCCCCAACUUGGGUGGAUUUAAAAGAGGGUUAGACAUAUUAAGGGAGGACAAGGCUAUUGAAGUCUACUACUCACAGUGGCUGUGUUGGAGGCCUCUGAAAAUCCAGUUUCUGGGAAUCACAAGCAGGGAGAGCACUGUUGUACGCAAAUCCUUCUUGUGGGCUUUCCAGAGGCUGUGGCGCCAACUUGAACAAAAUAUUUUUUGAGGGGGCCACAUCACACUCCCUCUGAGCUCGGGACUGGUCUGGCAUGCCCUCAGGAAGGCACAAUGAGUGCAGGCGUUCUGUCACAUGCCUCUUGCCAUCCAGGUGCCUGCCUCUCCUACGCCCAAAGCCCACUGGCCAGGAAGAAGAAGAAGAGAAGAGUUUGCAUUUGAUAUCCCACUUUAUCACUACCUGAAGGAGUCUCAAAGUGGCUAACAUUCUCCUUUCCCUUCUUCCCACGCAACAAACACUCUGUGAGGUGAGUGGGGCUGAGAGACUUCAGAGAAGUGUGACUAGCCCAAGGUCACCCAGCAGCUGCAUGUGGAGGAGCGGAGAUGCGAACCCGGUUCCCCAGAUUACGAGUCUACUGCUCUUCACCACUACACCACGCUGGCUCUCAGUGUGCUCUCUCAAGAGUGCUCAGUGGUGCCCAGGCUGCCACUGUGGUAGUUUGGGAGUUAUCCCAGAGGGGGCCGCUGUCCCUGCCGCAGGAAGGCGCCACCUCCGUUGGCUCGCCGGUCCAUGUCAAGCUCUACCUGGAGCUGAGCUGCUCCAUGCCAAGCUACACAGAGGGAGGAAGCACAGGAAGGAGAGAUGGCUAGCCAGACGGGGGGCAGACAUCCCCCCUUGUUCCUCCUGGAGACAAGCCGGAAACAGAGGGCACUGACAGCCCCCAGGGGAGGCAGCAGACCGAGGAAGACAGGUGGGUGGGGGGAGGAAAUAUUGAGGGGAUUCUGCCCCCAGAAGAAAAUUAUUGGGGGGUCCCAAUGGGCCCCAGCCCCCUUGAGUUGGUGCCUAUGCCUAAAGGCCUCUGGUUUUGUCACUGUGAGUACAGGAUGUUGCACUACAUAGGCCUUUGACAUGAUCCAGUUCUUGUGAUCUCAGUAAGGCUGUUCUUGAAUAUUUAAGCCCUGCUUUGGGGGCUUCAGGAAUUUGAAUUAGUCAUGCCAAGAAUCACCAACUUGCUAUGUUAAUGGGACCUGGGAUUUAUUAUAUUGCUGGGGUUGACUGAGAAGGCCGGGUUCUUCCUCCCCAUCCUUGCCUGAGUCAACUCAGUUGUUGUUUUUCUUCAAAAAUGAAAUCUUCAAAGUUAAUCCACAGGUGGUGGGAACUCUGAGUUACGCAAUGUGACAAAAAGCCAAGUAGUGAGGUUAGGCACUCUGUAACCAACUCGUCCGUUCAUUUAUAGCUUCUGUAGAAAAGCAAAACAUGGCAGUGUUCCUUCCCUACCCAAACAGUAAAAACCGAUGAGCCAUUGCACCAGGCUUGAAGCUACAGCUGUGGGAAGCAUCAAAAGCUUUUACCACUUGAAAGUUCUUGAAGCACUACCCAAGGAAAAGGUUGCAGGCAAGAGCUAGGUGCCAGAUAAGAUCCACAAGUGAUAAAGGCUGGCUGUUUUUGUUAAACUGGUAGAAGUGGCAUCUUUCGAAAUUUAAAAAAACGGGCUUUCAGCGGAAAAAGUUGUCCUAACAUUAUGGGAGAGGAGCAUUACUUAAAUAUAAGUUCAAACAAACAAACAACAACAACAAUAAGCAGACCCUCUGAAACCUGUGUGACUUAAAGUUUAUGGCUCAUGGAUCUUGUAUGGCUAACAAGACAGUCCUAACCAUGUCUUCUCAGAAAUAAAUUCUACUGGAUUCAGUGGAGCUUAUUCCCAGAUAAGGGUAGUUAGGAUUACAGCAGCUUAAGUCUAUAUCCAACCCUUGGACCGUACCAUUUGUUGGUUAGAUUUUUCACUGAAAAAAUCAACUAAACGGUUAAUUUUGCCUAUUGAUUGUGCAGCAGAAUUUCAGGCUUGACCCAGGAGUGGAGCUGUGGCUGGUGGCGUUGGGCCGAUUCAGGCUCCAAUGAGGUUGCACCCCCUCAAAAAAUGCACCCGGAGCCACUGCCCCCCAAUACUAUACCACUGGUGUGCAGAAUGUCUAGUAUAAUUCCACCCAUAAUGCAUUAUUACUUUGUCAGUAACAUGUUGCAGAAUGCACUCACAAAAAACUGGAGGGCCCUGACCUGAGACAGUGCUCCAAAAAGAGAAGAGAAAAGGGAGCUUCUGACUUAAAACAGUCGCAUGAAAUGUGCUCCAGACUUAAUAUGCCCUCAUUUUACUAACUGCCACCAAUUCUUUCCCCUGCAUUUCUGUAAAAUUGUAGCUAUCACAUGUGCUCAAAUUUGUGAAGUUGUUUGUCUCUCAGCAUCCCCAACCCCCGGCAGUAGCUUGUCCUGCAAGUAGAUUAAGAAAGAAUGAAAAAGUUACUAUCUGAUUUGCCGCAGAAAUCACAUUGACUCAUUUGGUGCCUCUCGGGUCCUCCGGCCCCCGCGGAGAAAUUCCCAGCAUACAACAAACCUGAAACCUUUUGUCUGUAAAUUUUGGCAAAACCUGAAAUCUUGCUUCAUUUUUGUAGCAAUGUGUAAAAUGUACAGCAUCUGUGGUCAGGCUCAGCUGUGUCUAUUCAAAUGCUACUUAGCUGGUUUAAGACCAGAAUCCUAGAAUCCUUUUGCUAACUGAUUAAUUACCUAAAUUGCUAAAAUGGUAGUUUUGCUUAAUAAUAAUAAUAAUAAUAAUAAUAAUAAUAAUUAAUUAAUACUCCUGAAAUAUUAGGUCCAUUUAUAGGUCCAUUUAUAGGUUUUGAUCUCUGGCUUGGGCUCAGGUAAACAAGGCUGUUGGAUGCCAGGCAUGUUAAGACCUACCCGGACCCUGAUAUCAUCUUCUGAGGCCCUUCUUCGUGUGCCUCCUCCUUGAGAGGUCCGGAGGGUGGCAACACAAGAACAGGCCUUCUCUGCAGUGCCAACCUAGCAGUUCGAAAGCAUGUCAAAGUGCAAGUAGAUAAAUAGGUACCACUACAGCGGGAAGGUAAACGGCGUUUCCAUGCGCUGCUCUGGUUCGCCAGAAGCGGCUUAGUCAUGCUGGCCACAUGACUUGGAAGCUGUACGCCGGCUCCCUCAGCCAGGAAAGCGAGAUGAGCGCCGCAACCCCAGAGCCGGCCACAACUGGACCUAAUGGUCAGGGGUCCCUUUACCUUUACCUUUAGGAACAGGAUGGUGAUAAAACGAAGGGCUGUAGGUCAGUGGCAGGGAGCCGAUAUGUGCAAGGGUGGAAUGGGGUGUUUCAAUAGCACACCAUUGCACACCCAGAACGUACCCCCCCACACACAAAUUGUGGGUUGCCAGUAUGCAGAAGACCCCAGGUUGAACCCCUGGGAUCUCCAGGUGGGACGAGGAGGGCCCACUGGUCUGCCUUGGUAUAAAGCAGCUUCCUAUGAUACUCUUACACACCACCGCAAUCUCAAUGAGAUUCCAGAGGUUGCAGGCAUGCUUCAACUCAGGGCCUGUGAUUCCUUUUUGGGAAUAAGGCACAGCAGAGACUGUGGUGUCUUUACGAUAUAUGGUUUAUUUGCACAUAUCUGAGCCGACUGUGAAGAGCUCUCUUUCCCUCCUAGCUGCCAUGUUGGAGCCAAAGCUGCCAGCCCACUUUCUGCUCUCACCCCCCCACUUCCUCCUUACCAAACUGCUUGCAAAAAAAAAAGCCACUAAUUUUCCUCUUGCUUAAACCAUCCCCUACUGCCAGUUCUGCCAAAUUCCACCCUUAACUCUCCUUUUUUGUCUUUCUAACUAACUGACUGUUGAGGGAAGGAGCUCCCCUCGCAUUUGCCUUCAUUGUCUCCCUAAUGAUCCAUCUUCAUGGGUGAUUUCCAGGACACAGGAAGCCAGCCUAGGUAGCAUUUUAACAUGCUAAAUCCAGGGGUUCAGUCUUUCUCACACUAGCCUUAAAUCCCCAAACCUUGAUCUGUUCUAACUUUGAUUGGACCCAGGAAUUUAGGGGGAUCUGCCCCUCCCCCGCCCCAGCAAACCCAUAAUAAUACUUUGCUGGCCCAUCGGAGAUCUUUUUAUAUUAUAAUAAUAAUAAUAAUAAUAAUAAUAAUAAUAAUAUCUUUAUUGUCAUUGCCCCCUUCGGGGACAACGAAAUUACUUGACUGCUCCAUAAAAACACUAAUUAAUCAAUACAGUAUAAUACAGCAAGGGAGAUUAGAUGACUUUCAAAGUCCGGGCUUCCCAUAUUGGGCUAAAUUAUAUGGUGGCAAUAGACAGUGGUGUGUGUUUCAACACAGGACUUACCCCAGCCACAUAGAAAAGGGGCAGGGGAGGGAGUGGAGAGUCAGAUUUUAAAAGCAACAAUGGAUUUGUAAAAAUGUUACAUGGGAAAAAAAAUACGAGGCAUUACACUUACUUCUGUAAAACAAGAAAAUCCUUAAUAAAAUAUUAGGGGGGGGAGCAACAUUUGAAAUGCACAAUGUUUUCCCCACUUGCAACAUGUGUAUCCCAUCAUCCCUUCUUUUGGGGCCACUUUCAGAGUUUGAACUCUUACAUUCUACUUUCUUAGGACUGAAAUGAACCUCCCAUGUCCUAUCCCUAAAAUGUAGAUAAGCUCUGUAAAUGGUUUCUCUACAAUUGAAAGGUAUUUUGGAGGCAGGAAUUGGGUGCAAGAAUUGGGCAUGUCUCACCUGAAAGAUACUGCUACUUGGUGCUGUGACUGCAGUUUCCCACCCUUUCCCUUCCCUGGUUAAAAACCUUUCUGCCUAAUCUGCCACCAACACUGUCAGCCAAUGGCUUUCAAUAUAUAGACAGCAGCAAAGAAACAAAAUUUGUUGCACCAGAUGCUUCUUUGUCUUAGUAGAAACAGUUCCAGCCCAAAGUCUGUAGGGGGUGUUAUUAAUAAAGGAAUCAUGUUAGAGAGCUGCUGCUUAAGUUUUAAAUUCUGUUACGUUUUAGGCUGUUGGAGUUAUAAAAGCGGCUGCGUGCAUAUAUUUAUGCCAGGUUUUCACUAGCACAUGUCGGGGAGCAGCUUGUAUCUAUGUUAAAUUUUUAAUUUUCAUUUCCAGUUUGUUCUUUGAGGGAUUGCACGGGGUUUUCAUGGUUUUUCUUGAAAGAGGCACGCUGAUAGUUUGCACUAACAGCAAGUGUUAGUUAAUGCCUGGAUUGUAGGUAUCUCAUACAUGCAGUGGCGUAGCGUGGGGGGUGCGGGGGGGCCGGCCGCACCGGGCGCAACAUCUGGGGGGGAGCGCGCUCGCACUGGCAGCUCUCUGAGUGCUAAAAUCCACGGGUUAGGGGGCGCAAAUUACUUGCCUUGCCCCGGGUGCUGACAACCCACGCUACGCCACUGCAUACAUGGGAUUGUCAACAUACCAGCUAUCUGACAAAGCACUAUGAUCACAGGACAAGUAUAGUAUCUGGAAGUACUUCACCCAGACGUGCAUUGAUAGGUAGGCCUGUUUUGUAGAAAACUGCAUCUUCAUAGGGUCAAAAAACUUUUUUUAAAACAUCUGAUUGCACUGGGAGGUUUUAAUUCACCAGUUGUGAAUUAAAUUGUGAAUUAAGUUGUGAAUUCUUAUUGCACCUAUUAAAGCUUGCAUCUUGAUUCAUUUGAAUUUUUGUUGGAGCUGAAUUCUGCUGGUGUUUUGCUGGAUUGGACAAAAAAAACCCAUUUUUUCUGUUUACUGCUGUAAUUACAGUAUAGUGUUGUUGUUGGUUCUGUAGUAGUUGUAAGUAGUUGAGUAUGUAACUUGUGAACCCACUAUUGAGUGGAGUAAUUUAAGAAAGGGGGUGUACAGUAUAAACAAACUUUCCUUCGCAUAAGCAUUCCAGUUUAUUCUAUUUUUUUUUAUUUGUUUAUUUACCUUUGUCCUUUGGGCAGAAUGUAACAUGGAAGCCAGGGAGAGAACAACUCAAAAUUCACACACUGAGAAAUGCUAUCAUAUUUGGUAAUACAUUUUUAUUCCGAAGCCUGCCAUUUCUGUUGCCUCUUAAAAUUAUUGAACAAAAGGACAAGGAAGGGAAUCAUAACUCAGUGACUCAGCUGCUGCCAGUCAACACAGACAAUUCUGGGAAGAUAAAUAACCUGGCCUGGUUUAAGGCUGCUUCCUAUGUUCUUAAGAAAUUGGCUCAAUUCAGGCAUCAUUGUUUACAACCAUAGUAGAACCGUUGAACUUUGAAUUGUACAACUAAAAAACCAUGGUAUAAAACUGCUUGUCUGCUGUCACCUCCUGUACUUUCUGUACUUAGCCUUAGCAAUAUAUACCUAGUUUGCUGGUCAAUCCCAGACUAAAUCAUGCCAACUGCACUAAGGUUUCUUAACUAUGCUUUGACACGAUGUCUGAAUUGAGCCCUUCUAUUCUUUAUGAAUAUAUUAUGUGUUCAUACCUUUGCUGCACUAUUUGUGGGAUAACCAGCCUCAUAUAACCAACAUGCUUAAGUCUAAGUAAUGCAGACUUGGCAAGGUAACCUCUUACCUUGGAAGGAAAUGGGUAUUCAAGCCUGUUCGGUUUUGGGAUGUUUUUUUUUGUUAAGUUUUAUUGAUCUUCAGUGCAUAAACACAAUUAAUAAGAGUUCCCCCCAUCUUAACUUACCCCCCAAUCAAGCCUAUUGUUCAACCCACAGUCUAAUUUGAUAAAAAAAUACAUGUGCUGUUUUAUAAGUCAAAUCAUAGCAAUCCAUCCUGAUGAAUGGGAUGGAGGUGUGAGAUAGAUCACUGUCAUUUGCAUUGUGUGUGGAACGGGGAAUCAUUGCGACUUCUGCUUUUAUGGCAUGUUUGCUGACAGCCUUGCUCCAUUCAUGCCCACGUUCCUAAGUCUAUUCUCACUAUAAUUAAGGAGCUUUAGUUCAGGAUUUGCUGUAUUGUAGAUGAAUGUUUUUGAGAAGUGCUAACUGUUAGCGGAGUGCCAUAAAAUAUCAGCUUCGUCAUGUGAUUUUGACCUUGCAAUUAUCCUGCCUCCUAAGCUGUGUAAACAGAACGUUAGUUCUGGGCGGUGCCCACAAUGUCUGGUACGGCAUGUUUUCUUCAUUGCUAGAACUCAAAGGUCUUGAGCUCCUGGGGUUCUUUUAGGGACAAAGUUCAGGCAGGGGAUUUUGAACCUUUGGGCGCCAAGGUUGGCUAAAGUCAAAGCUUGGUCAAUUCUCUUCUCUUUAUACACACAUGUCCUCAAAAUUCCCAUCCUAAAAAAACAACCAGGGGGACAAUUUCUCCAGCAGGAGGAGAAAUUUUAUAACCAUUUGUCAGGAUGCAGCUCACCAUGAGUAUAGAUAGUAGCAUAGCUGCUUUCUUUUUUCCCUAAGGUCUUGCUUUGUUUUGCUUUGUCACUACACCUGUAACUCUGUAGGUAACCUGGCCACCCUUUUGCAUCCUCCACAAUUCCCUGUGCUUAGCAUCAUUCCAGGGCAUUGUGGGAGGAAAUUGGAAGCUGCUACAAAAAUAAAUUAAAAUGGUGGGGGAUAUUGAGAGAAAAUUCUGUAAGUGGUUAUCUUUUUCAAGGGAAGUGGGAACAAGAAACAUUUCUGAAAUUUUCUCAGAAAAGUAACUUAUGAGAAAGUGUGGUUGGGGCUUGCUGAAGAGGAUGGAAUACAUCAGGAAGUUAGGAUAUAUAUAUAUAUAUAUAUAUAUAUAUAUAUAGCAGCAUAGGAUGUGAGAGGUCACUAGGUCUCAUGCCGGCAAGAUCCCUGAAGGGCCUCAGACAAGCCACUAUCUCUCUGUCUCUGCCCUACAUCUACAAUGUGGGACAAACAGCGCUAGGUGGCCUGGUUAUCAGGAAUAGACUGAUAAGGUACACAAAGCACUUUGAACCCUGAAAGCACUAUUUAAAGUGUUUUCAUGUUUCUUAUUUAUUACCGUAUUUUUUGCUCUAUAAGACUCACUUUUUCCCUCCUAAAAAGUAAGGGGAAAUGUGUGUGCAUCUUAUGGAGCAAAUGCAGGCUGCGCAGCUAUCCCAGAAGCCAGAACAGCAAGAGGGAUUGCUGCUUUCACUGCACAGCAAUCUGUCUUGCUGUUCUGGCUUCUGAGAUUCAGAAUAUUUUUUUUCUUGUUUUCCUCCUGCAAAAACUAGGUGCGUCUUGUGGUCUGGUGCGUCUUAUAGAGCGAGAAAUACGGUAAUUCACAUAACCUAGGAACUACAAAAGGAGGAUAUGGAAACACGUAGAGCACAGAAUCCUUGGUCAAAGCCCACAGAAGUAAUACAAAGCCAUCACUUGGCUGCGUAUGUACACUGCAUGGGCGUAGCCAAGAGCGGGCAGGGAGGGGCAGCUGCCCCCCCAUCAACAAAAAUACAUAGCUAACUGAGGUUCUGCCCCCCACUAACAAGAAUCCUGGCUACACCCAUGGUACACCCACAAUCUCUCCGGUCAAGUUCCAGGUUGACUCCGCACUUACAAAUCUCCUUUUCCUGCUGCUUUCCUUGGUGGCUUUGAAUGUUAAAAUAGCAGGGGAAAGCAUUCAGGGAGGAAACUUGCCUAUCUUCUGCCAUGCAGAUGGUUUUAAGUUUGGGCAUGAAAUCCUCUUUUUGGAGGUCGCCCUAGCAAAAUGCCACUAUAACGUUGGAUCCCAGAUGCUGGGAGUCUCCCUUUAACUACUGGCCUUGAGGCAGUAGAGUUGCCACACUAGCUCUCGUUGCAAAAUGGAGGUGUGUUUACACAAAAACUAAAGAGCCUAGAGUAGCAACGGGCUUCCUGAAGAACAUAUGUGCCUCCUUGAGCCUCCCAUAUGGAGAGAGUGCAUCUGAUAAAUAGAGUAAAUAAUAUUCUUGCACAUGCCUUCAAGGCAUGUGUUGCAAUAUUCCACAGGAAGGAGUGACCUGUCUGCUUCAUUUCCUUUCAUGAAUCAUGACGGCAGAAUGAUGAUUCUCACCAGUGGUAGGGCAAGACGCUCUUGUUAUCUCCCUUUCACUGGGAGUGUUUUCACUUAUUUUUCUUUCUCACCCCUACUCAUUGCAAAACACUGGUCUUACCCACAUAUACGAGAGUAAAGCUUUCUUUAGCGGCUCAUUUCAUUUUCUUCUGCUUUACUUUUUUUGGGGGGGGGGGUUUGCAUGAGCUGGGUCUUUCCUGCACGUGAAUGAAGAAUUGAAGUUCCGACCAGCUGAGGGCAUUACUAUUGCACCAGUUUUUGAAAAAGGGCAUGUAUUAAUUGAUCACUUCAACAUGAAGCACGUGUGUGAGCUGAGAAUCUAUAAAUUGCAUAUUUAACCAACCUGUAGGCAUAGCUUACUCUGUCCUCAGAACACGGGGCUUUGACUAUGGAGAGCUCCUUCAGAAUAUUCCAGCCCCUGCCCAGAGUUCCUAGCUUUUUUUAAACAAAAAACACAACACCCAGUGUGAUGGGAAGAUGAGCUGCUUGUGCGUAAAAUCGUAUUCCCUCAGAGUUUGUUCAAGUCCACAAACCUCUGUCUGUGACGGAGCCCCUCUGACAUGGCUCCUCUAGUCACUAGAAGAUUCCGACAGUGGUUGCUUUCGUAAUCGCUUCCAACAUAAAAGCUCCUUAACGGAAACACGUCUUCUGGACUCUCUGCGUGACAGUUUCCGGCGAGGAGUGGGUGUCCCUACAGGAGGUCCGGAAACCUCACCACUGUUUUCGCUGGAAGUAUCUCUGAGCCAUCCCCCAGCUCCCUUUCCCUCAGUUCAGCUUCUCUCCCCUGCUGGUUUCCUCUUCAGCUGCUGAGUCUCUUCCAACCUGUCUGAGCCCUUUCACCUCCCUCAGUUCAGCUUCUCUCCCCUUGCUGGUUCCCUCUUCAGCUGCUGAGUCUCUUCCAACCUGUCUGAGUCCUUUCACCUCCCUUCCUUCCGAUGGCAGUUCCCUGACAUCCACCUCCCCUCCAGGGCCCCCUUCACCCCCUCUCGCCCCCUCCUCUACGGGCGGUGAGGAGGCAAACCCCGGAAUGAACUUCCUUCAUCUUCCGAUGUCUCGAACACUUCUCUCCACCUGUUGCGGUUCCUGGUCUCGAAGCACUCCUCCUCCUCCGAGUCCAUCUCCCCUUCCCCUUCCGAUUCUGGGAAUCCUUCCAACUCCUCCUCCUCCUCAGUGGUCCCAAAGUAUUCCCUCCGGAACCUCUCCACAGGCUGAGGUUUCCUCGGGAACCUUUGAUGGAACGUUUCUAUCAAUACCUCGUCAUUGAUAUCUUCGGCCAUUACCCACGUGUUUUCUGACUCCGGUUCUCCUUCCCACGCUACCAAAUACUCCACCUGAUUCCCCUUCCACCUGGCAUCAAGGAUUUCUGCCACAUGACUGCUGCAUUCUCUUUCUUCUAUGACCGGUCCCCGAGUGGCCAUCCCUCCUCGUCCCCCCUCGUACGGUGACAGUAACGACCUGUGAAAUACUGGGUGCAGUUUCAUGUGGUUGGGUAACCGGAGCCUGAAAGCCACUGGGUUGACCUGUUGAAUGACCUCAAAGGGACCCAACCUCCUGGGUCUUAAUUUCUUACAACCUCCUUUGAACGGCAACCCUCGUGUUGACAGCCACACCCUAUCUCCAACCCUUAUGGUUUCACCUUCCCUUCGGUUCUUGUCUGCCUGCCUCUUGUAUUCUUCCUUCGCCCUUUCUAAGUUGAGUUGGAGCUGACGGUGGAUUGCUUCCAUUUCUUCUACAAAAUGCUCGGCUGCCGGUACGCUCCAUCUCUCCCCUUCUCCCCUAGGAAAGCCCUGGGAUGACACCCAUAAUUAGCCAAGAAGGGGCUCAUCCCUGUGGACACAUUCUCGGCAUUGUUGUAGGCAAAUUCCGCCAGCGCCAACUUUUCUACCCAGUCAUUCUCUCUGUCAUUGACAUAACACCUCAGGUAUUGCUGGAGGACACCGUUUGCUCUUUCCGCCUGCCCGUUGGUUUCAGGGUGCCGGGCAGUCGAAAAGUUGACCUCCACCUGCAGUAAGCUCAUGAGCUUCCUCCAGAACCUGGAAGUAAAUUGUUUUCCUCGGUCUGAGACCACCCUCAAUGGCACCCCGUGCAACCUAAAAAUGUGUUCUACAAAUAACUUCGCUGUCUCUUCCGCCGUGACUGCAUGCGAGCAAGCUACAAAGUGGCACAUCUUUGUUAGUAGGUCUACCACCACCAUGAUGGCUGUUUUCCCUUUGGACUUCGGCAGAUCAGUCAUAAAAUCUAUCGACACUGCCUCCCAAGGUCGUUCUGGUGUUGGUAAGGGUUCUAAUAGCCCCGCCGGCGCCCGCCUUUCCCCUUUGGCUCGCUGGCACUGCUCGCACCCUCUUACAUACUCACGUACAUCCUCCCUCACCUUAGGCCACCAAAAUUCCCUGGUGACCAACCACAUGGUUUUGUGUUGCCCAAAAUGCCCGCCGUGGGGCUGUCAUGCAACUGCUUGAGUACCCUCCCCCUUAAGUCUCCUUCAGGGAUAUACAGUGCCCCUUUGUAAUACAGAGCUCCAUUUCUUUCCUCGAAACCCCUUGAUUCCUCUCCCUCAUCCCUAAGACCCCUGAGCUUAUUCUGGGCGUAUUCAUCAUUCUCUGUUUCUUCUACCAGUUCUCUUUGUCCCACCAAUGCCGCCCCACACACCCAGCGGUCCUCUGGAAUGACAUGUCUCUCUUCGGGUGCUCCCUCCCCUCCAAAUAUUCAGGUUUGCGUGAGAGAGCGUCCGCCCUAAUGUUCUCUGGGCCUGGCACGUAACAAAUCUCAAAGUUAAAUUUGGAGAAUUCCUGGGCCCACCUCACUUGCCGUUGGUUGAGCACUCGUGCCGUCCUCCAAUACUCUAGGUUCUUGUGGUCAGUGCACACUUGCACCUUAUGUUGUGCGCCAAUUAGCAGGUGCCUCCAUUUCCGGAACGCCUCAUGAAUGGCUAGUAGUUCUCGGUCAUACACCGUGUAGUUCCUCUCGGAUUUGUUCAGCUUUCGCGAAAAAAGCACACGGUCUCCACUCUGACUCCUCCUUCCCUGGCUGGAGAAGCACCGCCCCAACCGCUCUGUCUGAUGCGUCAGUUUCCACUCUCAUCGGUUUUUGUAAAUCCACAUGCAGGAGCUGUUGUUCCGAGGCGAAGGCCCUUUUAGUUCCUCAAAUGCUUGCUCCGCCUCCUCCGUCCAAACGAACUUCUUCUUACUGCUGAGACAGUCCGUAAUGGGCGCCGUCAGGUGGGCAAAGUUUGGGAUGAACUUACGAUAGAAGUUCCCAAAUCCUAAAAACCUCUGCACAUCCUUCCUUGUUUUGGGUGUUUUCCAUUCCAGUACCGCCUGGACCUUGCCGGGAUCCAUGGCCAACCCCUUGUCAGACAGGCGAUACCCCAGGAAUUCCACCUCCUUGGUAUGAAACUGACACUUCUCCAGUUUCACCCACAGCUGGUUGGCUUGCAGCCUGCUCAACACUUCUCUGACGUCUCUCACAUGCUGCUCCUCAUUCUCAGAAUACACCAACACGUCGUCUAAGAAGGCCACACAAUUCUUGUAAAGCAACGGCCCCAGGACGUGGUUCAUAAACGAUUGAAAUGUUGCGGAGCCUGCUUGUAGACCGAAGGGCAUAACUAAGUAUUCAAAUGCCCCUAAAGGGGUGAACAUGGUGGUUUUCCAUUCAUCCCCUUCCUUAUUCGUAUCAGGUUGUACGCCCCUUAGAUCCAGCUUGGUGAAAAUCUUUCCCUUCCGCACCCUUGUCAAAAUGUCGUCAAUCCUGGGCAUCGGGAAGGCCACUGGUUCUGACACUGCAUUUAAGGCCCUGAAGUCACACACCAGUCUCGGCUUGUUCGUGUUUUUUUGUCCACAAAAAACACUGGGCUGCCCCCCACCGCCCUGGACUCUCUGAUGAACCCUCUCUUCAGGUUCUUGUCAAUGAACUCUCUUAGCUCCUGCAUCUCUCUGUCUGACAUGGCGUACAGCUUGCCCACAGGGAGCUGUGCCCCAGGGAGCAAAUUGAUUUGACAGUCAAAGGCUCUAUGCGGUGGUAGUUGGUCAGCUUCCCUUUCGCUGAAGACGUCGCGGAGAUCUGCGUAUUGUCGUGGUACCUUCACGUUCUCCGUUACUUCAGUCCCUGCUAGGGUGGCUUGGGCCCCUGCCAAAACCUUUCCCUCUUUGCAGUGUUCUAAGCAAUGUGCUGACCCAAAAGAAACCACUCUUUGAUGCCAGCCCACCAGCGGAUCAUGUAACGCUAGCCAGCUCAUCCCCAAUAUAAUGGGAGCUCCUCCCAAGGUGGCCACAUUAAAAGCUAUUAGUUCGGUGUGCCUUGCCACCUUCAUUAUCAUUGGGACGGUCUGCAAGCUGACUUCUCCUCCCAACAGCUCCCUGCCAUCGAUCGUGGUUACCUGCAGGGGUUGCUUAAAGGGAGCGUCUGUAUCUGGUGUUCAGCUGCAAACUCUUUGCUCAUGAAAUUGCAGGAGCUGCCUGAGUCCAACAGCGCCUUUAUCUUUAGAGGGUGUCCGUUUGGCAGCUCUAGUGUCACUUCUAUCACUAGGGCGGGUUUAGGAGGUUCUGGCGUGGGCACUUUCACUGCUCUUUGGCCUGGCUGCUGUGCCCCGACAAUGGCAGCCAGGCGUUGGCUUUUAGUUGCUCCGGUAUUUGUCCUCUCUUCCCUCCACAGCUCCCACCAUCCCUUGCCAUUCCUUCCUCUGGGGGCAGACUCUGGCAAAGUGCCCUGGCUGUUGGCAGAGAUAGCAUUUCCGGGCGCCUUUUCCCUCCUUUUUUCCCCCCUCACUGGGCUUUGAAACUGCGCGCGCGCGCGCUGUUCCGAUUUCCAUCGGCUCUGCCGGCGGGAAAGUUGGCUCUGGAAUGUCUGGAAUGCGGAACUCCUUCCAACGUUCCCCUUUCCCUUCCCGCCUCUCCAGUGCUCUCGCCUCCUGGCGCGCUCCUAUGGCCAGCGCUGAUUUGGUCAGCUGGUCCAUAGACUCCGCCCUGGGCGCCCGGGAAAGUUCAUCUUUCACAGCCGAAGAAAGCCCUUCUUCAAAGAGCAUUUGAAUGGGUUCCGCCGAUAAGUCCCACCCCAAUCUGUGUAUCAGCAUGGUGAACUCAGUCCAGUACUCACGUACAGAUCGGCUCCCCUGUUUGCAAGCCAUUAACUGUCUGCGCACCACUCCCUUUUCAAUAUCGCUGGAAAACAUCAGAUCCAUGGCGCGAAAGAACUUCAUCGUGUCCUUUAGGACGUCACUAUGCGCUGCCAUCAGGGGUCUAACCCAGUCUCUCGCCCCUUUUCAAGAUGCCCAAUCACAAAGCCACUCGUGAUUCCUCAUCAGGGAAAUCAUCAAACUGCAGAUUGAGGGCAUAUUGCAUUUCUGUCCGAAAGCUAUGAUAGUCUUUGGGCUCCCCCCCAAAUUUCUGCACCAAUCCUGGUACCUUUCUGGCGAGCUGGGUGGCUUUCUCCCUUUGUCUGCAUCUUGAGCCCUCCUCUCCUCCAGCCUCGCCGUCUGCAGCGCCAGCUGGACCUCCAACACCCGGUACCUUUCUUCCAGGCUUGGACCCGCUCCAGCCCCUGCUUCUCCGGUUCCUGCUGGGUUGCUCAUUAUGCCUUCUCCUGCACAAGCUGCGUUCAAAGACUGUCGGAAUGCUGUGAUGGGAAGAUGAGCUGCUUGUGCAUAAAAUCGUAUUCCCUCAGAGUUUGUUCAAGUCCACAAACCUCUGUCUGUGACGGAGCCCCUCUGACAUGGCUCCUCUAGUCACUAGAAGAUUCCGACAGUGGUUGCUUUCGUAAUCGCUUCCAACAUAAAAGCUCCUUAACGGAAACACGUCUUCUGGACUCUCUGCGUGACAGUUUCCGGCGAGGAGUGGGUGUCCCUACAGGAGGUCCGGAAACCUCACCACUGUUUUCGCUGGAAGUCUCUCUGAGCCAUCCCCCAGCUCCCUUUCCCUCAGUUCAGCUUCUCUCCCCUGCUGGUUUCCUCUUCAGCUGCUGAGUCUCUUCCAACCUGUCUGAGCCCUUUCACCUCCCUCAGUUCAGCUUCUCUCCCCUUGCUGGUUCCCUCUUCAGCUGCUGAGUCUCUUCCAACCUGUCUGAGUCCUUUCACCUCCCUUCCUUCCGAUGGCAGUUCCCUGACACCCAGUAAGCAUUUUUAUUUAUGCAUAUUUAAGGGAAAACGUCCAAGCAAAAUUCUGUUCAAUUUCUCAGUAAGAUAUAAACUUGGUCCUGACUUCCACUGUGCUGACAAGAAGUAUAAAGAACCUAGGAUAAAAAGCUAGCUUUCAUUUUAUUAAGGGAAUUAAAUAGCAUUGAUUAAAGCAUGCAUUUAGACGUUAACCUACAUGCAUUUAUUUCGCACCAUCCUCCAGGGCUGAGGACCCCACCACAACAGUAGUAGGCCCUGCUGAAAUCGCGCAGAAGUAAGUGCCGCAGUGCACUUGUGAUUCCCAGCAACAAGCAUACAGAGGCAUACUACCUUUGACCUAGGUUGUCAUGACUGGUAGCCAUUUAUAUCCUCUGAGAAUUUGUCUGUUACUCUUUUACAGCCAUCCAAGUUGUUGCCCAUCACUUCAGCUUGGGGUAGUGAAUUUCAUGUCCUGACUCUCAACAUUUAGCUCCCAUGUUUGCCCCUGUGCUCUAGCAUUGUGAGAAAGGUAUAAACAGUUUCCCUACAUGGGUGUAGCCGGGUGUAGCUAGAUCAAGUAAAACAGUUGUUGUUGUUGUUUAGCCUUGUCCGACUCUUUGUAUCCCCAUGGACCAGACCACGCCAGGCACUCCUGUCUUCCACUGCCUCCCACAGUUGGGUCAAACUCAUUCUGGUAGCUUCGAGAACACUGUCCAACCAUCUCGUCCUCUGUCGCCCCCUUCUCCUUGUGCCCUCCAUCUUUCCCAACAUCAGGGUCUAUUCCAGGGAGUCUUCUCUUCUCAUGAGGUGGCCAAAGUAUUGGAGCCUCAGCUUCAGGAUCUGUCCUUCCAGUGAGCACUCACGGCUGAUUUCCUUAAGAAUGGAAAUAAAACAAAUAGAACGGAAAUAGAAAAUAAAUAGAAUGGAAAGUAAAACAAUAGAAAUACUUAACUAACUGACCAAUCACUUCGGUUCAGCACGCCCUAACAAAAGUCCACCGAGUCUUGCCUUCUCUAACAAAAAUCCUGACUACACCCAUGUUUCCCUGUUAUCGACGCACCAUACAUAAUUUCACACCCUUCUAUCAUAUCUCUUCUUACUAAAAGCUGCAAGGGGAUUAUUUCAUCCCCUUGGUCGUUUUCUGUGUCCUCCUGAACUUAUUUCAGCUCUGCAAUAUUGGCAGUUCUUUUUUCAAUCCCUUUCCUCAAGAUUUUGUGAAAAAGGCAAAUUUCCUAGCAUGGGUCAGCAUCUUAAUUGAGCUAGCCUCUGUGACUCCAAGGUCUGGUUCCUGGUCAGUCAUUCCUAGUUCAAAUUCUAUUUGCAUAUAUUUUAAGUUAGGAUUCCCCUCCCAAAUGUGCAUCGAUUUGCACUUGUUUACAUCAUGCAUUUCCAUUUUACUGUCUAUUCACCCUGUUUGGAGAGAUCCUUUUCGGAGCAGCCCACAAUUCCUUUUUGUUUUAACCGCUCUGUGAGCGAUUCGGUGUCAUCAGCAAAUGUGGUUACCUCACUGCUCACCCACAAGUCUAGAUCAUUUACCUUGCCCACAACAUGCUUGUUGUGGCAUAUACACCCGUGUAGACCACUCAAGGACCCAAUCACAUUUUGCACCCUAGUAAAAAAAAGCUACAAUAGUUUACAAAGUUUUCUUCCAGAGUAACACAUGGUAGGGUGAUGCUAAAUUGUACGUAAAUAGCAUAAAACAACAACAGCAAAACUGUAAAAUGCUUCGUAGAUUGAAAAGCCUCAGAGAUGCAACAAAAUAAUAAUUUUGAAACACUGUGAGGUCUGGCUGUAGAAAGAGGGUGCUUCUUUUAAAGUACAGGCGCUCUGAUCUCAAAACUCGACCCUACUCUGCUGCUCAUUACAAUAAUUCUUUUUAAAAAAUCACAUCUUUUUUGAAGUUUUCUGCUACCUUUUUCCUGGUGGUUUACGUAAUGUGAACCCUACAGCAAGAGCACAGAAUAUCCACAGGCUUCCUGAAGGAGGAAAAUUCAAGAUGCUGUUAUCUAGUGAACAUUGUUCCUAUUUUCCUAUUUCAUUGCUUUAAAUAAUUUUAAAGUGGUUUUAGCAUUAGCAACUUAUCAUUAGCUUUGGCGUGUAAUGCCUUUGAAUUUGUGUGGGUGUGUGCAGACAUUUGUACCUGAAAGAGAGUUCUCUCUAACUUGAAAAGCAACACUCCCAACAACAGUAUUGCCUCAUUGUGUGGUUUGGCUUUUGUUCUGCAUCAGGAACCUGACUGCUACAUCUCUCUGGCCCAUUUGAGGAGCCCAUAAAGUAAAAUGCAAAUUAAAUGUUAAGUAUCUACCAAGAAUACAGUCCUUGACACCUUUCUUUUAACAUUAACAUUAUUUUAACAGUAUUAUGUUGUAAAUUCAAUUGGAAAGAUCUAGAGCUGCCCUAGGGCAGACAUGUGUUUGUUUUCGUAACAAUCAAGGAUCCAAAUUUUAUUUCUUAAAAAAACUUGAUAGCAGGACCUUUAAAACCCACACUUAUCCACACUUACAGUUUGCCCCUUUCUUACCAGGCACAAGUCUGCACUCUAAAGCUCCAUGUCCAAGUAUUUGCUUUUUUUUUUCUUUUGCUGCAGAUCUUUCCCUGCAAAAACCCAUUCUUUGGCACCGAAUAGGAGCAAAUGUUUAUUUGGGUUUUCCGCAUAUUGCUGUUUGCUCCGAUUGAACUUUAAAGAACUGGCUUUCACAGGGAAAGCUCUGGCGGGGGUGCGAGGUUGGAGGAGCUGGGAAGGCAUUCAAGACAUGGACAUUUAAAAUACAGACCUGUGCCUGGAAAGAGCGGAGGAAAUGUGAGUGUGGAUAAACCCAUAGAUUUAGAUAUGCAUAAUACUGACUGCAAUAAUAAUUACUGCUAAUGUGUGUCUUUUGUUGUUCCAAACAACAGAGCUCCAAACAAUCUAGAUUGAUUGUUGUAAAUACUACCAUGUAUGUAAAUUUUUAGUGUACUGUAUUUUAAAUAUCGUGCUGGGAGUACUAUUUUCUGUCACUUUGUCUUACUGUCAACUUUUCAUAUAGGGCAGUUUUUGUACUUGUGCCUCUAUGCCUGGCACAAAACAACUGUGUGGUCAGAGUAUUUUUUGGCAGAUGUUAUUAUAACUGUUGCCCUUUGUUUUGUGGUGUGGAUGUGCAAUACAGCUAGUAUGAGGUUAUGUGGUGUGUGCAUUUUCAGAAGCGCUUCACUUUCUGGAAAGAGUAUAGGUCAUUUGCUUUAUAGCAAAAACUUUUAAGGCAGCUAUGGCACGGAUGAAAUACAAAGUUUGUGCAGAGAUUUCCCAUAUACCUUUAAAUUAGAAGCUGAACUGGGAGAUAAGGAAGCUGUGGUUUUCCCCACACACAUUUCCCUUACCCACUGCCAACCCCAGUCCAGACUUGCUUUCACCUGUAAACAGAAAGGAGUGAGGGGCAGGGCAUAAUGGGUCAGAGAAGCCACAGAUUGCUUCAGCUGCUGAUUCAUCGGUGAAUUUAAUGAAAAAACUCCGAAUUGCAAUGCAGCAGUCUGUUUGCAGAAGGGAGCAUUAGAUUACCAUUUUGACAAAACUGCUAAAAUUUAAUAUAAGCGAUGUAUUUUAUUGUAACAGAUUGAGAUUGAAUCCUGACAAGACAGAAGUACUGUUUCUGGGGGACAGGAGGCGGGCAGGUGUGGAGGAUUCCCUGGUCCUGAAUGGGGUAACUGUGCCCCUGAAGGACCAGGUGCACAGCCUGGGAGUCAUUUUGGACUCACAGCUGUCCAUGGAGGCACAGGUCAAAUCCGUGUCCAGGGCAGCUGUGUACCAGCUCCAUCUGGUACGCAGGCUGAGACCCUAUCUGUCUGCGGACUGCCUCGCCAGAGUGGUGCAUGCUCUGGUUAUCUCCCGCUUGGACUACUGCAAUGCGCUGUAUGUGGGGCUACCUUUGAAGGUGACCUGGAAACUACAACUAAUCCAGAACGCAGCAGCCAGACUGGUGACUGGGAGCGGCCGCCGAUACCAUAUAACACCGGUCUUGAAAGACCUACAUUGGCUCCCAGUACGUUUCCGAGCACAAUUCAAAGUGUUGGUGCUGACCUUUAAAGCCCUAAAUGGCCUCGGUCCAGUAUACCUGAAGGAGCGUCUCCACCCCCAUCGUUCUACCCGGACACUGAAGUCCAGCACUGAGGGCCUUCUGGCGGUUCCCUCACUGCGAGAAGCCAAGUUACAGGGAACCAGGCAGAGGGCCUUCUCGGUAGUGGCGCCCUCCCUGUGGAACGCCCUCCCACCAGAUGUCAACAACUACCAGACUUUUAGAAGACAUCUGAAGGCAGCCCUGUUUAGGGAAGCUUUUAAUGUUUGAUGUAUCACAGUAUUUUAAUAUUCUUUUGGAAGCCGCCCAGAGUGGCUGGGGAAGCCCAGCCAGAUGGGCGGGGUAUAAAUAAUAAUAAAUUAUUAUUAUUAUUAUGUUGUUGUUGUUGUUGUUGUUGUUGUUGUUGUUGUUGUUUCACCAUUACAAGGGCUUUUCUUACCUUGCAUGCAUUGGGAUUUUAAAAUUCAAGACAGGCCUGUAAAGACAGUAGGCUCAUUUCUGUUUACUUUGGGAAAUAGAACUUCCUGAAUAUGCUAAAUCACUGACCCUGUUAAUGGAAGAUGCUUUACACAUUGCUUAUGCUAAAGCAGAGGCAGCAUUUAACUGUCCUAAGCGAUGUCAUGAAGGCUUUGUGUGUUCGCUUGUCAGUAUGCAGGACAAUGUAAACAGAUUCAUAAUGACUAAAAAGGAAAUGAGUGGGGGUUACUAAAAGAAACCACUGGGUUUUUUAUAAUGCAUAAAGGAAGAUCUAAUUAAUAUAAACAGUGCUGUGCGUCUCUGAAAUGUGAAAUAUGUACUGUAAUUCAGGGCUCUUCUAGACAGUUGCUGUUUGGGGGUGGGAUUUUGCAGCUCUUGAACAAAAAACCUGCUUCCCCUUAAAGAUGGGACGUUUUAUGAUAAGGAAACUGAUAGAGAACUGCACUGGAAAGUUUGGGACAGCACCUGCUUGACACAAUGUUGCCUAACCUCCCCACAAACAAAUAAGAAGAAAUGCUCGAUAAAUGUGUUGUCUGGAAGCAACCUCAGAAACAGAAUAUAAGAGGAGAGGAGAGUGCUAAAAUGUAAUCUAGUGAUAGUCGCUGCGCUCCUUCAGGCAACCUGUUUAUCUAGCAUUCAUCCUGAUUUGUUUGCACAAAGUUUCUGUGGAGGUUAGGUUAGAUCCAGUCUUUAUUAACCAUUUCUUCUGAUUUGCUUGCAGGGAGGUUACACAGCAAUGCACAUUCUGCAUUCACGUUUAUUUGUUUGCAGUGUAUUUAUCAUCUUCCUGUUAAUCCUUCAUUCCUCGCACACUUUUCAGCGUGUUUCCCUGUCACUUUCCUAACCUCAAAAAUUCAGGCCCUUUUGUAAAGUGGGUUUGUUGUGCUGAGGUGACAGAGUGCUUUAAUCCACUUUAUCUGCACAGACCUAAGUCUCCUGUUAUACGCCUGAAUCCCUGCUACAAAAUACUGAGAGUCUGGAGGGGCCCAUUUGUAUCCUGGUCUAAACCAUCCACAACAAAUGCAGUCUUAAUUCCUAUCCAGUAGAUAACAUGUAACUGACUGCUUAUUGAUCCCAUGGAUUAUACUUUCACACAUAACAUGAAUUCACAUUAGAUGUACCAGUACUCAGGAUUAAGGUGCAAUCAGAAUUAAGAGCGGGAGGGCAGUAAAAUGUAAAAGAAGCAUUUGGCUGCCAAAUUAUAGGCUUGGGUGAUUUUGCUGAACAUUACCCUUCCUGUAAAAAAACAACACAAUAAAUUAAUAAAAAUAAAUCUGGUUCUUCCACCCAGGGAGUCACUUAAAAAACUCAUGUGCCAUUAGUUCUGCAUGCUGAUAGCCUGAACCUUUGGCCUUGAACACAUAAGUAUAUUUUCUUAAGCCUGUACAUUUUAUUAAUUUGUUUUAUUCAUAUUCUGCUCCAUCCCAAAGGCCCUGAGCAGUUUAUAUAAGAGUUUAAAAGAUUAUAGGUGGGUGGGGAAGCAACACAGUCUUUCCUUUGCUUAUGCUUUUGAUAAUAUCUUCUAGUAACACUUCUCUGUCAAGCUGGUAAUUGAAGCUUGGUUGUCUUUAUGUGGCACUUAGGCUGCAAUCCUGUAUGCAUACUUACCUGAGGGUAAAUCCCAUUAAGCUCAGUAGGGCUUACUUAUGAAUAGAAGACAUGUAGAAGAUUGUCAGUCACAGCUUGCUGACAGGAGAAAGCCUCUUUAAUGAGAGGUCUGGAGGGUGGCAACACGAGAACAGGGCCUUUUCUGCAGUGGCUCCUUGUCUGUGGAAUGCUCUCCCCAGGGAGGUUUCCCUGGUGCCUUCAUUAUACACCUUUGGGUGCAAGACAAAAGCGUUCCUCUUUAACCAGGCCUUUGGUUGAUUGACAUCCUAUUCCUUUUUAAAAUGUGUAGGGAUGGGUGGGUUAUUGGGUUGUUUUUGUUUUAUUACUUAUUUUGUGGUUUUAUAUUCUGAUUUUAUCCAGUGAACCACCCUGACACCUGCAGGUAUAGGACGGUAUAUUAUAACAACAACAACAACAACAACAACAGAAGAGAUCUCAGUUAAUAGAGCCGAGUGCUAGUACACAGGAAUCAGGGAUGCGGGUGGCGCUGUGGACUAAACCACUGAGCCUCUUGGGCUUGCUGAUCGGAAAGUUGGUGGUUCGAAUCUCCACGAUGGGGUGAGCUCCCGUUGCUCUGUCCCAGCUCCUGCCAACCUAGCAGUUUGAAAACAUGCCAGUGCAAGUAGAUAAAUAGGUACCACUGCGACAAGAAUGUAAACAGCGUUUCCGUGUGCUCUGGUUUCCAUCACAGUGUUCUGUUGCGCAAGAAGUGGUUUAGUCCUGCUGGCCACAUGACCCACAAAGCUGUUUGUGGACAAACACCGGCCCUCUCGGCCUGAAAGCAAGAAGAGCACUGCAACCCCAUAGUCGCCUUUGACUGGGUUUAACCAUCCAGGGGUCCUUUACCUUUACAAUUUACCUACGUAGGAAUCACUGCAUUACUGAAUUAAUAUAGAGUGGGGGUGCUCUGCUCCAUUUAUGUAAGCAAGAGUUUUUCAGGUGUACCUCUUGGUUCUUCCCCUCUCCAGUUGCUUACCGCAGACGUAUUUCAAUUCGACCACACUGAAGCUGUGAAAAGAAGCAUAGCAUAUGAAAGUUCCUUUAAAUAACAUUGACUGAGCAUAAGGAUGGAGGAGAAAUUCGGUUCAGUUUGCAUUUAUGGGUGAACCUGCCUAAUUUGCCCUAUCCGAAACAAUACACAAACUGAAACACAGGCAUUGUUCAAAAGUUCACACGUCCCUAUAUCUUGCAGUGUAGUUAUUCAGCUAAACAGUGUGUACAAAGAUGCAUAUGUUAGCAUAAGAUGUACCUAUGUUAAUGAACAGAGCCUACAAAAAUCCAUUAUCUAAGGGGGGGGGGCGGAGUUCAUUUAUAAAAAUGUCUAUAUUAGGUAUACAAAGAUGUGUAUAUCAGGAGGAAUUCACACUAAAGCGCUGCUAAAAUUUCAUGAGGACUUCAAGUAGCAUUGCAGUAGUCCAAGCGGGAGAUAACCAGAGCAUGCACCAUUUUUUAAUAUAUUUCGACUGCGUCAGACCAACACAGCUACCUACCUGAAACUAACUUUCCACUUACUCAUUCUCUUUCGGAGCCUCAGCCACUCCCUAGCACCUAAAAUCUGUCAGUCUGAAAAAGCUUUGGGUUUUUUGUUUUGUUUUUAAAGCGCAGAAACAGCUUCUGGUCAGUGUCUAGACUAGAUAGCAUUCUGCUCACACAAGGCCUGACCCCCUUGGUUGAAUCAGCAAACAUAGGUAACAUUAAAAUCAGAGACCAAGCCCCAGUAGAAGCUACACUUAAAAUAGGAGAAGAAACACGAACCACCCUGUCAUGGUUCUUCAGUUGCAUCUUAACAACAAAUAAACUAAUAAGAGAAAGUCUCACAAAAACUCUCCAAAACUACUUCAAAGAAAAUGACGUAGAAGAUACAAGCCCCCUCCUUUGGGACACAAUGAAAGCAGUCACCAGAGGAGCUUGCAUAAAAGAGAAAGCAUCCCUUAAAAAACAAACCUCCUCAAAAAUUUGCAAAAUAGAACAAGACAUCAUGGCCUUCUCAUCACAAUACAAACAAACAGGAGCUAAAAAACUCCUUAAACUUACAGGACAAAAAUGGAGGGAACUCAACUCACUAGAAAUCAACAGAACAACAAUCAACAUUCCAUAGUCAAAACAACGCUUCUAUGAGUAUGGAGGGGAAAACUCCAGAUUAUUAGCCAACAGGUGUAGGAAAAAAUCACUCAAAACAAGAAUACACUGCAUCACCAAAAAAGACGGCAACAUAACAUUCUCCCCCAAAGAAAUAACCUCAGUAUUUGCAGAAUUUUACUCCAACCUACACCUCCCACCCGAGGAGAAAAUCAGAAUAUUCCUAGCAGGACUGACCAUACCAACCUUAACGGAUGAGGAACAGGAAUUCAUGGACAAUUCUAUCACCCUGGAGGAAAUAGAUACGGUCCUCAAAAUCCUGACAAAGCCCCAGGCCCAGAUGGCUUUACAGCAGAAUUCUACAAGAAAUUCAAAUAACCCCUAAUGCCUUACAUGACCCACCUAUUUAACGGCAUCAUAAAAAGGGGACCCCAUUCCUAAAACCUGGACCACCUCCAAAAUAGUUUCUAUCCCCAAACCACUUUUUUCUUCCCAACCUUAUACUGCAUGCAACACUAAUGUCUCACAAUAAAUGUGACUGAUCUUUAGAAAACAAAACUUGAAAAAAGAGACAAUGCACGUAUUUUUGUAAACUAAGAAAUCUUUAAUAAAUAUAUAUAUAUAAUAUAUAUAAUAUAAUAAUUAUAAUAAUAAUUGAAAAAAGGAGAAAAGAAAACAGCUUCUGGUUUUCUGCAUGUGUGGGUUCCAAUAUUGUAAAUGUUUCAUCACAGCCAUUAUUUACCUCUUUCACCUCUACUUAUUAUCUUUUAACAAAUACGGAGAAAGGAACUAAAAUUGACACUAUAUUAAAAACUGUGGUUAUAUUAAAGAAGGUGAAUAUAUUAAAGAAUACAGGAAGAUGCAAAUUAAUAUGGAUGAUUUUAUUAUUCCAGAAGUUAAUAAAAAAGCCCCUCUUUCUAAAACUCCCCUUGUUAAUUAUUCUGUCUCUGAUAUGUCAAUUUAGCCAUUAAAGAAAUUUCUCGUAUCUUCUGCAGCAACUCUUUUAAUACUGGAAUUCUUUUUUCUUUCCAAAGUUGAGCAAAGUUGAGCUUGUUAACAGACUGGCAAUUAAUUGCACAUCCACAUUUUCUACUUCUGUUUUUAAUAUGCACAUAAUAGUAGUUUUAGGUCCUCUUGAGGGAUUGUCUCCUGUCAUUUUCUGUACUGUGUUGAGAACCAGUUUUUUAUUUUAUUUUCAAAGCUCCAGAAACUCUGUUGGUAAUCUGCCCUGGGGGAGGGGGAAAAUCUUUGGAUUAUAAAUACAAAAAGUCAUAACCUUGAAGCACUGAAAAGCAAACAGAUUUUGCUAUUUUGAACAACCUAGGGUUAAUCUAACCAGUUGUGAGAACAAUGUGUGAUUGACAAAAGCAUUGAUAGUGUCUUCUUAGCACCUAAAACCACUUAAGUGAUUUAGCUUAUUGUAAAUCCCACAAUGAGGGUGUUCGAUAAAGUUGUCUCCCCGCCAUUGCUCUGGCUGGCUUUCAGGGUCCUCUGAAGUUAUGUCCAAGGCCCCUAACAGCAUGCUAGAUUGUUUGGACUUCAGAUCAAGUCAACUCUAGUCCAAAUAAAGAGGCGGUACUGGAUCUGGAAUGGCCUUUGGGGACUCCCCCCCCCCCUCCAAGCAUAUAAAAAGCAACCUGAUUUGUUGAACACCGCAGGAGGCAUAGCAUGGUUGGCAAAGUUUCAGACACCAAAUGGAUUCACCCCAACAGAAACGCAGAAAUCCAUCCUCAGUGUUGGCAUCAUCACUAGUGCCAUCUGUUUAGGAUGUCCACGUUCCCUACUUUUCAGAGGGCAAUUGCAUUUUACUUGCACGGGGAUGCGUAUGUUCUGUUGUUGUUGCUGUUGUUGUUGUUGUUCAGUUGUUUAGUCGUGUCUGACUCUUCGUGACCCCAUGGACCAGAGCACGCCAGGCACUCCUGUCUUCCACUGCCUCCCGCAGUUUGGUCAAACUCAUGCUGGUAGCUUUGAAAACACUGUCCAACCAUCUCGUCCUCUGUCAUCCCCUUCUCGUGCCCUCAAUCUUUCCCAAUAUCAGGGUCUUUUUCAGGGAGUCUUCUCUUCUCAUGAGGUGGCCAAAGUACUGGAGACCUAUCUUCAGGAUCUGUCCUUCCAGUGAGCACUCAGGGCUGAUUUCCUUAAGAACGGAAAGGUUUGAUCUUCUUGCAGUCCAUGGACUCUCAAGAGUCUCCUCCAGCACCAUAAUUCAAAAGCAUCAAUUCUUCGGCGAUCAGCCUUCUUUAUGGUCCAGCUCUCACUUCCAUACAUCACUACAGGGAAAACCAUAGCUUUAACUAUACGGACCUUUGUUGGCAAGGUGAUGUCUCUGCUUUUUAAGAUGCUGUCUAAGAUGCAUAUGUUCUAGGCUUCUUUAAAUAGACUGUUUGUGUGGACCGUUGCACAUCCUGUGGGAUGCAUGUUUUUACCUGUUUGUUCAUUGGAUUAUAGGAUUAAAUGGCUGCGCCUUUGCGUAUGUGCAUGAGAAUUGGAAGCAGAGUCUGAGGUGAAGCAACCUGGGAGGCAGAGUUUGCUGAAAACCAAAUGGAAAAACAAAUUGCUGGGUUUUUUUAAUGUAUGGAUAAAGGUAAAGGGACCCCUGACCAUUAGGUCUAGUCGUGACCGACUCUGGGGUUGCGGCGCUCAUCUCGCUUUACUGGCCAAGGGAGCCGGCGUACAGCUUCUAAGUCAUGUGGCCAGCAUGACUAAGCCACUUCUGGCGAACCAGAGCAACGCAUGGAAACGCCGUUUACCUUCCCGCCGGAGUGGUACCUAUUUAUCUACUUGCACUUUGACAUGCUUUCGAACUGCUAGGUUGGCAGGAGCAGGGACCGAACAACGGGAACUCACCCUGUCGUGGGGAUUCGAACCGCCGACCUUCUGAUCGGCAAGUCCUAGGCUCUGUGGUUUAACCCACAGCGCCACCCGCAUUCCUUAAUGUGUGGAUAUUUGAAUGCAAAUCUGUGAAUAUGCAUUAUUUCACAAAGGCUGCAGCGAUAGCAUGUCCAAGUGAUACCUUAAUGUGGGAACCCAGAAAAAUUGAUAACUACAAAAUGCACCUACCUCUCUGUCUUCUUUGUUUUUAAAAAAUGUGUUGUGUUAUAUGGAAUGCAUAUCUACCAACAUGGGAUCAAAUUUCAAAUAACAAAGGAUAAAAUUUUAUUGGGCUUUUGGAUAUCUCUGUGUGUUCCCACCUACCCAUCUCAACCCUUUAAAUUGCCCUACGAUUUCAUUGCUAGCUUCUCUGCAGGAAACUUUAGUUAUUUAAUUUUUUCUCUCAUGAAUUUAUGAUCUUGAAAUCACUAUGUGCUGGGCUGCUAAAUUGGUUUUAUUAGCUGUAGUGAUUUUAGUAUUACAGAAUUUUUUAUUGUGUUUGGUAUUCACAGUCCUGUUACGAUGUUUUGUAUUGGUUUAGCUCUGUGAGCUUCCUUGGGCGUCCUGGUGAGAAAGCUGGAUAAUAUGAAUUUAAAAAUAAUAAUAGUCAUAAUAAUAACAGGUAAUAGAUAUAAUUAUAAUUUACGAAUGCAUGCUGAAAAGGCUGUGCUGAACUUUCUACCACUUGUGGAAGAAGCUGCAGUAAAGCAAAGAAAAAUAUAAAAAAAUGAAUUUUGGUAUUAAAAUGAAGUGAAUACAUGUGGGGGAGAUGUGCCCCCUCUUUGCAGAGGCAGCGCAUUUAUCAUUGUAUAAUUUGCUGCUACAUAAAUCAUAAGACAUUUUAGGAAAAGUCAACCAACCCCCAAACACACCAGCUCUAAUGAGAAGAAUACAUUAAAACACCUCCGAAGUGCCGUGUUAAUCAGCUGCAUGUGAAUCUAUGUGAAGCUCAGCAUUUGCCUCUUCAAAGGGUUAGCGCUAAGCAGGAACCAAGUGUUCACGGUGGAUGACAGAAUGGGGUUUCUUGAGAUCCCCUGUGGAUUGUAAUGUGGGGAGGGGGGAAUCCAAAGGUUGUACUUCUACUCCAGUCUCACAUAAAUUGUCAUAUUGCUCCACUAAGAAUUGCCAGAACACAGGUAAAAAGAAAUGAAUACAUUCUGAAGCAAUUAGAAUUCAGCGAGGAAACACUUGGGGGAAUAUGUUAGCAAACAUUCUAGAAUCUCUCCACUAGACAAAAAACAAUUGGUCACAAAAGAAAGGUAACACCCACAGAAUCACAAUAAUUUUAGGUAGGGCAGUAAUAUUCACUCAGCUGCAUACAGUUCUCAGACCACUUUGCUUUGCCCCUUAGUGUUGUCACCAUCCCCUUCCAAGUUCACCUAACUUCUCCAUACAUUUCCUCAUUUUUGUUUCAGUAACUUCUUUGAGCAUAAUUAUCAUUGUACAGGCAACUCCUGUUUUGCGGGUGUUCAAAUACAGUGGUACCUCAGGCUGCGAACGGGAUCCGUUCUGGAGCCCCGUUCGCAUCCAGAAGCAAACGUAACUAGCGACAGCACGUCUGCACACGCGCGCGGCGCUUUUCGUCGCUUCUGCGCAUGCGCGUGACGUCAUUUUGAGGGUCUGCGCAUGCGCGAGUGGCGAAACCUGGAAGUAACGUGCUCCGUUACUUCCGGGUUGCCGCGGAGCGCAACUCGAAUGCACUCAACAUGAAGCAUAUUCAACCUGAGGAAUGACUGUAAUUUCACGACUAUGUGUGCACGGGCUGUUUUCAGACCCAGAAGAGGCUGUGACGGCAGAACAGGGGCAUGGUGGGUUUAUGUGUGCUCUGCCGACACGUGUGAUGACCCAGAACGUAACCCCUGCGAAAAACGGGAGUUGCCUUAUAUACCUUUCUGCAUUUUGUUUCCCUCGGACCUCACUGUAUGCAAUUCUCCUCCCAGCCUGUGUUUCUAUCAGUGCUAGAUAGUGCGGGGAGGGUAGCGGUGGUCACCUGCUGAGUCACCUGACAGCUGAGUCGUUGCUGCUAACCGGAACGGAGAGAGGGAGGAGUAAGCAGGGAUGUUGGCGUGGUGCAAAUUAGUGCAGAAUUGGCUGCACUGGGGUGUGCGCACCACACCAGCCUCCCUGCCACACCCCCUCUUCUUGCUGGUAAACAGCAGCAACUCAGCUGUUGGGAGGUCAGAUGAGUCCUGCUACCCCACCAUGUCUUUGGCUACUGUGUAUACCUGUAACUAAGGAUAAAUAACCCUCAUGCAUGUGAUGAAAUGGGCUCUAGUUCAUAAAAGCUUAUGGCACCAUGUUAAACUUAUUAGUCUUUAAGGAGCCAUGUGCCUCUUAGUUUUCUUUGUGCCAGUCUUCUCAAAGUAGUAGUAAUUCUGGAGAUCUGGAGUGCAGUUAGGACUGUACCUUGGGGCACGACUAGGGAGCAGAAGUGGUGGGCAGAGGAUGGAUGGAUGGAUUUGCCAGGUGCACAGAGGAGCUAUUUUGGUAAAUGCGUGAGUGUAUGUGAGAAAUUUCAAAUCACUUUCUUACUUUGCACUUCAGAAAGGAGCACUGAAAUGAUUAAUUCUGUUAGAUGAAUCAACUAAAUGCAUGCCGCCUAUUAAUCAGGGAACAAAUUUUAAAAUUAAAGAAGUUUACAAUACUGUAAAAUGAAAUGAAAUGAUAAUGAAAUAUAUGACUAACACUGGAUCUCGGCCUCUAAGUAUAGUGGAAGUGCUCUGAACACACAUAUUCUGCUCUGAACACAAAUAAGGGUUGGGCAAAUCUGAAAGUAUUGCCCUCUCUCAGUUUCUCAGUUUCCCAGUCUUAAAUUUGGUUUGCCCCAUUUCUGCAUUAAGUAUUCAUUAAAAAAAAAUCCAUGAAAGUUCACAUGCCUUUUUUGUGUGCAUUUUUGCAAGCACUGCCAAGAGAGAGAGAGAGAGAGAGAGGGAGAGAGAGAGGGAGAGAACUGCAUCAGAAAAUUCCAAUAAGCCUGAACUACUAAGGGUAUCUGCAUUUUAGUUUGCAUAUUGGUUCAGGAAGUACAAAUUAGGUAGGGUGGUAUUAAAAUAGAAUGAACUUCUUCCUCAUUACUGACAUCAAAUGGCUUCACAAUGCAAUGGAUGUGUAUCGAAACCAUGUCCACCACAUUUUAUAAGGUCCUUCUAUUUUCACCUCUGUCACAUUCAUAAAUGGCGUGUUUCCCACAGGUUAGGGAAGCCACCCAGAAUGCCUAGUCUGUCGAGGCCUGCAGUCCUAAUUUUCUUAAGACUUGUGUACCCUUAAUCAGUCAAAGAGCCUAACUUCACUUUACAUUAAUGCUGUGUAUUUAAAAAUAAUAAUAAUAGGGGGGGGGUGUGAUUGUCCUGAAGAAUGCAACAUGUGGUGAGAUUUAAACCUUCUCUUUCCAGCUACAAUAUUAAUGAAAACCCGCACACCUCCCCUCCCCCACUCAGUAUGGUAAUUGGAAUGGGGGGGUGUCUCCCAUGGGCACCAGUAGAAACGUUUUCCUAAUGCUGAUUUUGCACGUUUGUAUGUGUGUGUGCUCAGUUAUCACAGGUGGGAAGGAACAGGUUAAAUCCCACCUCCUAAGAACCCCUGGUGCUUAAUUUUUAGAAAUCCACAGUGGGAUUGCUAAUUGUGUCAACAACAUUGUGUGUAGUUGGGCCAUUAAAGGUUGAGAUGGGGCCAAGAUCAGCUCCAGGUUUGAAGAGGUCCUCGGUUCUGGUGGACCUUCUCUGGUGGGCUUGUCAAGGUUAUUUGGCUGCGACGGCAUUGCUCCAAGUGGUUGUACCUGGCCACACUUUUAAUUUCCCAUAGUACUCUAAAAUGAUGCUAAGUUGGGAGAAUGGUUGGAAAUUAAAAGGGUGCCUAGAUCCAGCUGCCCACUGCAGCCCAGAAUGCUGAGCCAAAAAUAAAGAAAGAAUUAAGAUAAUGCCAGGUGCUGGCCCAGUCCUGUGUGAGACUAUCCAAACUCAGCGAGGUUAAAGCAGUCUCUCAAGUCUAUUGUGCAUUUUUCGUAGAUGUGCUCUCAACGUUCUCAGCAGUUGUGAGCUUGGGUGAUAAGGAUUAGGACGGUUACUCUGAACGUCCACAAACAGGAGUCACAUGCAUCAAUAAGGUGUUUGCGAAAAUAGGAAAAAAGUCACACACAAACACACACACCCAAAAUCAGAUUUUGAAAAGGGAGGGAGUUGUGGUGGAGGAAGGGUGGAACAACAUAAGCUGAAAACAUUGGACCAAUGUUGUUAUUUGUUUAACAUGAAACUGAUUUUCAUUUGAAAAACCCAGAAGUGGUCAGAGACCAUGAAGAAAAUGUUCACAAAGAUGUGCACAUUGCACGUGCCACAUUAUAUUGUUAGUUGCAGAUACAAAUCAUGUGAGACUUGGCUGUUUGUAUAAACAACAGUCUUUAUUGGAACCACGGGUGUAGACUAAAGGUAUUUUAGAUAUUUGUUUAAAAUAGGAAACAGCUGACAACCCACUUUUUCUUUUAAACAGAAUUUUAUUUCUCCGUGUACUGUAGCUUUUUUAAAAUUAUUAUUUUCAAUUCAAGUGGGGGCAAUAGGGAAGUUUUUCUAAAUUUGAAACCAGCAAGGGCUUGUCUGACUAUCGAAUCUCUUGAAGUGAGGUUUCAUCUAAAGAUAUCUAUAGGCUUUGUGUGUGUGAAGCUGACAUGUGUGAUGAUAGCUCCUUCUAAAUGUCAGAUACCUACAGCACAUGCUGCGAGUGCUACCUCUUAUCAAACCCAGAGCCCUUUCUUCCUUUUUAAAAUAUGUUUAUGUAAAUUCAGCCUUUAUGAAGCCACAAGCUGUUUCUCUCAGUUUUGUUUUCGGCUAUCUUUGAUGAAAAAGAUUGACAACCUACGCAUCAGUCUACAGUUGCUCCACAAUAGAUCGAAAUAAGUAUACCCAUGACAAGUUUUGUGCAUUGUACAUUACCCAUGCUUCAUUUAAAGCAGGGAUCAGCAACCUUUUUCAGCAGUGGGCUGGUCCACCGUCCCUAAGACCAUGUGGUGGGCCGGACUAUUUUUUUUGGGGGGGGGUGAACGAAUUCCUGUGCCCCACAAAUAACCCAGAGAUGCAUUUUAAAUAAAAGGACACAUUCUACUCAUGUAAAAACACACUGAUUCCCGGACCGUCCGUGGGCCUGAUUGAGAAGUGAGUGAGAGUGGCCCACAGACUUAGGUUGCCUACCCCUGAUUUAAAGGUUUCCUUCAGAUUUUUGGUGGGUUGGUGGGAGGUCUGUUUGCUUAGAUCUAGUGAAAUCUGGCAAGUUUGACCACUAACCGGAGCAUAUAUUUUUUAUUUAAGUUUCUAACCCCCACCCUCACCGUUCCUCCCAAAGGACCCUAAACUGGAAAACAUCUCAGCAGUGCAAUUUUUUCAAAAAUGUAACUUAAUCAAAAACACCUCAAAAGGUUGAAAAUCGAUCACUUUAGCAACACAGUUGCUAAUUUCAAGGUUGUCACGGCCAGUAUCUCUGUCGUCCAAUGCUUGGGUGAACAGCAGUGCUUAAUUCCACCCCGCCAAAAGUCACGGAGGGCAUUCCACCAACAUCGAACCGCCACCAGGAAGUCAACAGCAAGCAGGGAGCAGCCAGAUACUCUGAACCUUCAUUAGCCAGCUUUUAUUCGUGGGAAUGAACACACUAAUGAUGGAAACCAGUGUGGCCCAGUGUAUGUUAUGCUUUAGAUUUGUUUUUAAAAGGCUUUUGGUCAUGUACUCACUGAGGUCCAUCAGCAUUUCGUCUGCUGCUGUGACACCUGUGCAAAUAAGAGGCCUCCCUCAAAGGGCUGGUGUGUUGUGGAAUGAGUUAUUGGCUGCACAGCCCAUUGCUGUAACAAUGGGUACAUUGCUGUACAGUGGGUAAGAGUACUGUACAAAUAAAAACACUUCAAGACAUCAGAUUGUUUUUUUCUCUGUCUCUCCGGUGCAAACACGUCGCAAUGUAAUUUGGCUUACUAAUCAAUUCUACGUUGUGAAAUGACUUUUCUGAUGCUUCACAUGGAUUUCAUUUUUAGAAAAGGGUGUUUCUGAACUACUGUAUAGUGAAACUCGCCCCCCCCCCCGUAAUGACUGAAUGACUGUGCCUGUAUUUUGGAGGCAAUAUUUUAAAGAGAUUUGAAAGUGUCUUAAGAGAGUUUAUCCUUUACAUUUAUUUUGUCUGCCCUGUCUGCUCUGUUUAUCUCUUAUCCAAACAGGUCCUACAAGCUUUGAAACAGUAUAGAAAACCAAUGUUGGCGGUUGCCAGCGUAAGUGUGCAGUCUUCUGCAUGCUUACUUAAGAAUAAACCUCACUAAAUUAAGUAGGCAUUACUAGCAAGUAAGCAUGCAUGGGAUCAGACUGCAAACAUAUAGUUGAACUGCAGGUAGAGUUGUUGAUUCAUCCGUUUCUCUGCUUCAGACACAACUGUUUCAAGCACAUUAAAGAUCAAAGCAGAUGCUUUUUGUUCAUUGUUUCAUCUUAACUCUAGAAGAGUGGCAUAGAUGUUGCUGCUAUUGCAUUUAACCUUUCUUCAAUUUAAUCUUUACAUAUUGUACCUGCAGGGAUGCCAUUAUUCCACUGUGAACAAAUUAGAUCUCCUGUUGCCUGUUUAGAUUUUUUGCAGUGCCGCAGCGUUUAAUGGAUCAGUUGGUUAAUUGAUUAAACAAAGGUUUUAAUCACCGAAAAGUGGCCUCGAUUAAUUUGUGCGCCAGAUUUUCUUUUCUUAAAAAAAAAAAAAAUUACUUUGAGUGCAGGUCUUAUUACAUAACAAACUAUAGAGUUGGUGGUAAGCAUCAUUUUUUUAAGAAAAGGCAUUCCUUCUCUCUGGCUUGGAUCCUAACUAGGCACCUGUAGAUGGAAGAGCUCCUUCUGUUCACAGAUGAAACUGAGAUCCAGCACAGAGGAUCCUGCUGUCGGGAGAAGGGAACCAUUUAUUACCAAUUCACCAUUUCCCAUGCUGCGUUCCCAGCCCCAAUGGGCAGAUCUUUUGGUUUUGGGGGCCAAGAUGGAAGGGGGAGGAGGGAAUUAGUGAAAGUCACUUCCACCUCUUUGCUGGUGGGAAUGGCGGGUAGGAACAGCAUCCUACUGUUGUGGGCCAUAAAACAGCUUAUCUCCUGAGUUUACGCCAAUAAAACUCAGAAACGUGAGGAGUUAGAAGUCCAACGUUGUUUAUUGCAAAGCAAUAGGUUACAGUCGGAUCGUUCUGCAAAACUGCAACCCCGCUCGGUGGUCCAGGCAGUGGUAUUUAUAAAAUUUCAAACAAAGCAUUUCAAUUUUCACCAAUCGUAUACACCAUUACCUCAUUUCAUGUUUAAUACACAUGCGCAAUAAGCAUUGGCAAUUUCUUCUGAUUAAGUUCUGAUUCCCAUCGUGUUCUAUUAAUUGUGUUAGUGUGCAUAUUGGGAACCUAUGUUACGUGUCGCCAUUUGCACAACGUAGCAACUUAUGUUCCAGCGUUGAGCUGUAUCUUUGUGAUUCACAUAUUAGCAGUAUUUCUGACCCAUUGGGGGGGCGGCAACUUGCAAAAUCAGUAACAGGCUACCAUAACUUCUCUAUUAGAAGCACACUCAAGGAUUUACAGGGGUACACAUUAUCACAUUUAUUGUGGCCCUUUGGGCCACUGCCACACUACCAAUGGGAUUCUGCUCAUAGGAUGCAGCCGCCACUAGAGGCCUAGUGAGUCUGAAGCCUUGGUAGAGGAUGGUGCUUCUAAGAUGGUGAUUGCCAACAGUGGUUUUUUAUCAACUUGUAUUUAAAUGAACAAACCAAAAACAAUUACAAAAUCUUACAAUUUAUUCCCCUUCCCUGUCUCUUAGUGGAGAAUGGCCCCUCUAAAUGAUGCCAGCUACAACACACAUGUGCAUGAUCUAAAACAGGGGUCAGCAACCUUUUUCAGCAGGGGGCUGGUCCAUUGUCCUUCAGACCUCGUGGGGGGCCGGACUAUAUUUUUUUUGGGGGGGGGGAAUGAACAAAUUCCUAUGCCCCGCAAAGAACCCAGAGAUGCAUUUUAAAUAAAAGCACACAUUCUACUCAUGUAAAAACACGCUGAUUCCCGGACCGUCUGCGGGCCGGAUUGAGAAGGUGAUUGGGCCGGAUCCGGCCCUUAGGUUGCCUACCCCAAUCUAAAAAUAAAGAAAUCAGCUUUUUCCCUCCCAAGCUAUUGCUUUUAGCCAUGUUUAGUAAACCAAUUGAAUAAAUCAGUUGAAACUAAAAUUCAUGACUAAGAUUUCUGCAAAUUAGGUGACAAUCCUAUAUUAUUGUAAUUAUUUUGUGUGUGUGUGUGUGUGUGUGUGAGAGAGAGAGAGAGAGAGAGAGAGAGAGAGAAUAAUAAACAAGUUGUCAGGAAUCUUGGGCCUUUGCAUACUUUCUAAAUUGUUAUGUUAACAGUUAGUAUUUAAUAAUUUUGUUUUCUAGCAGUAUUCUGAAUCUGGCAUAUCCCUAAAUGUAUUAGCAAAGAGGAAGCAUAUUCUGAAUAUCCAUAGGUGUUGUGCUUGAUAACUAAUCUGUCUUUAUUAGCUAUUAUUCAGCUCUUAUGGCAUUGUCAAGUUUUGCCAUUUCCACAAAACUGAAAUAUAUUCAGUGUUUCUGGACUCUUGCAAACAGACUGAACGGCAAAUACAAAUCACAGCAUGCGAGAUCACCCUCUGUGAAGUCGUUUUGAGUUUUGUUCUUGGCAAAGAUGAGUUACAGUAAAUCGUACGCAGACAAAGGAAAUAUUUCAAGAAACAAAUGAGUCAAAAGUUGAGGAUGUAAUAAUCCGCAGUAUAUAAUUUAGCAGCUGCUGAAAACGUGACGGCAGUUGUGAAAGUCAUUUUAGGGAGGUACACGCUAUGUGGUAUUUUAAAAAAUAGUAAUGAAUUACUAACCCUUACUAACUUUCAUUUUGAAAUUAUACAUUUAACCGCAACAAUAAAUGGUGUUCAUUUUAUGAUUUUGUUAAUGUCCUUUGCCAGUAGUACUUUUAACAGCCCAUUGUAUGUAUCUCAUUUUUGUUAUAAGUUGUUUCUUUGAUUAUAUGAAGAGGACUGAAUUGUAAAUAGGUGGUUCUGUUUAUUCUUUGGCUUAGUGGCAACAGAAAAGUAAGUUCAGGUUAAAAGAUGGCUGAUAAUAGCAAGGAAUAUGCAGAGGAAUGAUGGAAGAGUUGGGUUACAUUUUAGAUGGCUUGUCCUAAGUUUUAUUUGUUUGUUUUUGAGACACUGGUGGGCUUUGCAUGGAGUCAAUCAGGCUUAGUCAUCAAAAUGCAUAUAAAGGAUUGCAGCCAAAGUCUGACAUCUAUUCUGUUUCAAUUAGACAGAAGGCUGGUAAUUUUAUAAAAAAAAAGGAGAAGGAAUUAACACUAUACCUUUGAGAUUUGUCAAUUACUACAUGAAAUAUAUUUACUGGGAGGGAUUUUGCACACCAAAUGAUAACCAGGAAAAUGCCUUAAAAAUAAAUGGCACGAUAAAUAAUAAACUAGACAAAGAAAUACUAAUUACAGUGGGGUCUUUGAUCCAAAAAUAGGUCAAAUUCAACAGGAAAUACUGGUAUCCUUCCUAAGGUAUUUUUGUGUGAAAUGUUAAGAAUUGCCUAAAUAUUAAAAGGCCAUGAGACAUUUUCACCACCGUACCAUACAAUUCUUACUUGAGAAUGAAAGAAAGCCGGCUUAAAUGCUGUGCUUUCCGUGUGUGUUGUGCUGUUGUAUUUUAAGUGCACCCACUUUAGAACUCUGUUUUGAAUCUUUCAGAAUCGGUUUAAUUCAAUUUUGACUUUCAUAGGUAUUUGCAGAAAAGGGAGCUUUAGUGAAUGGUUUCAGAAUGUGUCAUUGUGUCUCUUGACUCGCAGGAAAGAAAGCGUGGGAGAUACAACUGCUUUAAAAAGCUGAGAAUACUUCUUAAAUUAUUGCUUCAGAUAUUGCCUAACUGGGAAUUGAGUAUUCGCAGUAGGUGCUUUUAUUUCAUGACUCUGUUGUCUCCUUAUUUUCUCAGCAUUGUUGGGUGGCAGUUGUUUUUGAAACAAAUGAAAAGGGGUUUGUUUGUUGAGUUACAUACAGUUUAGUGUAGCAAAGCCAAAAAAGUAACUCACCGUUUUUUAAACGGCAAUUUAACUUGGUUGCCGCAUGUGGCAAAAUCAGAGAAACUGUUUCAUAUCUGAUUUGUUUGACUUCUGUUUUGCUUUGAAGGAACUUACAUUCUUUUCUGCUUGGCAGAACUAUUCUUCUUUACAGUAUCCUUGUUCCUCCUACCCCCAUGGAAAAUAUUAAAAGACUUAAAAUUUGGGUUUGUAUUUGUCUAGUAAUUUAAUUGGGCUUAUAUUUGUCUAAUGAUUUAAAGUGCUUUUAUUCAAGAUCGCAAACUGCUAGCAAUUAUAUUAACAGUAAUUCAGAUUGUAUGAAGUUUUAAAAAAUCUUGUUAAUCAUGAAAAAUACUGUGUGCCUGGUUUGCAGUGUGUGUGAGUGUGUGGCACAUGUAGAAAAUAUUUAAAAAGAAAAGAUUUGAUUUUUUUUUAGUCAAAAUCGUCAGUAUUUUACUCUCUGCAGCAUUUAGAGAUUGGUAAAAAUAUUUAGUUCUUGGCUUAAAGAAUAUUUCUCUCUCACACACUUGCGCAGGCAUACAUAAAAGUUGUGGCUUUCCACAAACUGGGUGUACUGUACAAUACCUUAAGUGUUAUAAGAAGUUCAGGAACAAAAUGUCUACUUAAAGCAUGAGAGAACUGACCACAAAUUGCAGAUAGAACUGAUAACAGCAGCCAACAACACCAAGAAGUACAAAAACAAAUAUAAAGCUGAAAGACCACUGGAGACACACGUGUGUGUGUGUGUGUGUGUGUGUGUGUGUGUGUUUGCAUGUUUUACUCUAUUUCACUAUGUAGCUAACCUCUGAAAAGAGUCUGCAGUAUUUAGAUGAUGUUUGAUGAAUUACCUUGAUGAGAAAUCUUUUAGAUAACCCCACUGACAGAACUGCUUCUGCUGCCUGUAUGCUCACAAUUCAAAAAUCUCUCGGCUGCCCUAUGCUAAAAUUGCUUUGAAACCAUCUGUACUUAAAAUGAAGGAUCCUUUCCUGUUCUGUGAGGCUGAUUUAAAUCAAAGCUUUAUUCAGCUUUUGAAUUUUUGAUUGCGUUUGUAGCUAUGAUUGCAGCUUAUAAAUUUAAUUAUCUGACAUUUACUGUGGAGUGUCUGCCUGCCUUGCCCCAUCUGUGGUAAAACUAAAAGGAAGAACCAGCGAUUAAAAGGAGGGGGAAGCCACUGGCAUGAUGAAUUUGCUGCAUUUAAAUGCAUGUUUCCACAGUAGUGCAAAGGCAGGGAAAAUCCUCGGUGUGAUUCAUGAGCCGUGCUCAGAAUAAUUUUUCCUACACAUCGCAGCCCGGAGGCAAGAACACAGCCUUUUGUCAUCCUCUCUUAGUGUGGGCAAAAGAGUUACCUGUGAACAAAGUAUACAAUACAUUUUGUCUCUUGAAAUAAGUCGGUUGUUGAACAGAAAAUUCAGGAUGAGGUUUUUGUUUUUGUUCUGCCGCUUUAAUCUUUGUUUUUUACAAAUAAAUACAAAUAACUCAAACUGAAACUUGAUGACUUUUGGUGAUACUAAACGAGCAGCCCUAGGGGGAAAUUUUCUUCAUUAAUAUGGGUCUUUCACAACCCACACUCGGUUUCGCUAGGAAAAUUGUUUUAACCUUUUCAGCAGCUCAAGAAGAAGCCUUUGAAGUCUAGACAUGCUAUAACCUUGGUUCACAAUUUGGAUCCUUUCCAGAUGCCCAUAAAAAGCCCCAAACAACAAACAUACUUAAAUUUUUAUUAUUUUUUAUUUUUAGCACUAUAAUAACUGGCAGCCCCGAUCCAGCAGCAUAGAACCAGUAUUCUGUUCCCCAGUAGUAUAGGGACAGUUUUGUUGCAGUGCAGGUAAUAUUUCUGUAGAAGCAAAAAAAGAUAUUUUUUAAAGGAGGUGGUUUCUUAGAAUUUCAAAGAAGGGCAUGUGCUGCCUCCCAAAAACUAACUAACUAUUGAGAAACUAAACUGGAAGACUCACAAAACUGAUAGGGCAUUUGGAGGAAGGUCCUGCUGGUCUGAGCGUUAUUGUUUAGAAUCAUAAAGCUAGAAAAUCCAACUUCCUUAUCAAUGCUGGAUCUGCCAUACAGGAUGCAACCACAGCAUUUCCAAGAGAUGACCAUCCAGCGUCUGCUUAAAUAUCUCCGUUGAAAGAGAGCCCACUAUUCUCGGAGGCAGUCUGUCCCACUGUCAAAACACAGUAAGCCCUGAGGACAUUUCUCCUAUAGUUUAGCCAAAAUCUGCUUCUUCUUCCACCCAUUGCAUUGAUUUUAAAGGACUUAAUGUAUGUGAUACAGUAAAGGAAGAUUCGUGUGAGACAUAGCUGUCAACGUUUUCCUUUUCUUAAGGGAAAGUCCCUUAUUCCGAAUAGGAUUCCUCACAAGAAAAGGGAAACGUUGACAGCUAUGGUGUGAGAUGGGGAGGCAUUUCCCACAAUUGGCAGAGGAAGAUUGUGGACCAUGUUUCCUCACCAACAACAUAGUUCACUUUGAGUAAUGAAAAAAGAAGUAUUUCGCCACAGCGAAGGCACCUGUAGGUGUGAGGUUGGGUAGAUGUUCUUCUGCAGCAUUUGAGUACAAUUGAUGGGGAAAGACUCUUGAAGUCAGAGCUGGGAUUGCUCUCACUUGGAAAACAGCGUAUGAAAAAUAUCCUCUGUGGCGUGGAAAUACAUUUAGGAGGUUUGCUUGUGGCACGCAAAACUCAUGUUGCUGGUUUUUGUGGCGCUCUAGAAACCUAAAAAAAACUUCUGUCAGAGGUGGCAGUGAGACAGCAUAAAUGGGACUUUACCCCUUGGGAAAGGAUGGCUGUAUUGUACAUGCCAGUUUCAAGUCACUUUAUCAUCUGGCCGAAUAGGCAUGUGAAAAUAUAUAUGCAGAUGAAAUAACACUCUGGUUACUGUUGCUCAGGGGAAAAGCCACUUAACACGUGGAACAUAGUGGCUACUUAUAUUGCCUUAGAGAAGCUUAGGCUUCUUAGUGCCUGCUUAAAAGAAAAAAAAACCAGUUUUACAGCAUUUUGCUGUUGAAUCGCAGAACUGUAAAGUUGGAAGGGAUCCCGAGGGUCAUCUAGUCCAACCCCCUGCAACGCAGGAAUCUUAAAUAGAUCACACAUGACAGAUGGCCAGCCAAGCUCUACUUUAAAAACCUCCAAGGAAGGAGAGUCCACUACCUCUCCUGGGAAUCUGUUCCACUGCCGAAACAACUCUAGCCUUUUUUUUUUUUUUUUGCUGCUACAUCAUGCAGUUGACUUAGGUUCAGUUUGUGGUCUCCUAAGACCCCCUAGAUCCUUUAAACAUGUGCUACUAGCAAUCCACCUGUCCCCCCAUCUUACAUGUGUGCAGCUGGUUCUUUGUGCCACAUUGCAUGGGACUAUUUUCUCUGUUUAUGAGUUGCAAAUAUUUCCUCCCUUUUGCUGCAAUUCCUUGUGCCUGACAACUGCAAAGCUUCCUUUGCAUUGAAAUGAAACUGAGGGCAUACGCUGUCAACAGAAGAGACAGUCAGCAAAAGAACCGUAUCUAGCAAGGUCUUUGCACACUCCCGACACUUUCCUAACAAUCUAGUACUGAGUGUAACAUACACCUGAGCGAUACAGCUAAAACCCUAUUCGACUCAAAUGGCAGUACUGGGAAAUCUAGGUUCAUAGUAUGCUCCUUACAUAGCUUCAUGACAAUAUAAUCUUAUGUCAACAGCACACUCCUUUACCUGUAAUUUCUGAUUUUCUUGGUGUUUCCUACCUUCCCUUCCUCCAAACUUAGGUUGUGGUGAAUAGGUGGUAAGUUUUCUUCUCCUUUUCAUCAGCUCUGUCUCAACGUUAGGCAAUGGCGGUUUUUAUAUUUUUAUAUAUUUAAGUGAAUCAAUGUGUGGCAAUGAGCAGUGGCCAUUUCUGCCCUACCGCUUUUGUGAUUUGGUUAAAUGAAACUUCAUUAUAAGAACUUAAGCAGAUCCCUGCUGGACUGGAUCAGGCCAAAGGCCCAUUUAGGCCAGUAUUCUGUUCUCUCACCUGCCUGUGAGAAACCUGUGAGCAAGACAUGAUGAUGAACUCAAUAUUACUUUCCUACUUGUGUUUCUUCCGCAACUGGUAUUCAGAGGCUGGCUUUCUCCAGUCUUGGAGUUUGCCUUUAGCCCACAUCACGACUAAGAGUCAUUGCUAUAUCCUCUGUGAAUUUGUCUACUCCCCGUUUAAAGAUAUGUCAGUUGGCCGUUUUGUGUGUGUGUCUAUAUAGACAUUUAUACCUUUCCAUGACCAUUAUUUUUGAUUUCUCAUUGUACAGAAAAGGUAUAAAAAUGAGGAAAGCUACCUGUUUUGUGACAUUAGGUAUCUUGUGCUUCAAAUUCCAUUGUUUAAUUAUAUGCUGUGGGGCACAGUGUGUCCCUUCGUCUGGCCUCAAUCUGCCAUUAUUCAGCUUCAUUUGGUGGACCUUCCACCUCUAAGAUUCUAUGAUUUCCUUGAUCUGGACACUAUAUUUCUGUUGAUGCAGCCUAGAAUAGCUGGGGGAAGUUUAUUCACUUUCUUCACAGCAUGCAUAAUUUUGGAUGCCACAGUCAUGUCUUCCCUCAUAUUUUUUUUCCUAGAUGGAAAAAAUUGCCUCAACAUUGAACCUUUCCUCAUAGGAGAGCUGCUCCAGUCACGUGAUCCGUUUGCUUGCCUCUUUCUAUUCAUUAGUGUCAGCACUUGAAGGCUACAAACCAGAAAUCUGUAAGGGGUCCUAUGUGUUUUGAUGCAUGCCAUCAACAUAAUUUGCAUACACUUUUCAGGAACCCGACAGAUGCCAAACUACAGCUGAUGGAACUUCUUGCUUUGCUUCUGCAUUUGAUGCCAUCAAAUGAGAUAAACUCAAGAAAGCAUUUGAAAAUUCUUGUAUGGGUUUACAGUAGAAGCAAAGAAUAAAUGUGGGCUUUUAAAACAAAAAACACAAAAAAACCACCCAACUCCUGCCACACUUUCCUGUCCUAUUUUCAAACUUACAUUUGCAACCUUGAGAACUAGUAACUUAACCUUUUUUUUAAAAAAAAACACCACCCAGAAACUGGUUCUAGCAGGAACCUUGGGGACAUUACAUACCUCCCACCUGUGCUAUAUAUGUGAGUGAGCUAAGAGUUGUUUAUAUUAGGAACUGUUGAGGAGGCAGAUACCCACAAGUCUGUGGCUUCUGUGAUAGCAAAACAGCUCAAGAUACUUGGGUAUUUCAAAUGGUUUGGAGGGGUGGGGGAGUUUGCCCUACAUGUGUCUCAAGUAAAUAGCUGUCGUCUCUUAACAAAAUGGGAUGUUGUAAAACCUAGACUUCGGGUUUCUGUGAGAUUUUCGCAUUACACAAGGUCCUAUCUCUCUGAGACUCCCAAGUGAAAUUUCUUCACUUCCUCGGUACUGCUUUUUAUUCCUGACUGUUCUGACCAAAACAACUCCCCCCCCCAAAAAAAAGUAAUAAUGAAAUGUGCAGCUUCCUUGAAGCCAGCUUUGUUUUCUAUCGGUGGUGGUUUGUUUGCUAUUACCAGCAGGUAUGACACUGAAUGGAAAGAUUGUCAAUGUCUCCUCAUAAGAACCAAAUGACAUUUAAGUUUUAAGGAAAUGCCAGCUUAAAAAAAGAAAAGAAAGAAGAAAGCGUGACUAAGAAUCCCAGUAAGACUGCUAAUCUUGUAUACAACUGAUUUUGUGUCAAAGGAAGUCCCGGACUGUCCCUUUUGCAUUUUAUGACCUUUCAGCCUCAUCAUUUUUAUUAUUUUGUCUCUCUACAUUUGUGUGUGUGUUUCUAUAUAUCUGCCAGAUGACAAUGAAGUUCCAUGCAUCAGAUGAAGUGGCCUCCAGUCCACAAAAGGCUUAUGGCACAAUAAAUCGUUCAGUCUUUAUGGCCCCACAAUACUUUUGGUUGUGUUUGUUGUAAGAAACUAACCUGGCCAUCCCUUUAGGGUAAGCCUCACUCUUGCUCUGAUAAGUACGGAUCACCUUUCUUUAUUUUAGGCCCCAAUCAACUAAUAUAAGCAUGCAUAGAGCAAACCGGUUAGUCAAAAUAAUCAUUAGUGGGCAUAUUUGCAAGUCUCUGGUAGGUACUGUUGUAUGACCUUAAAAUUCUUAUAACAGUAUCCUCCCUCUUUCGAAAUCCUGGUUCCUCAGUCCUUGAAGCAGUCACUUUUGUGAAAUACAGAGGGGUGAGGACUAGUUCUCUUCAUUCCCCUUUUUGUGUGUGUGCACCCUAGUGCAAUUUUUAAAAAAAAUAAAAAUAGGCAACUGAAUUCUCAUAGACCACUCAACACUAGCAAAACAUUCUCUUGAUCUUUCCUAAAACUUGAAGUGGUCAGCUUCUCUCUCUCUCUCUCUCUCUCUCUCUCUCUCUCUCACACACACACACACACAAUUGUUGUAGUCAUGAGGUUUGCAUGAUUUUUGCUUGGUAAAUAGAUACUUAGGGGUUUUUCCUUCUGAGAAGAGCAAGCGUGUGGCUAUGGAAAUACUCAUCCUCAUAAGAUUACUGUAUGUUAUUUACACAACGAAAUUAAGAUUUCACGAGAAAUCUAACAUGUUGACUUUCUGUAUUUGCUGCUCACUCAUUUCCUGUGAGGUUGAGUUUGUUUAUCUUGAAAAAUCCUAUUUUUAAACCUGUUCUGACAAUAAGCCAUUUGAAUGUUCAUGCCAGUCAUUUGAAGGUGUUUCACUUUGGUGCAUGGUUGGUUGGGCUUUGCAGCUGCUUCUUUGAGAAAUAUGAUGUUCAGAAGAACCAUAAUUUGCAGGGCAAGGGGGGAAAACAACAGACGUGUUUUCUAAUAUUACAUGAGGGGAAAUCAGUUCUGAACGGGAAAGAUGACUUCCUAAAACUAUCUGAAGUCAAAUUCUGACCCAAGCCAUCUGGUCUGAUGCCAUUCAUGCAAACUAUUACUUGUGGCCCACAACACAUGAGACAGAUGAUGAAUUAAAAAAAAGAAAACCAGUUUACAUAUUAGGCCAAAGCCUGAAGUAUACAAGACUUGCAAGUUUCUAGACCAACAUUUAUGGCUGCUUGUAUGGCUGCUGUUGUGGUCCCUUCCAAUGCUGCAAUUACAUUAUUCUAUGAUUCUAUGAUACAGACUGGUUCACACUUGUAUGUUUCUCGCUUGGUGAUGACAAAUGAAGGUCAUCAAAUGGUGACUAGUGUGUGUAACCGAGACAUCACAGAAGCUGACUGAAAUGCCGCAAACAUAAUUUUCACCUCACUUUCUACACACACAAACACACUGUUGCUGGGACCACCUCUGUUAGGUUUUCAGAUGGACAUAGUGGGAGCUAAUGCAGAAUUACCUUCUCUCAGCUUUAAUUUUUGGGAUGAAACCAGUUUGUGGGAAAGUGCUUUCCAAGGGUAUGAAAUAUGUAGUAGGUCCAGUUUGUGUGCGGACUACGGGAAGAUCUCAGUGUGCACUGAAUGUAGAAUACAAUGCUUGUGUGUACACAGUUCUUCGACUGCACUGGGAUAAGGCAGCUUCCUGCGUUAACACAAUCAGCUGAAAUUACUCAGUAAUCCGUUGAUGAGAACUCAUGGGAUGCAUGCACUUCAGCGUAGAUGGCUUUCAAAGGAUGUGUUUAUCAUGCACUUAACCAUGAUAACAAAAUUCCCCUUGAAAUUCCUAAUAGCUGUUUCGUUUAUGCCCUGCCUGUGGUCUUCCCAAAAGCAUCAGGCUGACCAUUGACAGGAUGUGGGACUAGAUGGACCCUCACAGGGUUGUGAGGAUGAAAUGGAGAUGAAGAGAAGCUGCCACGAACUCCUUGGAAGAAAGAUGGGUGGGGGUUAUGUAAAUGUUAAUAAAGCAGAUAAACUCCCAUCAGCCCCAGCCAGGUUGGCCAAUGGCCAGGGAUGAUGACAACUGUAGUCCAUUAACGUUGGAAGGGCGCCAUGUUUGGUUACCCCUGGUCUGAGGUAUGAGAGUAACCCCGCAGUCCUGUUUUGGCACCUGUUAAUUCUCUUGCUCUCGUCCUGCAUUUUCUUUGUAAAAACCCGAACAAUGAUAACAAGAAAAAGGGAGCAACUAGUACAUUGUGUAUCCAGAGCCACUGUUAUGUAUUGAGUUGAAUAGGAUCCAAAUUGCAGCAGUCUGAUUGGUCCUAGAACAAUAGGAUUCAGAAUGCAGCAGUCUGAUUGGUCCGCAGGAGCCACCCAAUCCAACUCCAGGUGGAAGUGAAUCCGCAACCUGAUUGGCCUACAGGAGAAUCCCAGAAUUAGCCAAUCAUGUGGGGCCCAUUGUCUAAAUAAUGUAUAUAAAGCAGAAAUUUCGGGGGAACUUCCAUUCCUCCUCACUACUAUGAGCUGAAUAAAGAGCAUGAAAUCCACACUCGACUCCAAGUAUAUUUCAGCCACCAAUUGAAAACAAAUAGCCUGUGCCUUUUUGAAGCUCUCUUUAACCUUGUAGGCAGAACGCUGUCUAAAAGUAAGGACUUGUUUACUGAAUUCAGGCCUCACCUCAGUAACUUGCCUGAAUUGAUUUGAGGUUAUAUAUGAAGCUGUGUGGCAGGGCUCCUAACCUAGGCCUGUCCAAGUCUUAAGGGGAAAGAAGGAGAGGGGAAGCUGUGGUUUGGGUUGCCCUUAAGGUGACAGUGCUGGAAUACAACACCUCGACGUCAUCUUGUCUCGUAGUAGUGAUUUCCCUCAGAUAAUUACGCAUUUUCUGAGGGAAAACAAGGUGCUUUCUUUUUCUGGGGGCGUGUGGGGUUUCACAGUCCCUCCCACACUAUGAUGUUAUCACAUGACCUGGAUGGAACUUGUGCACAAAGCAGUUGGGGCUCUUCUCAAAAAGGUUUGGCUCUGCCCACGCCAUGGCCUAUGCAACAUCAUCGAAUCACGAAAUGUGGGCUGAGCUGGGCUAAAAACAUGCAGCCCUCGCCACUCUUCAGCAGCUUUGGAAGCAGUAAAAAAAACACCAAAGAUGCCUGUCUCUGAAAGACUAUCUAGGUUUGGUUUGGUUUUUUAAAAUAAAAAAAUGGGACCUAUCUGUGUGAAACGCUUGAACUUGAGAAAUAAAAUAAAAUAAAACCCGCCACUGUUGCAAAAUGCAGCAUUUGCUGUUCCAAACGCAGAGGCUGAAGAACACCUUCCUUCAUUCCAAUGCCAUGGAUGUUAGUAGUCUCGAGGUGUCUUCACCCUACCAAAGCAGUUUUUUCCUGAGAUUUGUCCCAUAACACUGUCUGAACUGUAAUAAAUGAAAAUCUGCCUUUAUUCCCUUAUGGGGGACACAAGAGCCCUUAUAGAGUCCUUUGUAGGUUCUCCAUUGGUCGGAGAAAAUAACAGAGGCCAACCAGAGAAUAUUGAGAAGCAAAGCAGCUCGUAAGCCUGAUCUUUAUUGAACUGUUGCAACAGGGUGCUCCCUUCACACGCAGGAAAGGAGGAGGACUCCGAACAAAGGUGUGUCUGCCCUUGUAUAGACUUGUAUAGACUUCUGGGGGUGGUCCUGGAGUCCAAGACCACCCCCAGAAACAUCAUACCUACAUCACAGAAGGAGUAUAGCCCAAGCCCCCCCCCCAUACAUCAUACCUACAUCAUAGAUGAGGCAGUCUACAACAGAAAUCUGAGUGUGUUGUUUAUCUCCUGUCUGGCCAUUACCUGUUAAUGGUUACUUGAUUGGAUACCCUGGGGAGCCUGGCCAGUCUUUUGUAAUGACAAAUACUUAGUUCCUGAGCCAGGUCACAGGCUCACCCUAUUCAUAUACAGACAUACCCUUAAGACAGGAUUUGUGAACAAAAAGACAAUGGGGAAGAUCCCCCACCCCCUCCCUCCUUGCAGAGAAAACAUUUGGUCAGUUUGGGUGUCAAAAUGGUUUCAAGGCGGUCCUCCUGUGCGGCUUCAGACAUGUGGUCCACACAUCUAUGUAUGCGCUAGUACGUAACACAGAUACAGAAAGGUGAAAAGGUGAAUGGUUUCACCACAGCGACCCCACUGAAUGCCUCUGUGUUUUGUUGCUGAGAAGUAAUUCACUCACGGAGGCGAUGCUCACUUGCCCUGCAACUUGUUCCUUGUGACUAAGGAAUUCUUUUUUAAACACCCGCCUCCUCCAGUGCAGAGCUUGUGCCUAGAAACUUCAAACUGGGCAGCACAUUAUGAGGCAAGUAUGGAGUGACCUAAACCCCUGUUUGCCUUGUAAUGACAAUAUAAAAGGUAAAGGUAAAGGGACCCCUGACCAUUAGGUCCAGUCGUGGCUCAUCUCGCUUUACUGGCCGAGGGAGCCAGUAUGACUAAUCCGCUUCUGGCAAACCAGAGCAGCGCACGGAAACGCCGUUUACCUUCCCGCUAGAGCGGUACGUAUUUAUCUACUUGCACUUUGACAUGCUUUCGAACUGCUAGGUUGGCAGGAGCUGGGACUGAGCAACGGGAGCUCACCCCUUUGCGGGGAUUCAAACCGCCGACCUUCUGAUUGACAAGUCCUAAUCUCUGUGGUUUAACCCACAGUGCCACCCGCGUCCCCAAUGACAAUAUAGAAUCCUGCAAUUCAGGAUGGGAUCUUCAGUCUUCCCCUGCCUAUUUUUUAUAUGCCACUGCUCUUCCUCAUGUCCCAUGCUGCACCAUUUCUUCCCUAGCCAGCCUUCAGAAAUAUGCCCACGGGGAGAAAGGGAACCUGGGAGAACUGGCAGAAAGAGAAGUUUUAACUACUACUUGCGCACAGGUCAAUUCUGCACUCCCUCCUAUUCUCAAAGUUCUGCUAGGUGGAGAGAAGGAUUAACACUAUAUCAGGUUUUGUUUUUUUUAAAAAAGGCAUGUCAUAAUGAUAUCAUUACAAACUUGGAGCCUUUACCUAACUCUGGGGUCAGCAAACAUUUUCAGCAGGGUGCUGGUCCACUGUCCCUCAGACCUUGUGGGGGGCUGGACUAUAUUUUGAAAAAUAAAUAAAUGAACAAAUUCCUUUGCCCCACAAAUAACCCAGAGAUGCAUUUUAAAUAAAAGCACACAUUCUACUCAUGUAAAAGCACACUGAUUCCCGGACCAUCCGCGGGCCAGAUUUAGAAGGUGAUUGGGCCAGAUAGUUUGCCUACCCAUGAGUCCUAACCCUCAUCAGUCCAAAUGGGAAAAAAUAAUUAAAUAGGGAAAUACUGAUAAACAUGUGUCGUUGGAGGAAUGUGCCACAGGAUACUAUUAAUAUAAGCCUCAAAGAAAGUGUCUACAAAAUAGGUUUUUUAAGUGGCAUUUAACGCUAAAGCAUCUUAGAUGUACAGUAUAGGCAAUAAGUCCACAAUGGAGAUGUAAGAAGCCUAAAGCCAGCAUUUUACACACAUAUUGGAAUUGUUCUCGAAUGAUCCAAAAAGAAGUGUUCCCCUGUUCCAUGAAAUAAUGUCAUAUAAAUAAUAACAUUUUGAGAUUGAGUCACUAUAUAUCAAGUUUCAAUUUAAGAGAGGGAGGUUUAAAAGGUUGGGUGGGUGGGUUUUUUUCUCACACUCUCUCACCAAAAUCUAGCACUAACAGGAUGUUUGUAACCAUUAAGCCAAAUCCAAAAUAGAGAGCGUGUAGGAUUAUCUUGAUUUAGGUUCAGGAUUCCCUGAUAUGCUUUUCAAAUCCUAGCAUGUGCAGUUUGUAUAUUUCUAAUUUUUGUUUGAACCUUGGUUUUAUUAAGUGUGGUUUGUACAGUUCAUGGCUUUAGGGACUAAACUGUAGCUUCAAGUCAUAUAUAGAGGAAGCUGAUUUAUACUGAGCCAUAGGUCUAUCUCGCCCACUUGUGUUUAGUGAUCAAACAGACUAAACUUCAGUCUGGCUGCCAACAGCUCCCCAAGGCCUCCUGAGGAGUUUUCCCCUCAGUCUUGCUGUUUCAGAUUCUUUAAAGUAGAGAUGGCAGGGAUAUUGCAUUUGGGAUCCUCUGUGCAAAUGUUCAUGUCUGGGCCCUGGAAAGAUAACAAAUAGUCUCUGCCAAGGGAAUUAUAAGCCACCACAUCCACCCCUUCUGUUCUGAGCCCACUAGGCUUGAUGUUUUCAUUGUUGUAGUGCUGUGGGAACCUUUUAUAGGAACAUGGGAAGCUGACUAACACCCAGUCAGAAAACAGAGAAUUAUAUUCACAGGCCAGCAGUGGAUCUCCAGAAUUUCAGACAGAGGGUUUUCCUGAUGGUCCUGCCUGGAGAUGUGAGGGACCUUAUGCAUGCAAAGUAGACGGUGUACCACUGGGCCACAUACCCUCCCCUGGAGUCCCAUGCCACUUCCAACGAUAUAUGGAUGAUGGAGCCAUGUUGGUUGUGAAAAUGAUGGGAUUUCUGCCCAUGCUGCCAUGCCCCUCCCUAAGGCCUGGUCAUUGUUUCUGUGUCCAUAAGUCACUCUCUUCAUGGGACACAUGCAGCUGGAUAUUAGCAGAGUAGCAUGAGGCUAGAGUCUAGACUGGGAGGGGGGGCAUGGCUUGUAUGUCACUGAUGGAAAUGAUUGAAUCCUGUGAACUGCUCUGAGACCAUAUACUACUACUAAUAAUAAUUGUUCUUAAGUGCUAAUGCUCACAAUUCCACUGCCUUGUUUUUUUUAAGUUUCCAGUCCUCAUUUCCUGUUGUUGCUGUCUCUGAUGAAAUAGGUUGUGCGUGUUUCGAAAUACUAUAAAAACUGGCAAAAGCCUGUUUAAAAGAGGUGAUGGUGGGGUGGUUGGGACCAUUCUAACUCUACAACUCUUUCAAGCUUAUAAUUGUCCUGUCGUAUCACCUUCAGCACUUAGCAGGGUGGGGUGGGGAUUGCUAUUUUCUGUCCCCACCUAGGAAGGAUAGCGUUAUGUACUAAGCUUGGAUCCUAGAACAAUAGGCAAGUAGGAUCCUAGAAUGCAACAACUGAUUGGCCAGCAGGAAAAGACCAAUCAGGCUCCAGGAGGGAAGCAGAAUCAGCCAAUCAGAUGGGUCUCAUUGUGUAAAUAAUGUAUAUAACAGCCUGAGGUUUUGGGGGCAAUUCUAUCAACUGUUUUACAAGCUGCAAUAAAGAGCAUGAAAUCACUACAGGACUCUGAGUAUAUUUCAGAUAGUCUUUACUUACCCUAAUUAAUGGGGGAGAGGCUCUCUCUCUCUCUCCCUUUUGUUAAUCAUGGCCAAUGAUGGUCAGGGGCAAUGGGAGCUAGACUCUGAUCACAACUGAAGGGAACCACAUGGGCUGUCUUUACCAAACUUGGUCCACUGGGAAAGGAGGGGCAGAGAGAGAAGGAACUUGCCCACCUGGCAUGGAUCUUUGUAUAAACUGCUUCAUAUUUGUCAGUUUUAGGCAUGUGUAAAUCAUGUGUAAAUUGGUGCAGAUUUAAUCAAUUAAAUGUUGAAUUGGUUGAAACUCAUAUAAUCAAGCAACUAAAAUUUCUCAAAUUAAUUUACACAUAGCCCUCUUGGCAAAACAGACAAGUAAGACGAAACCCAUUUUGCUCUGAACCUGAUACACAGAGCAGCUUUUUCAGAAGAGCAUUUCAUUUAUAGCAAAUAACUUAACAAGAUAAAAACCUCAGGAAAAGGACAAUAUAUUUACAGCAAUUGGAUUUGCAAAGCUGGGAGUAAAGGAUUAUUAAUUUGGAUAUGGUGCUUUCCCCCCCAGCAUUGCUAUGCAGCUGAAAUGCGCUUAUUGUGAACGGCAAGCCCAUUUCUAGAAAACAGUGCCGUUCAUUUUUGUUUGUUGUGCCUUGCGUGAAUAGGCCCCUUCAACGUGGGCCUUAAAAGUUAGCAUAUUUAUGGCCUGAGCCCGAAACAUGCUGCACCAGCAAAUAAAUUGGUCCAGAUGGAAGUAUUCAGGCUGCUGUGGCUGUGUAGCGUCACAAACCACAACGUUCUGUUGGCAUUGCAGGCAGAUAGUCUGGUGCAUGGCUGUGUAUUCGGGACUGGAACACUAGUGCGCAAAACGCCCUUUAGUUUCAACACCCCAAAGUGGUUCGGCGUGCAGAGACGGGAUAAAAUGUUAUAAUAAUGCAAGGAUUUGCCUGUGUUUCCGUGUACUUCCUCCUCUUUCUCUUGAACUUCUGCGCCAGCACACAGGACCAAGAUAUUUUGAGCCACUGUUGUAGGAAACUCAUAAUCUGUUAAUGGUGGCAGCUGCCUCAUGGUAAGGCUGUCCCUGUUAGCAGAAGAGGACAAGAAGAGGUGGCCAGGUCCAGGAAACUGAGAGGCAAAGGCAGAGAUGGAAGUCAGUAGGCCAUGAUGGGAAAACCCAAUAUCUUUGGGUAGGAGCUUUUCAAAUGUCUCUUAACACUCAAUAUUCACACAUAGCAAUUCAUCAGGAUUCUCCCCACAGGUCAUUUGGUGUCAGUUGGCCCAGUCAAAGUACAGUGGCACCUCAGGUUACAUACGCUUCAGGUUACAGAUUCAGCUAACCCAGAAAUAGUGCUUCAGGUUAAGAACUUUGCUUCAGGAUGAGAACAGAAAUUGUGCUCCGGCGGCACGGCGGCAGCAGGAGGCCCCAUUAGCUAAAGUGGUGCUUCAGGUUAAGAACAGUUUCACAUUAAGUACGGGCCUCCGGAACGAAUUAAGUACUUAACCUGAGGUACCACUGUAUGUGUUGGGAGGUGGGGGCAGUCCAGCCAUAGCCGGCUCUGUUGUCUUCUAUGACAGCCUCCUAGGUACUUUCCUUCUCCUUCCCACAGGACACCUGGUGUCACUUGUUUUUAGAGUUCCUCUAAACAUGUGCCGUGUAUCUCAUAACGUGAGUCGCCACAGACGACAACUUCCACAUUUAUUUGACCCCACAUAAGCUUCGGACUUCAAAGCCCUGCCUUAAAAACCUUAUGCAUUGCCAUAAAUCCUAGCAUAAGGCAGUGUUUCUCAAACGUGGGUCCCCAGCUGUUGUUGGACUACCAUCAUCCCUUACCAUUGGUCCUGCUAGCUAAAGGAUGGUGGGAGUUGUGGUCCAACAACAGUUGAGGACCCAAGUUUGAGAAACACUGGCACCAGGAGAGUCCUGUUGGAUCAGACCAAAGGUCUGUCUAGUUCUGAAUCCCGCACUGCACAGGAGACAGACAGGUGCCUUUUGGAAGUGCAUCAUCAGGCCGUGAUGGCAGUAAUGAUUUCCUGGUAGCAGACUCAGACGUGAAAUUUCGAUGGCUGUGUAGCCAAAAUGGGGCUUCUGUGAUACAAGAGGGAGGUAUCAGCCAACUCCCCUCCCCUUCAAAAAAUCCCAAUUCAAUGAGGAUUGAGAAUUCUCCAUAGGCACAGAAUGUUGUAUUUCAGUUAGAAAAUAAAAGUAAAAAUCUAAAGUAUCCCGAAGGAAGAUGUGGCUAGGUGUCUUGCUGAAACCAAGGAGAAGCAUUUCAGUUAGAAGGUGAGGAUGCGCUGUAAUAUUCUACAGCCUUUUAAAUGUCUCUGUGGGAAGGGGGUAUUGUUAUGUUGUUUUGGUUUAAUUAUUUACUUUUGUUUUAUCUUGUAUUUUAUUCUGCGAACCACCCUGAGAUCUUUUGAUGAAGAUAUAUAAAUUUAAUAAACAAAAUAAAACAAUUAAAAUGAAACGUUUUGUUGCAUGUGGCAUCUGUCACAGUCAAUAAUCAUUGAUAGACCCGCUUUCCUCCACGAAUUUAAUUUAAAGCAUGUGGCUUCCCCCAAAGAAUUAUGGGGACUGUGGUUUCUUAAGUGUGCUGGGAAUUGCAGCUCUGUGAAGAUGGGUAAACUACACUUCCCAUAAUUCUUUGGGGGAAGCAAUGUGCUUUAACUAUACAGCAUGGGUGUGAUUUAAACCCAUCCAGGCCACUUGCUAUCAUCUCACCUUGUGAUGGUGAAUUUCACAAAGUGAAUAUGGGUUGCACACUGUGGCUUAAGUAUUUUGUGGGCCAAACAGAGCACCACUUCACAUGUCUGCAGUGUGUAUUUGCCAUGGUAAACACUGGAAAACUGCACGUCCAUUGGAGAUAAGUAUACUCCAGGUAGCAGCAGCUAGUCACAGCCACUGGCCGUCUGGGUCAUCCAUUGUACACUCCUGCACUGAUGGAUACAUGGCAGGCAUGUCUGUUUAGUAAAGUGUGAAUCAGCCCUGGCAGUCAUUAUGAAACAAGCUCCUAUGACCAAAAAGGGAGAGAGCAAAAAUUAGACACGUUAUCACUGCGGGUUGAGGUAGUGUUUUGAAAUGGGACUUUUUCUCCCUUUCCCUCGCUCAGCGCCUCCCCCAAUAUAAUCCAUUGUUGAGUAAACAGUCAUAAAUCUGUUGCAGACGGACAGGCUACGCCUACUCAAAUUGCCUACUGCUGCAAUUUCAGCUUCAAGCUUUAAUGCCCUAAACAUGAAUAACUUUUGUGAGCAAGGCACAGAUCUGAUUAAUGAUGCAAGCUUGCCAACCACUGUAUUCAACAACUGCAACAGCAGAGCCGCACCCCGCCCUGUCCUUUAACUAACUAAAUAAGCAAAUUUCAGCACUGAAUUAUACAAGAGCACCAGAGCUUAAUAAACUGUAUUCUAAAAGACACGGCAGAUAAGGUUUCGUAGCCCCGCUGGGCUAGCAAACUCAGCAGACUUGUUCAUUUAGCUUUCUGUUUUCUGGUGUUUGCCAACUUUUUGUCUGUUAAUUCAGACGCAGGAGGAAGAACGUGUGUGGUUAUUUGGUCAAUUGGCUCCUUUCACAAACAGAUGGGUUCUCCCAAGCCUACUGUCUUUAAAUACACGUGCACGCACACACACAAAAUGUAUAUCAUGUUAAGUAUGCAGCAGAGUGGGACCCCUGCUUUGAUGUACUCCAAGAGGGUGCCAGAUGUAUUGCUCUGCUUUCCUUUGAACCACACCAGUGAGGCUGAGCGGGGGCAGCCCAGGACCUUCAUGCACACUGCUCAGGCUUGCGCCCCGAAGAGGUCAUUGUGGUGCUGCUGAUGCUGCAAAAGCAACACAGCAGGCGGCAGUUACGCGAUACCAGUCUCUGCAGCCACAGCAGGCGCUGUGACUUCACUCCUGGAAGCACAUUCCAUUGUUGCUCGAGGCAGAUCCCAACAGUGACUCCUGUGAGCAUGACUGCAGCUGUUGGCUUGCCACAAAUCUAGAGGGGACUUGUAAUUAAGAGUUACCAUCUCUUUCUUUUCUGGCAUGCUCAAGUAUCAGGCAAAAAUGGGUGUGUUUGUAUAUCACAUCUGUAUCUUGUUGUUGUUUAGUCGUUUAGUCGUGUCCGACUCUUCGUGACCCCAUGGACCAGAGCACGCCAAGCACUCCUGUCUUCCACUGCCUCCUGCAGUUUGGUCAAACUCAUGAUGAUGCUGGUAGCUUCGAGAACACUGUCCAACCAUCUUGUCCUCUGUCGUCCCCUUCUCCUUGUGCCCUCAAUCUUUCCCAACAUCAGGGUCUUUUCCAGGGAGUCUUCUCUUCUCAAUCUGUAUCUUAGCAGUCUUCUUUUAUCGUUGUUAGCCACUCUGAGCCCGGCUUCGGCUGGGGAGGGCGGGAUAUAAAUAAAAUAUUAUUAUUAUUAUUAUUAUUAUUAUUAUUAUUAUUAUUAUUAUUAUUCUGAGGAGUUCAAAGCAGAAAACAUGAGGCUAUCACAUUCUCCCACAUUCUGCCCAACCCAGUAAAACUGAGAGUUAGUGAUGGGCCCAAUGCUAUGAGCUACCUAUUGGAGGAGUUGAAAACUCAUGCCUGUAACCCAAAUCUAAUGGUCUGUCUGCUGUGCCACAUUAGUUCUGCUCUACAGCUGAAGUUUCUCCCAUUGUGAAGAGGCACUGAUGGGAAAACCUUGUCCUGUCAUUUUUGUGACUAUCAUCCCAGCUACUGAAAGGCAAAAGAGCUCAGCGAGGGAAGACAUGGCAAUUCACCCAGGAGUGGGUGAGGGGAACCUGGGGCCUUGAAGGUGUUUAUUACCUUAUUUCCAGAAACUUCUGCACUGUCAACAUCAAGGACAGAAAUCAUGGCAGCAUAAAGUCAACAACAAAAGUACGUUAAUAUAGUACAGUUGUUGGACUACAACUCCCAGCAUCCCAGACCCACUGGUAAUGCUGGCUAUGGUGGCAGACCACCAUCUGACCAACAUCUGGCAGACUACAAGUUCAAUAGACUUGCAAUAGCAGCAGUGACAGGAGGAAAAAUUUUCCGAUAGGGAUGUGGCUCACCAUUAGCAAUGAAAGUAAAGGUAAAGGUAAAGGGAACCCUGACCAUUAGGUCCAUUCGUGGCCGACUCUGGGGUUGCGGCGCUCAUCUCGCUUUAUUGGCCGAGGGAGCCGGCGUACAGCUUCAGGGUCAUGUGGCCAGCAUGACUAAGCCGCUUCUGGUGAACCAGAGCAGCGCACGGAAACGCCGUUUACCUUCCCACCAGAGUGGUACCUAUUUAUCUACUUGCACUUUGACAUGCUUUCAAACUGCUAGGUUGGCAGGAGCAGGGACCGAGCAAUGGGAGCUCACCCCGUCGCGGGGAUUCGAACUGCCGACCUUCUGAUCGGCAAGUCCUAGGCUCUGUGAUUUAACCCACAGCACCACCCGCAUCCCGCAGCAAUGAAAGUAGCAGAGCUUAUUUUUUUCCCCCUAAGCCUUUUGCUUGCUAGCUGCGUUGGCAGCCUGGCCACUAUUUUACUCCCCCUCAGUGCAUUAGACUAACAUCUUUCCAGGGCAUUGAAGGCAGAAAAUGGCAGGGUGCCACAAAAAUUGGUAGAGGAUAUUUGGAGAAAAUUCUGCAGCACUCCGUUUUCUAGGAAGGUGAGAAAAAUGAAAAUGAAAUCUUAGAAAUUUUCUCUGAGAUAUUUCAGGUCAGCUCUACUGGAUACAGUGCAGAUGUCCUGUAUGAAGGCCAGCAGACCUUUCCACACACAAGAACCAUCUUUUUUCCCCCUUUCUUUUUAAAGACUAGCAGUUGCUACAGCCUCUUUCAAGUAUUUAUUUAUAGCCAGGAUGAAAGAUAGAAACCUGCCUUUAAAAAAUGAGCGAUGAGAUUAUACCAAACCCCACUGAAUUUUGCAUAAGAUCUUAAAUUCCACACUGCCUGGUACGGUUGCUGCCAUGCAGCUUCCUAAACUCCCUGUUUAAGCAUUAUAUUCUCGUUGUGAUUUAUUUUCCCCCUGGAGUGCUGAAGUGAACACAGUCCACUAAAAUUAAUUCCAAGGGAAAAGAAACUGGUUCAAAUCUCCUGAGAGAUCAGGCUGCUGUUUCCCUGAGGGAAAGCCUCCUCGCCACUUGAGAAAUGUGCCUCUUGCUUGAUACAUUUUUCAUUCUCUGCAUAUUAGCAAAUUAAAAAAAGACAGCAGAUUUAUAUUUCCUGCAAGAGGUGAUUGUAUAACAGAAGUCAGCUAGUUUGUUUCCCUGUUUAUUUCAACAUGGUUAAUUGGCUAAUAAAGAUGCAAUAAUCUGAAUGGCAACGCGUUCCAAAAUAUGGAAACGUGUCUUUCUGCCCUGCCAAGCCCGUUUCGUUAAUCGCCAGCACAUUACGGUAAUAAAAAGCUCAUCCACUAAGUACAAAGCUGUAAUGCAAGACAUUACAACGGCCCUAAAUUUUGGUGAGCCGUCAGCACCAAUGCCAGGCUUUAAUUAUGAUUUGCGAAAGGGAGUUGCUGAACAACCAUACGUGUCACCUUUAUUGCCCUUGGGCCUAAAGAGAAUUCCGUUCUGAAAAAUGUCAGCAUAGCUUGGCUCCCUGACCAUCCAACAGGCAUAUGAGGGAGUGCCCGUAUUCCUUAUUUAUUGAUUUUGUUUUGCCCCCCACAAAAGAUCUGUGUGGCUACCGGUGUACUCAAGGCAAUUUGCAUAUAUCUUCUGAAAUAUUCUGAAACAGCAUAAUAAAAUAAUUGCAUAUGAAACAAAUAUAACAGCUAUAUGAGUGGAAGUAGCGUGCUCUUGGAGGUGCUGUGAUGACCAUUGAUUUUGUGAGCACUCACUUUGCAUGUAGAAGAUGACAGAUCAAACUCUUGACAUCUCUGAUUAGAAGGUUUUCAGGUGCCAUAAUUGGGAGAUGGGGCUCCUGCAAAUGAUCUGCAUUAUCAAGCCUCCCAGAGUGGCUGGGGAAACUCAGCCAGAUGGGUGGGAUAUGAAUAAGAAAUUAUUAUUAUUAUUAUUAUUAUUAUUAUUAUUAUUAAUCUUAGCUUACUUGCACAAAGCUUUCACAGAGGUUAGACUAUGUCUGAUCUUUAUUGAGUGUUCAUUCUGAUUUGUUUGUGGAGAGGUAAUAGGCCUUCCCGAUAAUUCAUUCAAAUGCAUUUCCUCAUCACUUUCCUAACAGCAGUUUAUUUAUUUAUUUACUAGAUUUGUUUCAGCAGAGUGCUUUAAUUGCACAGACCUACAUUUCUGCUAUAUGCUCUUGACUACCUCCCUCAAAAUACUGACUUUCUGGAAGCAGCUACAAAUGGACUAAAGCUCUAUCAUAGUACAAUUUUGUGACGCAGGUCUCCAAUGCAUGUUUUUUAUUUUAUUUUGAAUGCAUAUAUUGGGGACAGGCGCACCGAGUUAGGCCCAUCAUUGGAGGGGGGGCGUUGCACAUGCAUGACAUCACACACAUGCUGUCCCUCCCCCAGUCUGGCCAGGCCUGUCGGGACACACAGGCGUCCCUUUGAGGAUUGCCAGAGGCUUUCCCAGAAGGCUUUCUGGUGAUCACGGCAGGGGGCAUGGAGGAUGAAAAUCGCACUCGGUGCCUCCUGCUCUUAACCGGCAGGCCAGUGCUCACCUGGGGGCGGUGGAGGUUGGCAGCCCCCUCAAUAUUGGGGAGGCUCAGCCCCCUGCCUAGAAAUAUUGAGGAGGCUGAAGCCCCUGCUACCCCCUAUAGUUAGUGCCCCUGUACUGGGAUAAGGUGAAAAUGUUUCUCUAUAACAGGGGUCAGCAAACUUACUGCGCCUUGGGCCGGUGUCUCCAGCGCCAAUUGUGCGGCGGGCAGGAGGGUGGGGGAGCACGUGCCCAUACGCAUGUGCACACGCUACUUCUGGCGCACUUUCAGGUCAGAGGAGCAGCCGAAAUAGCUUGUGCGCAUGUGCACAGGCCUCCUCUGACCCAGAUGUGCACUGGAAAUAACAUACAUGCACAAAUAACACACAUGCACUCAAGCUAUUUCCAGUGCUCCUCCGACCUGGAAGUGGGCAGUGCAGUGCUGGUAAGAGUGGGCGGUGGGGGUCACUGCGUGCCGGAUAAACGAGUCCCAUGGGCCUUAUUUUGGGUACCCCUACUCUAUAACCAUGCCCUUGGCUGAUUAAACAAUCUAUGGCCUUUUGAUUGUGUUUGUGGGAGGGGGGCUAUUAGAAUUGUAGAUUUGGAAGGGACCACUGGGGUCAUCUAAGGGAUGCAGGUGGCGCUGUGGGUUAAACCACAGAGCCUCGGACUUGCCGAUCAGAAGGUUGGCAGUUCGAAUCCCCGCGACGGGGUGAGCUCCCGUUACUCGGUCCUUCUCCUGCCAACCUAGUACAGUGGUACCUCAGGUUCCAUCGCUUCAGGUUACAUACGCUUCAGGUUACAGACUCCGCUAACCCAGAAAUAGUGCUUCAGGUUAAGAACUUUGCUUCAGGUUGAGAACAGAAAUCGUGCUCCGGUGGUGCAGCAGCAGCAGCAGGAGGCCCCAUUAACUAAAGUGGUGCUUCAGGUUAAGAACAGUUUCAGGUUAAGAACGGACCUCCGGAACGAAUUAAGUACUUAACCUGAGGUACCACUGUAGUUCGAAAGCACGUCAAAGUGCAAGUAGAUAAAUAGGUAAGGUAAACGCUGUUUCCGUGCGCUGCUCUGGUUCUCCAGAAGCGGCUUAGUCAUGCUGGCCACAUGACCCGGAAGCUGUACGCUGGCUCCCUCGGCCAAUAAAGCGAGAUGAGCGCCGCAACCCCAGAGUCGGUCACUACUGGACCUAAUGGUCAGGGGUCCCUUUACCUUUACUGAGGUCAUCUAGUUCAACCCCCUGCAAUGCGGGAAUAUUUUGCCCAGCGUUGGGCUCAAACCCCCGACCCUGAGAUUAAGAGUCUCAGUGCAAGCAAGAAGCACUAUCAGAAGGACACAUUCCAGCCUGGCAAGAACAUUCAAGUAGAGCGCCAGCCAAGGCUGGUAACAGGUUUGGACUAGGUAGAGUUGGUGUGGCUGGGCAGGAGCAGGCCCUGGACCACUUUCAUCCUCCAACCCUGAUGUUCGCCAUCCCUGCCUUUCUGCUGUACUUCUAACAUAUGGGAGGGCAAGGGCAAACAGUGUUGUUUCAAUAGAUGAUAUUAUGGACUGAGGGUUUUCAUUGUGGUAGAGAUCUUUUUUUUAAGAAGGCUGGUUUUAGAUGGUUUCCCAGGGGUAGCCAGUGUGAUUACCUGCAGAUGUUGUUCAACUCCAACUCCCAUCAGCCCCAACCGCCGUACCAAUGAUAGGGGAUCAUGGGAGUUGUAGUCUAGCAACUAUUGGAGGGCAGUAGGUUCUCCACCCGCAGUGUAAAACAUAAAAAGUAUGUUAUGUUGUCUCACUCCAAAAAUGCUGAAAGAUACUGUCCAGUGUAUUCACAGACCUAUAACAGGAUCAGGGGUAGGGGUAGGGCCUGUGAGGGAAUGCCAGUGAAAUUCCCAAGAAAAAAGAAAAUUAGCAGAUCUGUUUGAGUCACACAGGCUCCUGCCAGGGACCACAGAGAGAUCGUUACAGGUAAAAAAUAAGCAAGUAACAAGGCUGCAAAUACAGUGGUACCUCGGGUUACAUACGCUUCAGGUUACAUACGCUUCAGGUUACACACUCCGCUAACCCAGAAAUAGUGUUUCAGGUUAAGAACUUUGCUUCAGGAUGAGAACAGAAAUCGUGCUUAGGUGGAACGACGGCAGCAGGAGGCCCCAUUAGCUAAAGUGGUGCUUCAGGUUAAGAACGGACCUCCGGAACGAAUUAAGUACAUAACCUGAGGUACCACUGUAUUCGAAAAGUGGACGAGGAGGAGGAGGAGGGGACGGGGAAGAACACAGCAGCUAUGAAUUGUUUUAUAGGUUUUGUCUCAGAAGCAUUUUUAGCAUUUGAGGUUCUGGCAUUUUGAAAUUAACCACAGUGACAAUUUCACAUCGUAAUUCAUGGGGGCUGAAGCAUUUAUGCUUCUCCUUCCACAGAACUUUCCGGACCCGACAGAUACAGCUAAACCAAUGCGAUGUAAAAGGCAUCUCAGCAUUUUCCACUGGCUGCGGAAUUGCCUGGAUUUAAUCCGUUAAUUACUUUUUACAUAUGGGAGGGGAGUAGAUACAACCCCCUGCUCAUAAAUUUCAUUCUCGUAGCCUUUGAACCGCAGCAACUUGUUUUAUUAUUUCAUCGUUACUGUUUUGAAUUCACAGCUACCAUUGGUGCCUUGGGUUGGAGGCAUUUUGUAUGGAGACAUGUUGUUGUAGCAGUCUCCAAAAUGAGAGACAGGCAGACUGCAUUCCUUAAACUAAUCUGGAAUUGACUUUUUAAUUUGACAUGGCCAUUAUGCAUCAAAUAGCUUUGGUCAUAACAAGACCAUACAUUGAAUACACAUGGAUUACCUUGAAGAAUCCUGGGAACUGUGGUUUACCCUUCACAGAACUACAAUUCCCAGCAGUCUUCAGUUCUCAGGAUUCUUUUGGGGGCACGGUGUACAAGAUGAUGCUCUUUUUCAUGGUUUCAGUUUUGGUUCAUGUGCAUUUGAAAAGAGCUGUUAUUCCUAUUAUCUUAUCUCCUAUUGGACAUAGCUGUGUGGCAAGCAUAUACAAUCGUACCUUGGUUUUUGAACAGCUUAGUUCUCGAACGUUUUGGCUCCCAGACGUCGCAAACCCAGAAGUGACUGUUCCGGUUUGCAAACUAUUUUUGGAAGCCGAACGUCCGAUGGGACUGCAGCCAAUCAGAAGCCACGCUUUGGUUUCCGAACGUUUUGGAAGUCAAACAGACUUCCGGAAUUCAACUUUCAAGGUUCGACUGUAUUGUAUUGGCUUUUUACUGCCUCAACUAUAAUGGCUUCUAUAGAAGAAUCCUGGGAAUUGUUGCUUUUAGAGAAGGUGUAGAAAAUUCUUCAGAUCCACUACAAACUCCAGUUCUCUGGCAGUGGACAUUAAACUUAAGCCCAUUAAAGUCUUCGAUGUAAAUAUGUCCUUGGUGUGUCCUUUAAUGUUUAAAAGCAUUAAAAGCCGCUGCUGGAUCAGGCCAAAGGCCCAUUUCAUCUAGCAUCCUGUUCUCACAAUCACCCAUCAAAUGAGCACAACAGCCUUUUCCCCACUUGUGAUUUCCAGCAGCAAGUAUUCAGAGGCACAACAACAACAAUUUUAUUUAUACCCUGCCCAUCUGGCUGGGUUGCCCCAGCCACUCUGGGCAGCUUCCAACACACAUAAAAAUAAUAAUAAAACACCAGACAUUAAUAUUAACAAUCAGAUCCUAUGUGAAAAGUUACAAUACCUUUAAAAUAAACAACUUAUAUCAAACCUUAUUCUUACUUUUAUUAUUUAUUUAAUUUAUAUACUGCUCUAUACCUGCAGGUCUCAGGGCAGUUUGCUGAUAAAUAAAGCAAUAUUCAAAACUCCAUUGGAAUCCAAUAGUCAACAGUAAAAUUAAAGAUCGGCAAAUAAUAAACAGUUUACACUUAUCAGUUACAAUAAAGAAUUGCUAAUCUAUAAUCAAUUAAAAAAAACAGCAAAUCUCAAUGCAUGAAAUACCACAAAACAUGCAAAACAAUGUAAAAGGAUCAAAUUGAGAAACAAAGAUACACAACUUAUAGAACUGUUUUUUCAAAACUAUCACUGAGCUCCUCUCUUCCCAGCUGCUUCUGCUGUUGUCAAAAUCAUGGUCUGUGAAAGGCUUAGACUUGCUUCAGCCAUUGGAAGCAGAAUGUAACCAUCAUGGCUACCAGCUUGUUGUGCCUUCUGUGAGAGAAGAUAUUCAGAUAUACCAAAAUUUCAUUGCACAGCUGGCCCCAUUGGCAGCAGCCUGCACACACCACCAUUCCCCUGAGACACCUGAGCUAGCCUCCUUUGAGCACCCCUGGGCUAGCCUACCAUCCUCAGGUGGACAGUGUACUAUCAUCAGUGUUAAUGCCCGGUUGGAUUCUGCACAUAGAAUUGUAGGGAUUGGAAGGGACCUCAGGGGUCAUCCAGUCCAUCCCCCUGUGUCGAGUUCGUACGGAGCCCCCGGUCGUCUCACGGACUAUUGACCUGUACACCACUAAUCCGCUGCCACCAACCAGGUCCUCCCUGGUAAAUCACUUAGUCUCAGUCAGGUUCUUAGCAAAGAAGAGUGUAGUUUAUUGCAAACACAAAUAAACUUUAAGUGCAUUCAAAACGUUGUUACUCUUUACCUUCUUAGUCUUAUUUUAUCCUCUCUCUAACGCUUCUACCUCCCCUCACAAAUGAACCAUCUGCACUAACUGUCUCUCUAAUUCCAGCUGUCUGCCAGCUGCUUUCCCAACUGCCUUUCCCAACCAACCAACUAAAACCAACCAAUCCAAACCUCGGGCUAAGCCCUUUUAUAAACAGGUAGGCUCCGCCUCUGGCUUUUCUAUUGGUCUACCUAUUGACUCUUUCUCUCCCCCGUACAGAUAUUUUCAAACGAACGGUCAAACGUCACACCCUGCAAUGUAGGAAUCUGCCCACAGCCAUCCCUGGGUAGGCUUGAACUAUCAACCUUCUCUGGUUAGCAGCCAGGCACACUGACCCUUAUUGCGCCCCAACAACCAGCAGUUGAGAGGAGGGCGCCAUCUUGUCCUUUGCGCCAGGCAAAAAAAUGCCACAAGCCCCCACAGUUGUUGCUGUUUCAUUCUGUGGUCUCUCCUCCCCACCCCGGACCAAAAGUUCAAUGGAUUUGGAAGGGAAGAAAGCAGGGUGGAUUUGAUUUAAAUCAAAUUGAUUUAAAUCAUGAUAUAAAUUACUAGUCAGUAAGACUUGAUUUCAAUCAUAUAUUUUUUUACAGAAAGACUAAUUCUUGCUGGCAUAAUCUUAAUAUUUACAACCAGAUGAAGGUUUCAUUUUUGGAAUAGUAAAUUUUCAGAGUAGUUUUUACAGUUCGGCUAUAUCAAAAAUUACUGAUUUGGUUAUACUAUUAGAAAUACAUAGACAGAGAAUUAUGAAAUUAUUGUGAGGUUUAAUAAGUUAACUUUCUAUUUGGACAACUUUUCUGCUGUACUUUAUUGGAAUGAGAAGAAUAAUCAUUUCCUUAAUAACAAUUUAAACAAUUUAUUUAACCAAAACAAUAACAUUAUAGCAUAUUUAUCCAUGUUUGUUAUCUGAGGUGGUUAAACAGUUUUUUAAAAAAACAACUUAGACUGAGUUUUAGCGCACAUGAAAAACUUAAAUCUUUAUUUCCUGAUGAAUCGCCUUUGGACUACAAUGUAACUUAAAUAGAAAACUAUAUUUAGAAAGAUUUUUCCUCCAAAAGCAUUUCAUUUUAAAAACCCAAUUUAAAUAACAAAACUGUUAGAAAUAAAAAAAUCUGAUUUAAAUAAAAAAAAUUGAUAUAUAUAUAUAUAUAUAUAUAUAUAUAUAUAUAUAUAUCUCGUUGAUUUUUAUCCACCCUGAAGGAAAGUGAUUUCCUAAAAAUACGGACGAUGUUGUUAAUAGCAUUCACCUGAGAAGCAGGCCACCAGAAAGGAGCGUAAAGGAAGGAUUCCCUUUUAUUCUCUUUACCCAAGCUUCACAAUUCUAGCUAAUUUAUGGAAGGAUUAUGGAAAGAUAAUCUGUGCCGUUUUUGUUUUACGGUGCAGGGGAUGAUAUAUAGAUUUAAAGCUCUGGCAUUUCUCCAGCCGUAAGGGCUGAGUGCCAACACAGGCCGCAGUGCCAAAAAGCUUUCUCCCCACCUUAGCUUCUCCCCUUAGCUUUGUAUAGUCCUCAGCCUUGACAUUUCGGUAUAGAGUGGGUCUCAGAUGAGCUUUUCUGCCAUCAAGGUUGUGUCAUCUGCAUAUCUGAGGUUGUUGAGAUUUCUUCCGGCAAUCUUAAUUCCGGCUUGGGAUCCAUCCAGUCCAGCCUUUCACAUGAUGAAUUCUGCAUAUAAGUUAAAUAAGCAGGGGGACAAUAUACAGCCUUGUCGUACUCCUUUCCCAAUUUUGAACCAAUCAGUUAUUCCAUAUCCAGUUCUAACUGUAGCUUCUUGUCCCACAUAGAGAUUUCUCAGGAGACAGAUGAGGUGAUCAGGUACUCCCAUUUCUUUAAGAACUUGCCAUAGUUUGCUGUGGUUGACACAGUCAAAGGCUUUUGUGUAGUCAAUGACACAGCCUUGAUGGCAGAAAGUGAGGAGGAAUUAAAGAACCUUUUAAUGAGGGUGAAAGAGGAGAGUGCAAAAUAUGGUCUGAAGCUCAACAUCAAAAAAACUAAGGUCAUGGCCACUGGUCCCAUCACCUCCUGGCCAAUAGAAGGGGAAGAAAUGGAGGCAGUGAGAGAUUUUACUUUCUUGGGUUCCAUGAUCACUGCAGAUGGUGACAGCAGUCACAAAAUUAAAAGACACCUGCUUCUUGGGAGAAAAGCAAUGACAAACCUAGACAAGCAUCUUAAAAAGCAGAGACAUCACCUUGCCAACAAAGGUCCGUAUAGUUAAAGCUAUGGUUUUCCCAGGAGUGAUGUAUGGAAGUGAGAGCUGGACCAUAAAGAAGGCUGGUCGCCGAAGAAUUGAUGCUUUUGAAUUAUGGUGCUGGAGGAGACUCUUGAGAGUCCCAUGAACUGCAAGAAGAUCAAACCGUUCUAUUUGUUUUAUUUCCAUUCUGAAGGAAAUCAGCCCUGAGUGCUCACUGGAAGGACAGAUCCUGAAGCUGAGGCUACAAUACUUUGGCCACCUCAUGAGAAGAGAAGACUCCCUAGAAAAGACCCUGAUGUUGGGAAAGAUGGAGGGCACAAGGAGAAGGGGACGACAGAGGACGAGAUGGUUGGACAGUGUUCUCGAAACUACCAGCAUGAGUCUGACCAAACUGCGGGAGGCAGUGGAAGACAGGAGUGCCUGGCGUGCUCUGGUCCAUGGGGUCACGAAGAGUCGGACAUGACUAAAUGACUAAACAACAACAAAAGUUGAGCUUUGUUUGAAUUGGUAAUUCCUGGCUCCAUCGGCAGCUUUCAAAGCUGAGCUACGGUCCCUUGAGUUCAGUGAGAUUUACAUGCCAGCGUAUUCUGAUUUUCUUCCGAGGAACCUCCGAGUGACAGCGAUGGCCCAUCUGUGGCUGCAAGAGUGGUGGCAAGUCCCCACCCCCCCAGGGCACACCUUAUUCCAAAGAGGAGGAAACAAAAUCAUUAAAAAGUCACUUCCAUUAAUCAUUCUUAUUAAACGUAGAGGAUAACGCUUAAAAAAGAACUUUUAACUCCAUGCAAGCAGCCAAACAGGAGUCCUGCCAGAAGUGUCAUGCUUCAGGACUUAACAUGAUGUCAUUCGCAGAGCUAACAAAGGAAAAUGAGAAAUUAAUGGCACAAGCUAUACAUUGUAUCAUGCAAAGUGUAGCUGGGGUUUUCCUCAAGCUUCUUGUGGUGUGUGGCAUUGUAUUAUUGGCAGGGAGAAGGUCUUGCAAAGAAGCACAUUUUAGCUUGCGAGCAUUUUCUACUGCUCUCUCACAAGACUACAGGUUUUCGGAUUUUUACUUCCGGCUGGGAAAAAGUAACAGGACUCCAGGCAGAAUAAGUUCAAAUGCACUGCCGCCACAAACCUAAAUUCUUCUUCUUGUUGUUGUUCGCCAGUGUAAUGUACUGAUUAUUUUAUUGGGCUGAGGCUGGAGAGACCUGUGUUCAAAUGCCGCUCCACCAUGAAACUUACCGAUUGACUUUGGGCCUGCCUCUCGACUUCCCUCAGGGCUACUGUGGGGGUGCAAUGGGGAAGGGAUGAGCCAUGUGCAUUACCUUUGAGGUAAAGAUGAUAAAUGUAGCAGUAGUCGUAGAAGCAGAGAUCUAUGUAAGUCAAUUUUUUGAAUGUAGAGCUUUUUCUGAUUCCAGUUUUCACACCACACUCAUAUUCUCUGCUCUCUCACACACUUGCUGAGCCUACUCAUUCACAAUAUUGAUGUACACAAUUACUCAGACACGUAAUUCAUAUACUGGUGUCGUUACAUUGCAAAUCCAACGUUCAAAUACACAAGUCUAACCACGAGCCAAACAGAUAUGUAGUAUUGCCUUUUCCUUUCUCUGUUGCAUAGGCCUAGUGUGCUGGCAUGUUUUAUUUUAAACUCCUGAGCACAUUGAGAUGUUCAUAAACAUUGCACGGCACCUCAGUGUUAAGCCGAUGGCUAGGGAGGUCCGGUUUCAAUAUAACAAUGCCACAAUUUUGUGGUUUUUCUUUGGAAAUACAUAUUUUUUAUGGCAACACACACACACACACACACAGAGAGAGAGAGAGAGAGAGAGGGAGACCUAUCCACUUUUUCUUGAGGUUAAUUACCUUCAUUGGGCAUCAGUUAAUUUUUGUCACUUUUAAGUAAAUUGAUGAUUUUAAAAAACCCUCCAAAUGUUUAAUUGAUGUUUUCCUGUUGCUGCCUCUGGAUGCUCUAUUAAUAGUGCUGCCGAUCAUCAGACUGUUCCCUUCACUUCUGUUAACUGCUGGCUGUGCUGUUUCUUCCACUGCGAUGCUUUGAGACUUUGAGGAAAAUGGUUAAAAUAAAAAUUGAAUCAGUUUAUUAUAUAUAUAUAUAUAUAUAAACAUUUAUAUACUCCUAUUUCAUUUAAAAAUAUCAAAGUGGUUUACAACAAAAGUACAUAAAACCAUACAGUAAAACCAUUAAAAAAAGAAGAAGCUAAAAACAGACAUUAGUUAACCUUUGUGGAAAUAAGUGUUUUGAAGCGCUUGCAUAAACCUGGUGGAAUAGAAGAGUUUUGAGCAGGCGUUUAAAAAGUUGAAACAGAAGGUGCCGGCAGAAUUCCACAGGACUGAGCUGAUGACAUUCACUUUUUGCUACCAAGUGAGUUUCACCAGCUCAUGGAAAGACCAAGUUUUGAGGGAUUUAGGAAUAGAAUGAAAUGUAAUAAAAGGCAGUUUGCAUUUUUUGUGAUCUUACUCACUAGUGUGGAGUGCCAUCACACAUCCUUUUUGUGCUGUCAGCCAGGGCAUUUUUAAUAUGAUAUGAAUAUAUGAGUGCUAGCAGCUCAUUUUUUUUACCAGAGAGAGAGAGAGAGAGAGAGAGAGAGAGAGAGAGAGAGAGCGCCUUGAUAAAAUUUAUUAAUGUUCUGUUUUGGCCACAUCCAUUUUUUCACCUCUGCCAUCUCACUUUAUCAUGCAGCCCUCGGUGGGAUAGCCAUGGGUCAGUGCAGCCAUUCGCCCAGAAGAUGUUAGCUGCCCCUGUACUAAGGCCCUAUGCCCCCCAUGCUUGGACCUUAACUGUGCUUCUUGCACUUCAUGACUUUUCAGUUCCACUGUUUACAUUUUCUCCAUUCUCUAGCCAUAUACGUAUGUGCCAAAUAUCCACCAGCUGGGGAGGUGUUUCAUGCAACUUGAAGGAACAAAGCACUUGAAGAAGCAUCUUCCUCUGUACCAGCCAACUCAAGUUUUGUGAACUCCAGGGGAAGCUGUGCCUGUGGUUACCUCAUGAGAUAUGGCCUGAAGGUUAGGGGUGGGGGUGGGUGUUUUCACACAAGACAGAGCCUUCUUGGUGGUGGCACCCUCUGUAGGGAGCCGAUUAUCCCCCGCACUGUGUUCAAUCAGGCAGCAAGUCCUAUUUGUUCCAGCAGGUCUUUGGAGCACAACAGGACACUGUAUUAUGCUGUAUUUUGCUUCUGCUUUUUCUUUUAUUGUUGCAAUUUCAUUGUCAGUCUCCCACCCCCCAAGCUGUCGUGAACAGAAAAGUGAGGUAUAUGAAAUAAUACAACAACAAACAAACAAUUAAUGAAGGGCUUUAGCCCAUGGUAACGUAUGCGCCAAUAAAUCUGUUAGUCAUUAAAGAGACACAUGGUUGCCUCUGGAAUCUGAGGUGUGCUUUGUCAUUUAGUGCCAAGAUUGUGGCUUCCUUUCAUAUAAAGCGUCCUUCUCUCAUCUGGUUUGGGGUGAGCGGGGCAGGAGAGUGCGAGCGAUUCUCUUUUAGUUGCAUUUUUCUGCCCAUCUCAGUGGCAGAGCCGAACCAUUGAAUAUUUGCCAUUCUGUUCGCAGUCACGGGAGCCAACUGUUUAUUGCUUUCUUUGGUUUGCGUCUGAGGGUGGGGAAUAUCCUGGUGCAAGUCCUCUUUUUUUGGUCUUAUUUCCUUUUAAUCGGUUUGGGUUUUUUAACGGAACGCCUUGCACUUUUCAGCGGCAGCAGGCUUUCCCUAGGCGUGACGCUUGUUUCGCCUGCCCCAGUCCUGCAGGCAACCUCCCUCUAAUGGCCUGUGAUAUUGCAAAGGUGUUUUUAUAGCAAAAUGUGGUGAAGAGAGAAGAGUAUUUUUAGGCUGGGAGAUCAAGGGGAGAAGGCUGCAUCUGGUAGGUUUUUAACCGCAGAACCUUUUUUUUAUGGUGGGUUCAGAGUUUGGAGUGGCUGGAGGCCAGAGGCUGACAAGAGGUUGGCUCUCUGCUUAUGCUACCUCCGGGUUCAGAGGCAACACGCAUCUCACAGAAUGACCGCUCCCCGCUUAAAACGCGCUCAGCCCUAGAUCUGGAGCGGCCCCAUCAGCAUAGGCUUGGCUUUGCCUUCCCUCAGGUGGGAUACCUGGAGGUCCCCGCCUACCUCAGUCAGUUGUCCAAUCCCACCUGGGGGAAGCGUUGCCAAGGAGACCAGGCCAGGUAGGGGAGGGAUUACCUGCCCACACAAUAGAGGGAGGAUCUUACCUGGGAAUCCUCACUUGGCUCCAGAGCUUCUCCCACCCUACCCACCCUCAGUUAAUGUCUUCCUUUGCAGGUUAACUUUUCUUCAUAGGUUUUGCAGGUUAACUUUUCUUCACAGGUAUGCGGGCGCUGCUACGAUAAGGUCGCUGUUAAAGGGCCGGAAAGGAAUUUCCCUGCAUUGGCAGGUUUCGCCUUUCCCGUAGCAAAACGUCACAACUUUGGCGGUAUCAGGCCUUGGGCAGAAUCCUUUAGUCCAUCUUCCUCUUUGCGGCGGCUAUACCAGGGUUCCCUGUUAAAGGGGUUUCUGAAGGGAGGCUUUGACCGUACGCUGAAAGGUCGUCAUUGCUCUCCCCUGCGACGGCGGCGU